rnacentral:lncRNA from 1 species
UCGUCUGUUCUUCCCAAGAUCCUUUCCUGAAUUUUCAUGAAUAAUUUUCAUUCCGAUGUUUUGUAGCAAAUGAUGCAUUCCAAAUUUGUUGUUCUUGUUAAUUUUGAUGAGGUUACGCUGGAUGAGAACUCUUAUUCCAAUAUCAGCGUCUACUCCACAGCCAUUUAGGAUCUUCCUAACAUAGGCUCUGCUCUUACCAACAAAGAAAAAACAUAUAUCAAGGAAUAUAUCUUUUUCCAUUUCAUUCAGUGAACCUUCGAUGCUUAUUUUUAUUAUCUUUGGAACACAACGCAUGCCAUAUAUCGCAAACAAUAAAUUGUUCCAUUCUUCUUUGGUCUUUUCAAAUAAAGCACUUCCAACGACUUCAAGAGCUAGUGGUAGUCCUGCACAAUAUCUAACUACACUUCUUGCAAGGUCUUUGUAUUCUUCUUUUGGUUUUGGUUCUUUAAAUGCGUGCCAACUAAGAAGCUCAAGGGAGUCCUCUGCGUUCAUUCGCUUUACCCAAAAGACAGAAUCACCUCCUCUCAGCGGUUCUAUAUAUGUUGAUGUAAGGAUUAUAACAGUUCCUUCAACGGACCAUUUACGAAAAUCCCAUAUGUCGAAUAAACUAAAGUUGGAAACAUCGUCAAGUACAAUGAGCAUCCUUUUCCCAGAAAGCUUUUCCCGAAUUAUAGUUCUUCCCACAUCAAUGCUAGGAAUCUCCACCUUUUGUUUUAGGACAUCUAAAAGAAGUUGUUCUAGUAAACGAAGAUGCCCUCUUAUUCCGCUAACUUGUGAAAUAUUUUCAAUGAAACUUUUCUCCUUGAAUGUCCAAUGAAUUUGAUUGUAGAUCGCUUUGGCAAUAGUGGUUUUACCAGAUCCUUCCUCUCCACCUAUUCCUAUGAUACAAACUUCCGAUUGUUUAUUUUUGAUAGUUUGAAUCAGAUCUUCCACGUAUGAUUGUAAUCUAACUGGAAAUUUAGUAGCAGACAAGAUUGGUAAAUUAACAACGCUCUUAACAAUUUUCUCCACUAANUCAGCAUCACUCCUUCAAGUUCAAGAGCAAUAAUAGAAGAAAUCAUGUAUUAAGAAAAUGAAAUCGGAGGCUUAAAAGAUGGUUGAUUGAGUGAAUGAUGUACCUGUGAUUGCUCUCAUCCCAUCCAAAGAAAUUUGCAGCUUUGGUGAGUGCAUGGCUCCACCUGGACAUUCCAUGCACCAAUUCUUCUCCUGAAAAUGUUUGUUGAGCAGUUGCCUUCAAGGCUUUUCCAAAGUCACCCUUUUGAAGACGUACAUCAGAUGGCUGGAUUUCAUAAUAUACGGGAAGAACAUGUCGGCAAUAAGUUUCGUGCCAUUUGAUGAUUUGUUGAAGUUGAUGAAGACACCAAGCAGAUUGAGAAUAGGUUUGGGUGAAAACAACAAUUGCUACUCGACAGUUGCUGAGAAUAGGUUGUUGGAUGUGAGUAGACUUCACUGCAUUGGGGUGAUGAAGGAAAGUGGUGAGACCAAUAGUAGAGAAGGCAGAAUUGAGAUGAGAAACAAAUUUUCUGUGGAUGUCUUCUCCAGUGAAGUUGAUCAGCACAUCGUACUUCCAUGGGAGUUUGUAUGAUGAGGAGGCGAUAUCCAUGGAAAGGAAAAGUUAGAAGAGAAACCAAGUGCAAGACAGUGAAGGAGAUAAAUGUAUCUUAUAACAAUUAUGUAGUUUUAAUCUUUUAUUCAUAAAUGUUAAAUACAAUGUAUAGAAUACGAAGUUAUAAAAUACAUAAAAUGAAAGAGACAAGUAGAAAAUGAUAGAAUCGAAAUGAGAAAGGAAAAGAGAAAGGGCGAAUAUAAAAUAAGAAAACGAUGGAAAAAAGGACUCAAUUAAAAACUAAAAACAACAAGGGUGUACGAAAAUAAAUUAAAAUCAGAAUAAAGAGGAUUAAUUAAAGUAAAAAGGAUAAAAUAAAUUCAGAACAAAAUGGUAAAAAUGAAAGACAAACAAACAAAAUAAAUGGAGAUGGAAAAGAGAAUAAAAUAAAAUAAAUAAAAAUAAGAAAAACAUAAAGAAAGAGAAUAAAAUAGCCUUACUUGAUCCCUCACAAAUUUAAUUAUUUAGAACUUCACACAACUAUAUACCAAAAAUUUUAUACAUGAAAAGGAAGUUACAGAUAAACAUAACUGGUGCUAAGAAACUUUAAUUUGGGCUUAAAAACUCAAAACUCAAAAUUUGACUUUGGGGUAUCAAAUAAGAAAUUGGGUGACAAAAAUGUUUUUGUCAUCAAUGUUUUAUGGUGGUGCAAAUAAUAAAUGCAAACAAAUAUGUGUAGCCCAAUUAAGCUUCUGUGGGCUGAAAAGCUAUGAAAUUAGACUUUUACUUCAUGCACCCCAUGGUUUCUUUCUUUCUUCCUGAAUCCCUACAAAUUUUUAAAAUAACCAUUUUAUCCUCUGGAAAAAUGACUUCCAAAUUAUAUAUUUCAAGAGUUUUCCGGAACAAAGAUUUUGCAAUUUUUGAAAUAAUAUUUCUGAAAUAAAAUUUUGUGAACAGAUUUUUUGGAAUGAAAUUUUUUAAAUGAUUUUUGCAAACAGAAUUUUCAGAAUGUGUUUGUUUUGAAAUAAAUAUUUCAGAAUGAGAUUUUUGGAAAAGAUUUUCCAAAACUCAUAAUAUCAUCCGGAACACUUAAAUGAAAUGUAUUAUGAAAAGAUUUUUUCGAAAUAAGUGAAAUACAUUCUAGAAAAAUAUUUUCAAAAUGGUAUUCUUUUUCUGCAUUUUUUCUCUUCUUUUUCUUUUGUAGUGUUUUUUCCUUUUUCUUCCUCUGCAGCAUUGUGACUGUAACAAUGACUAUAAUGUACGGCAUUAAUAGAAGAUGGUUAAGUCUUUUCCUAUUGUUAUGAGGGUGCAGUUAAUAAUUCUGGGAGUGCGAGAAACAACAGCCAUGAAAUUAACAUUUGCUUUGUUCCGUGUAUUACUGUUGAUCACUUUUCACACCUCUACAUAAUACGGAAAGAUCAAUCUUUGCCUAUGAUUUUAUGGGUGCCAAUUUUGAAAAAGAAAAGAUAAGAAAAGGAAAAUCAAUUGAUGAUCCUUGAAAUGAUGUGAAGUGAUUUUAAUCAGUUUUUUUAUGCUAUCAUUUUAUUGGAUUUUCAAAAUCUUUUGAUUUUAAUAUUUUAAAAUAUAUCUAAUUUUUUAAUACAUUAAAAUUUCAUUAUUUUAAAAACACACUAAAGAAACAAUACCACAAGAGAAACUUUGUACUCAAAGAAUACGUUUGUCAUAAAAUCACACUUGAAAUAUAUAGUUUUUCUUUUUUAGUUUUAAGUGUUUUGAAUGUUUUGAGUGUUUGAAAUUCUUGAUCUAUAUUUUUAUAUUUAAAGAAAUUAUUAUCUUACUUAUUCAAACAAUAUUACAUUUUUUUGUAUUUUUUUUUCUUAUUUAUCAUAACUGAAACGCCCAAUGAAAAGUUCCAAGAUUCUAUCAGAAUUCUUGAUUUAAUUUCUUUUAAGGGUGGAUGAAUUAUUCUUAUUCAAAUAAAAAUCUCAUUAGUAGGUUGUAAUUUUUUUUCUUCAACUUUAAGAUAGUUUUUUACAUUGAUGAGAAAAUGAUACCACUCACAUCUCAUUAGGGGUAGGCAAAUGAAACUGCACUGUAUUGUACUGAACUAAAAACUAGUGUGUUUAAACUGAACUAAACUGUAAAAGAGUUAAAACUGAACUGAACUGUUUUUUGUUUUAUCAAAUUAUACUGUACUGUAUUAAAUUGUACUAAACUACAAUAUAAACUGAACUGAACUACUAACUAUACUGAUUUUAAACUGAAUUGUAGUAAUUUUUAAACUAAAGAGUAUAACUAUACAUGUUCUUUUUAAUUGAAAUUUAUUUAAUAUUUAUCUUAUUUUAUUCAUAAGUGUUUAAUAAAUUGAUUUUUUAAUUAUUUGAUAUUAUUAUUUUCUAUUUUAUUUAUAUUUCUUUUAUUAUUAAAAAUUAUUUUAUUUUUUAUUUAUUUAUUUUAUUUUAUUUUACGGAUAAAAAAAAUUUAAAAAAUAAUGUCAUACACUAACAUAAUAUAUAUAUAUAUAUAUAUAUAUAUAUAUAUAUAUUAUGUAAUUUAAAAAAUAUAAAUUACCCUUUUUAUUUAUAUACGUUAUAUGUUUAUUGAUAAAAAAAACUAUAAAUUUUGUGAUAAAAAAAUUUUAUCUUAAAAAAAAUAAUUAUUAUUUUUUUUAUGUAAACGGUUUCUUUUAUUAAUAUUCUAUUAUGGGAACUAUAAAAGAGGAAAGAGUAGAUACAGUUCUCACAAACUAUUAAUGAGUUCAUUUUUAGACUGAACCAUAAAAUAGUAUAUUGAAUUUUCAGUAAGAGUAAGAGUGGAUUAGUUUUUGUAAUAUAAUAUAAUACAGUUAUAGUACAAUACAGAUCAGUUAUUUUCAGUUAUUUUUGCCUAACCCUACAUCUCACCAUCCACUUAUAAACCUUAAUAAAUAGUAAUAAGUAGUGAUUCUAACCUAAAAUAUAUUUGAUCAUACAAAAAUCUUAGAAAAUAUAUCUAAAUAUUAAUAAGACUUUUCCAAAAUCAAGAGAUUGAUAGUAAAUAUCUUUAUUUUAUAAUAUAUAAAUAGAUAUAAACAUCUUCUUACAAAAUAGUUUUAAAAAUUUGAAUUAAGUUAAAGUUCAUUUUUUAAUUUUUUUUAAUAUAGUAUAAGGGUUAUUUAAAAUUUAUCUUAACAAUAUUUAUUUGUUAUUAUAGUGUUAUAUUAGAAAUAUAUAUGUUUCAAUAUGAAAUUUUAUCUGAUUAAAUUAGAUUUAAAAUUCAUUUAUUAAUUAUAUUGAAAUUAUUAGAAAAUUUGAGUUUAAAAGCUCUUAGAAGUGUUCAAAAGUUCAAGAACACGUAGUAAAUUUCAAUACAUUUUUGUCUAAGCAUGGAGACUGAAAGAGAAAAUGUUUUCUCUUUUUAUCAUGUUCCUAUGAGGGGGAGUGAGAUGAACUUGGUGUUCAAAGUUCUCUUAUUCUAUUUUACAACAUUUUGAUUAUGUAAUUUUGAGGACCGAGUUGGAUAAGAAGCUUGUUUUAGUUUAAUAAAAUCAUGUUUGAAUAUUGUUUUGGUUUGUUUUGCAUAAAUUUGUCAAUGAUAUAUUAACUUAAUUCUUGAGAUGUGAGAGAUCUAUCAAUUUUUAAUAAAUUUAAUUUAUUUUUUUUAAGAUUUCAUUAAUUAUUGAUAAACGUGUAUGAAAUAAUAUCAACACAAACUUUUGAUUUUUUUCAUAAGUAAUUUUAAAAAAAUUAUAUAAUAUUUUUUAUAAAUCAACUUAUGCAUAAGAUGAUUUUAGUUUGUAAAACAAAAUAUUUCACUGUUUUUCUAGUUUUCUCUCGUAAUAAAUAUUAGGAAGAAAAUCACCUCAAUAUCAUAAACUAAAGUUAAUCUUGUUUUUCUUUCUUAGAAAUUUAGUAGAGAAAUUUUGUCUAAACAUUCUCUUGGUCAAUGAAGAACACAUUUUUCCAUUAUAAUAUUGUGAUAUGAACACUAUUUUUUUUAUGGGUAUAUCUUAUAAAUUACAUGCUGCUGGAGUUGAUGUUGGUUGAAUCCAUGAAUUUGUUAUGCAAUUUUUUUUCUGAAAAACACGUUUAACAAAGCUGUUUACAACUCUUGCCAAACAAAGAAUUUCAGUUCCAACUUUUUUUUUCCACUUAUGGAAAAUGGUAUCUAUUUUCAAAAGUCUUGCCAAUGGUGUGAAACCAAGUUGUAAAAGGUUAAUAAUUAUCAUUCAAAAUUUCAUUAAAAAGGUAAUCAUUAGUUUCAUAUAAUUAAUUUUAGUCAAAAUGUUACAUUUACCUAUUUAGAUUAAAUUUAUAUUCUUGAAAUCAAUUUUUGUUAGUGAACAAUAUUAGAUAACACCAACUUUCCUUGAUUUUCAAAUGGUAAAGAAAUUAUUCUUAUAAAAUGCAUCUUUGAAUACUACUUUUAAUUUCUUUAUCACCAUAAAAAAAUAUUGAAAAAUUAUUAUUACUUUUGUUUUGACUUUGAAAGGGAAAUUAGAAUCAAUUAUGAAAAAAUGGAAUCUAGUCAAAACAUGUAUUAAAUAUAUGAUAGAUCCAGACUUUGUGAACGGAAAAUUACUUUAUUAUUUUCAGAUUAGUUAAUCUAAUCUGAUGUUUUUUUUAAACAGAAUAAAUUUCAGUUUUAAUAUUUAUGAAAAAAAAUUGAUUAGAAAGUCUAGGUCAUGUUCUGUAUUAAAUUAUUGCUUCACUCUGUUUAUACAUUUUUUUUUUCAUUGUUGACUUUAUAAUAGGAUCUAGAGGCAUUUUGAGAAUAGAUUUAUUUUUUUUUAUUAUAAAUUAAAAUGAUUUGAUGUAUAAUUAAAAAUCUAAUUAUUUUUAUAAAUUACAUGGUCUUUCAGAAACUAAUGAAUUUGGAUAUUUAUUAAGAAAAAACAUUUUAAAUACGAAAAUGAAGUCUCAUGUGUGUUUGACGAAAUGCAUUAUAUCUAUAUUCUAAAAUUAACACUCAUGGAAGGCAAUUUUUAACGUCUAUUAAUUUUCCAGCUUUUAUUCUAAGACUUGGACGAAAGUUUAUGCUUAUGAUGACCAAAAUGUAAAAUGAGAGGAAACUCGAUAAAUUAAAUUUGAUGUAAAAAUUUAUCUUCCAACAUUAUUUUGCUAAAUUGAGUCAAACUUAAUUCUUUAUUUUUUAGUAUCAUAAUUCAUACUAAAAAUUUAUUUGAGAUGUAGAGACAAUUUUUAAAACUAAAAAUUAAACAAUGUGUACUACUCAUAAGUAACAAAAUAUGCAAUAAACAUAUAUAUUUUAAUUAGUUCUAUAAAUCAAAUUACAAAAAUUAAGCUAAUACGAUAUAUGGAUUCUUUUACUAAUUUUAACAAUCUGUUUUGACUUAAAAAUCAUAAAAAAUAUUAAAAAAAUUUCAAAUCCAGUAAGUCACAUGUAUAUUUUGAAAUUAAAAAAAUAUAAAAUUCAAUACAACUGGAUAACUAAAAAUAAUUAAAAAAAAUUGUGAUGAAAAUAGUUAAGAAAUGUCAUAUUAGUUAAAAAUAUAAAAUUAAAACAAUUAUGUAUAUGAAACCUAAUACUACUUUUAAAAGGAUUAAAAAUUGUAAAUAAAAAAGACAUAUUGAAAAUGUUCGCAAAUAUUUUAUCUCACAAUAUCGAACCGAAAUCUAAAUUAUAUUUGAAAUUUUGAUAAUUUUGAUAUAUUAUAUUAUAUUCGCAUAGUGUAUCAUAAUGCAUAUAACUGCGACGACAGAAGUUUUGUUAAAUGACAGGCUAUUUUCCAUAGUAGAGUUUAUACGCGUAUAGUUGAGUUGGGUUCAUUUCUUCCACAAUAAAAACAUGCUUUCAUUUCCUCAUAAUUGUUAACACAUCAAGCGUUUUUUAUUUGAUUUUAACAAGUCUUGCAUGCUAGGGUGCUAAACCGACAAACUUAAGAAAAGGAUAAAAUCAAUGAAUUAAUCCCGUAAUUUAGUGAUAAAAAUUGUUUUAUUUUUCAAUAGUGUUGGAAUGACCACAGUUUUGUGCUGAUUAUUUUUAAAAUAAUUAAAGAUAAAUGAUUUUAUCAGUAAUUUUUUUACUUACUUUUAUUGUAAGUCAUUGGGUUUGUAUUAUGUUCCUUAAUAUUAAUGUAUAUAUUUUAUAAAUGCAUUUUUAGUCUAAAUAAUAUUACUCGGUUUCUCUUUUAUCCUUAUCCUCAUAAAAAAACAUUGAAGGUUAGAAAGGAAUGAAUGAAAGAGUUAUAAACUAAAAGGAAGCUUCUGAAAAUGAAUAUAAGUAUGUAGUUUGAUCAAUUAUAAAUUAUUUUUUAAGUCGUAUCAAAUAUAAUUUUUAUAUAAAAUUAAAUUUAGUUACGUAUUUUACCAUUGAACUUAUCAUUUAUAAAUUUUAAUUCUGAAUUUUUGUGUAAAGACCUAAAAAAAUUAAAAGUAGUAGAUGAUACUUAUUUAAUUUAUUAUUAAAAGUUAUUCUAUAAGUAGAGUUUUCUAUAAUUGAUUUUAUUUUAUAAGAAUCAUUAUCUUUUUAAAACUUUCUCCUAAAUUCUUUUUUUUUUCUCUUGAUUCUAUUAUUCAUCUUCUUGAAAAUCGAAAUACACUAUAUGAUUUUUGGUGUCGAGGUCUACAAUCCUAACUAAUCAUAAUAUGGACAAGGUAAGUUCAACUUCUACACGUGGCUUAUUUUAGCUCACAUGUAGUGUGUUUGUGUUUGUUUUGUUAGUCUCUAUUGAUUAGUGGUCUUAAGGACGUAUCUUGAUCGUGUUUACAUUGUUCAUAGGAACAAAGUGAGCUACAUGUGCGUUUAGGAGUGUUUUAGGGGUCGUCGAACGAUUUGGUCAUCUUUCAGGUAAAAGAAGCUAGUUGCUUUAAUAAGUUGAGUAAUUCUGAUUGAUAUUGAUAUUUUGUUGAAUUUGAUUGUUGUUUGUGCUGAAUUGAUUGGUAUGAUUUGCUAAUUGAAUUGAGUUUUGGCUUGUGUAUAGGCUCUUGUGAUUGAGAGAACUGAAUAGUUGUGCAAUUGUACAAAUUGGUAUGGGUUUAAUGUAUAAAAAUUGUGUUGAACCAUCUUUAUGGAAAAGGAAUACUGAUUUGAGAUAUUGAUAAUGUCUCAUUUCACUUACAUAACAAAUCCGAGUGUUUUGAAAUCGGAUAUGGCGUUGAGCGGUAUUGGUGUGGUGUUGAGCGCAAUCUUGGUUGUGAAAGUCUGUAAGAAUUUUUUUCUCUAGAUCCUUGAGGCCCAUUUUCACCGUUGAGCAACCAUUUUUGCGAAUGCUUUGGCAUUAAGCGAUGGUACGUCACUAUUGAGUGUCAUCUUACACUACAGGUUUUGAGCAAUUUUAGUUUCAAGACGCUUAGCAGUAGGAAGGUGUCACUGAGCAUCACCUUUGUGCGAAAGGUCUAGCAUUGGGCAUCAACAUUGUCGCUAAGCACCACCUUUGUGCGAGAGGUUUCACAUCGAGCGCCACCUCAGAGUGCCAGUCUAUACGCUAGUUUUGUUUCUUGUUUUUGGAUGUUUGGUUUGACUUAUGUAAUAAUUGAUUUUGCUUAUGCGUAUGAUAGUUGUAUGUAUGGAAAUGAAGAUAUUUCUUAUGAUUAUGUUUGGGAUUGUUGUUGAUAGAAUUUCAAGGAUAAAUUACGUGUGCUGGUGAUUUUUAGUGUAUGCUUUGACAUUGAGAGUUCCGAUAGGGGAGAGAAUGGUAUGAGAUUUUAGUCUUGGAAUUUUGGUUUGAGGCAUGAAAGAGACUAACUUUGUGAGUAGUAGGGUGAUAAUCCUUUACUACUACAAGUACACACCUACUUCUAUUUUCCUUUUCUAUGCACUAUAUAAAAAAAUCACCUGUCAAAACCCUUAAUUUGUACUCAAAACCUUCUAAAACUACUAGAUUGAGUCCUAUCACUUUCCUUAUCAGAUUUUUACCAACUUAAGGUGCUAUCAAGUCAUAAUUACCAUAUAACCAAAUAUGAAACCUCAAAUUUCCCAAUUCAAAUCCUAUCUCACAAACUUCCCCAUUAAAACCUCCCUUUUUCAACCAAAAACCUAUGCAUUUGAUAAUUACUCAUUCCUUAAACCUUUCUACCAAUUCCAAUCUUCAUUACAACUUAAUUACACACAAUCAUGACAACACCAUAUAUCAAAAUCACACAAUAUCAAGCAUACAAACAUCAUAUUAUUGAUAAUCAUCAACUAAACAUAAAAAGUACUAAUAGAAAUAUCAAAAUUACAUUUAAAUUAUCUUAUCCUUCAUGGAUAUAUUAAAUUUGCACUCCAACAUAAUCUAAAACAAAGUACAACUUUUCUUACCUUAAGAGAAUGAAAUCAGGCUCUAAGAACACCUCACUGAUUGCUUGAAAUACAAGGAAUUUCUAGAAACACCUAUGAAACACCAAAUUGGAAACAAAAUGAGCUCCUAGGACUUUAAAUUAUCAAAGAACAAGGAGAAGAAGCAAUUCAACACAUGCGAUGAUGAAUCGCUUCGCCUAAUUUAAGAUUAAGAACGUAAGAGGAAAAGAGAUCGAAACUUACUUUCGCUAAAACAAAAAUCCUGAUCAGAUAGAAGUGGAAAUAACUCAACUAUGAUCUCUUAAGAACUUCUGAGGAGUAAGAAAUCUUAUAAAGAAAUGAGAGGAAACUAAGAAAAAUAUAUUUAAAAAUAUAAUUUGUAUUUUAAGUUAUGAUAUGAGUUUAAAAUUUUUUUAUUUAUUUUACUGAAUUAUUUUAACUUUAAAAUAUUUAGUUUCUAAGUUGAUAUUAAAAAUUCUACUUUAAAAUACAUAUUUAUUUUAAUACUAUAUUUUCUAGAUUGAUACUAAAAAUUCUACUUUAAAGGGAUUAUAUAUAUAUAUAUAUAUAUAUAUAUAUAUAUAUAUAUAUAUAUAUAUAUAUAUAUAUAUAUAUAUAUAUAUAUAUAUAUAUAUUAGUCAAAACAAUAUUUGCAUUGAUCUCAUCCAAAUUUUUUUCAGGAUCCUACCAUGCAACAACAACCAUUAAAAAGAAUUAAUACUACAUAUACAUAAUACAAUGGUUUAAUCAAAUAAAAAAAUGUCCAAAAAUUAUACAUGGUGGUGAUGAAAGUCGUCGUUAUCAUAAUAAUUAUUCACAUAAAUAAUGAAGCAUCUAAACUGCCUAUAAUAUUUUAGUUUUUUUUAUAAAUAAUUAGUUUCUAAAUAAAUAAUUUAUUAGUCACUUAUUAUUUUAUAAAUAGUGAUUAUUUUUUCUCAUAUUUUCUUAUAACUGAAGAUAUAUAUUCUUAAAAGUCCAAAUAAAUUUCAUUUAAAAAUAAAUAUAAAUUCAAGAACGUGUAAUAAAACCAAUAUUUUGCUCAAUAUUUUAAAAAAAGAAGUAACUAUUAAAUUAAACUGAAUAAAUUCUAAAGUCCUGCCACUUUACUUUAACAAUUUUUAAAAAUUGUUGUUUUAGUCGUUUUUCAAAGUCUAAAUUUUUAUUGAAGUUGUAUUUUCACUGCACUACUUAUACAGAUAAUUUUGUUUAAACAAUUAUUUUGGUAAAAUUCAACCAUGUCUGUAAAUUAACCUUCUUUUUUUCCCUUAAGGGAGUUAUUUAAGAAAAUUGAAUUCUUGCUAAAAAAAGGUUGUAUUUAGUGCUCAAUAAUAUUUUAUGUGGAAUUUAAUUUUUUUUAAGGGAAUGAUAUUUUAAAACAGAGUAAUUUAAUUUCCAACCUACCAAAACCAAUCUAACACAGAAAAAAAUAAAUUGAACAAAAGGGCUAUUUAAAAAAAUAAAUAAAUAAUGGAAGUGAUUAAAUUUUGGUAGCUACUAAGAACUACACUCUGUAUGUUCCUUGUGAAGAUUAUGUUUGUUGUUUAGUUAGUAGCAUUAUGAUUGGCAUAAAUUUAAAACCAAAAUACUGAAAAGAAGAAUAAAACAGCAUGGAGAAACGAGGAAGAUGAUAAAAAACAACAAAAGAAUCAAUCCCCAAACACGUCGUAAUAUGAUUGGGCGUUUGUAGCUUUUGGAGACAACACUGUCACACUAACAUUUUCUAUUCCCAUUUCAUUAUCUUCUCCACAAAUAAGAAACUUGCUCUUAUUAUUAUACAAUAAAAUAUCUUAAUACAUUAUCAUGCACAACUGUUCUGUCGCAGUACUACAUUCAAAGCAUCUUUCUAAUUAUUAAAUCACCCCAAUAAUACAUUCAAAAUUAAAAUAUGUGGCCAUCACUGCAACUUAUUAAUCUUUUUUUUUCGGUAUAUGUUAUUCAUAUAAUAAUUUUUUAUUAUCUCCAUUACUUUAUUUCAUAUUUAUAGCUGUAGUUUACUUUUCAUUGCACAGUUUCUUUAUUCAUACUUUAUUUAUACGUACAUACAAUUUUACCAACAUGUUUGUGAAAGUGUUCAUAGAUAAUUUAGUUUUUAACAUGAUCACAAAAAGUUUUAUUUUUUUUUUAUGAUGUAAAUAAGUAUGUUAGGAAGAGUUUUGUAUAACUAUUUUAAGGGGGAAAAAUAAGUUAAAGAAAUAAAAAGAUUUUUUUUUUAUAAAUUAAGAGACAAUUUUUGACAAAUUAGUUUAAAUGCAUAAACUAAUCUUAAUUUAGGUAAGAUAUAAUUUUUUUUUCACAUGUAGAAAUUUGUCUAAACAUAUAAAACAACAUUAAUUUAACCCAAUUAAAAGAAACCCAUUUUGAUGAUUUAUAUUUAUGUUGAAAAACAUUAAUCUAAUUACCAAAAUACUUUUUUUUAGAAAUAUAUAUAUAAAUAUGAGUUGUGGAAACUUUAAUAGUUGAUAAUUUUUUAUGAUAUAGAUGAAGUAUUGAAUUGAAUUAUGAAAGUGUUGAAUAAAUUUGUAAAAAUGUAAUGAUAAGCCCUAAAAACUGGAUUUUUUCGUAACAGAAAGAGAUUAGUCAAAUAUUUGAAGUGUAUCUUUCCAAAGCUGAAGUCCACUAAAAACUCCUUUUCCUAUUCACAAGUAAAUAGCAAAAGUUGGUGAGAUUAUAAAGCUCUAUGAUUCAUUGGGCCUAGUCAGAAUCUCACCUCUGCCAACCUGGGAUUCUGUUUAUGCUCAAAUAAAUUACUUUAAAAUAUCUCUUUUCUUCAAAAGCCAACUUCUUUCUAACCUCUAUAUAUCUACCUCUUCCAUUUUUCUAUGCUGCAUAGUAAAAUCACAUAACAAAAAUUUAUAAACCUUUUCUUUUAUCCUAGCUUUCACUUUACACUUAUCAGACGUAAUAGUGAAUAAAAUAGAUUUUAUCAUAGUUUAUAUAAUGGUAUCAUUCAAUUGUUCUUAUAUUAUAUUAAGAUAAUAACAUUUAUGGUUAACCCAAUUUACUAAUUCGAUUAUGGGAAGAAAAUGUGAUCUAGUUAUAUAUAUUAUAAUUUAAUUUUAAGUUGAUGUUAAUACUAGAAGGUGAACUUUAAGUCUAAUUCAAUUUCACAUAAAAUCGAUUUUUAAGGUGAGGUUUACAUGUCACUCAUGUAUUAUAAAUUAGUCUCAUCUCUAAUCGAUGUGGGACUUUCAACCAUUAAGAAGUGAAUUGUAAGUUGUUUAAUUCAACUUUAUAAAAUUAAUUUCUAAGAUAAAGUUUAUAUUUACUUAUGUAUUUUACAUUAGUCUUAUCGAUUAACUUUAUAUUAGUCUUAUCUUUAGUCGACGUGAGAUUUUUAAAUUGGUGAAAUGUUUUAUUAGAAAAAAAAAUGAAAGAAAUGGGAGAAAUUUUUGUUGAGCAUGGGUGAAGUUAACGAAAUGUCCUAAUCAUUUGUAAUUAGACUUUUGAGAGAAAAGGGUGACCCCAUUAAUACAGCUGGUUACAGCAUAAGUGAAAUCAUAUCCACCAGAUUUUGCGAUUUAGCAUGGGUUAAUUGACAUGACCUUUAACGAGAUUUUAGUGAAGACCCACGAAAAUUCAUAGUGGUUUGAUGUGAUGUGCCAAUAAUUAACGGGCAUACGCUAACCAAAGUUUUGGGAUAAACAAAUAAUUCUUCAAUUAGAAAAGAAAGAACAGGGGGAAAUAUCUGUUACCUUAAGAAAUUCUCUAUCAGUAUAAUAUUAAGAGAGACAAUGAAAGCUGGUAGAAAGUCUUUGUUUAAUUAGCCAUAUAUCUUACAGUUGGUGCCAGAAUAAUAAUAAGAAUUUGCACCACAGAAUACAGAAUCUUCCUAAGAUUUUACAGUGAAUAAUUGUAAGGGGAAAAAAAUAUUGGAAAAGACCUGCCUCAGAAGAUAAGAAACUGGAAUCAUUGAAAGGGAGAAGAGGGGUAAAAAAUUGAGAAAACAAAAGACAAAAAAACAAAGGGUUCUGUUGAAUAUGAUGGCUUAAUAAAUCUUUUGUUGUUGUUGUUGUAUACAGCAGUUUUCGUAAUCUUCUGGGCUUCAAUGGAGGCGUAAUGAAGGGUGAGUCUUCAAUGAUCAGAGCUCAACUUUCAUCUGGGGUACAUUAUUUGAACCUGUGUUGUACCAGACAAAAAAAGUGUAUGUAAUAAGAAUGAGAAUAAUGUCAAUAUUGUUGUGCCUAAUAUUCAAUUAACAUGUCAAUACUAUCUGACUUUUCUGCUAUAUUACCGUUGAAACUUGGGGAUUGGAUUGGUGUUUUCCAGUUUGCAGUUUGCCCAAACCCCAUCUGCACAAUGGUGUGCAGAUCCUCCUCACAGAAUGUUAAUGGAAACUGAAAAACAAUCAGACACAGAAAAAUCAGAGAAAGAACCAGAAUUUACUUUUAAGGUAAUAGCUGUAGUAAUGCCAAGUUUAAGACUGUUUUUUACAUGUAUAAAUUAAUUGCACUUAUCAAUUAUGAUAAGACUGUUUAAUGUAUAACUUUAGGUCACUGUCAUAAACAAGUUGUAAUGCAUAACUACCUAACAAUAAUGAUGAUUUUACAUGUAAAAAGUAAACAGAGAAUGUAGUAAUGCAAAAUGUACCAUUUUUCUUUCAUUAUUAAUUUAUGGAGAAAAAGUGGAAGAGGGUUAUUAUUACCUGAGAGGCAACUUCAUUAAACCCAUUUAGGGGGGGUAAUUGCAUUGCAAGAUUUUGGCACAAAGAUGUGUCUAAUGGGUCCACUGAGCAGUGGGUCACCGUUCUGUUAGGUAUGUUAUUAUGGAUAACUGGGUUUUGCUGAUGCUGGUGCCCAUAAAAGGCUUGUGCUGAGGAAUCUAGAGGGAAUGUUGGAUUUGGGUGUGUUGCCAAAGAAUUAUUAGAUUGAAAUACCUGAAAACAUCAAAAGCCAAAGAACCCCAUUUCAGGAAUCUUCUUAAAAGACCUCAAAAGCAACAAAUUUUGUGGAGAAAAAGUGAACCAUGGAAUUUACAUCUUUUGAAACAAGGCUGUCAAUACUAAGAUCCAUCCUUGUGUUAACAGAGGCCAACUUCAUAGAUAGGAACUGUUCUCAGAGAGAAAGAGAGAGAGAAAAAGAGAGCAUAACUUAGUGAGCAAGAAUACAAACACACACAUGAUGACAAUCAUUUGAAAAUUGAGAUGCUUAUUUGAAAAGAUUGGUUACCUCAACUUGACGCUGCAAUGACUGAACAUAAUUUAUAAUUUCAUCUAGCAUAAGUGCUUUUCCAGUGACCUAUCAGGAAUAAAGAAACAAUUGAUGCACCCAAGUUAGUAAAAGUACAGAGUUUACAUUUACCAACACUAAAAAGUUUUGGAUUUUAACUUGUUUUCUCACCUUGUUGCAACCUGGUACAAGAUCUUGGAGCAGCUUCAUCCUCUCACUGAUUUUCUCCCUCCGUACCUGUUUAAUGGUUGAUUAAAUGUCAAAUGAAAGCUACACACGUUUUGUUGCAAGUGUCAUUAAUAGGAACCAGAAGCACUGAUUCUUACACGUUCUGCAAGACUAUGACUGUCAGUGGCUUGGCCUCUUCUUGCUCUCACAUGAAUGUAAUCUUUUGGUGGCUCAGGAGGUUUUGAGUUGCUUUUGUUCUGUUUCUCUUCCACUGCUUUGGACUCUUCCUCAACCUUCACCUGUCCAUUUUCGUUUCCCUCACCCUCGUUUGGCUUGGUUCGCUUUGAAUUUGAAUCCUCACUGACUUCAACGCCCUGAGUUGAAAAGGACACCAUUCAGAUUGCAAAUUCUCUUUGCAGAAUCAAGGUUUUAGAAAAUGAUCCUUCACGAUAUAAGUCACAAUUUCUCGAAAUAUCAAGAAAUGAGACAGAAUCACAACCAUAACCAUAGUUUGAAACUUUAUGCAGAACGAAAAAACCAUAACAAAAUAGAAGUUUGACUUCAAAAACAAGUUUUUUUUUAUUAUUAUUAUUAUUAUUACCUUGAUGGAGUUAGAAGUUUCUCUGGUUUUUCCUUUGGAAGAUGCUUUUCUUUUCCUGGAAUUCGUCAUAUCUUGGCAAUUUUUCAUCCCAAUUUCUCCAUUUGGUGUUUGCUCAGAUAUGGUAGAUUCCUCUUGAGAAUUGGCAACCUCAACUUUCUCCUGGUCCUGAAUUGCUGAAUUCUUGUUCUCUGGGGUACCCAUUUGAGAUCCGAGUGUUUUGAGCAGAGGACUACUUGAGAUUCUAGAUAACUUUCCACCAUUUUCCACCGCUGAUGCAGAUCUUUGAGCCAAUUCACCAUUGUUCACCCCCAAUUGGACGUUCCUGCCAUUGAAACUCCUGCUGCCAAAGCAAGAAAACUUUGCAGCCCUCUCAGCGAAACCAGGGUCAGCAGAGAAUUCGGCGACACUGGAAUUCAAAGUCAUUGACUUUCCUCCGAAAUUUGCCAACCUCUCAUUCACCAAGCUCUGCACAGUCUUGACCUUUGGAGGGGAACUCAAAGGGGUGGUGUAACAAGAAGUAUUGGGGCUGCCACUGCCAUUAUUCAUGUAAGAAGAGGCCACAACCAAAGGGUGAGGAGAGUGUUGUGGGAUCUCAUCAGAACUCCCAAUAGCUCCCAAUCUCCCGACCAAUUCCCUGAUGAUGAAAUUAUCAUUGGAGAUGUUGCUGCUGGGGUUGGAUGAUGCUGCAGGAGAGGAGACCAUUGAACUGAGUGCUGAGGAAUCAAAGUGAAGUGCAUGAUCUGUUGAUUUUUCCCAAUUGGGGUUGUAAAAGCAAUCCUGGGUCUGCUCAGAGGCACAAUUGAGAAGUGUUGGUUGAAUUCCCAUGGUGGGUGAGAGUGAUUGCCAAGAGGGCACUGAAGAAGAAGAAGGUGGAGGUGGUGGUGAAGGUUCAAAGUGAAGGGGAUGCUGUGUUUGUGACACCCCAGAAUUGAUAAAGAACUGAUUUUCCAUUGGGAGAUGAAUGACAGAAAGAGGAAACAACAGAAAGGAACUGAAUUUGGAAGAGUUGGUUAAGUUAAGGUUUAUUAUGUCCCUGGAACCUGAAGCAAAAUGAUUGUGAUUUUGGGAAAUUACAUUAGGAAACAAUAAGAGGAUUUAAAGGAGAAGUGUAGAAAUGUGGGACAAGUGUGUGUAAUUGGAGUGAUUAAUGAAGUGGUUUGGAUUGGAGUUGAGAAGAGAGAGAGAGAGAAAGAGAAAUAGAAAGAGAGUUUGGUGUGAAAAGGGAAGUGUGUUUGGUAAAUAGAAAGAUGGAAAAGAUUGAGAGAGAGAGAGAGAGAGAGAAGAGAAAGGAGGGGGGAAGAAAAUAGAUGGGACUACAAUGGGGUUAAAUAGACCCAAAACAAGAGAAACACUCUAUUGACCUUUUCUUUUUUUAAUUUCAUAAUGGGCUAUUUUGAUGUGUUAAAUGCUAUAGUAAAUAAAAUUAAAGACAAAACCUUUUUAUCAAAACAAAUGUAUUUGCUAUCAUCAUCUCCUCUUUUUUUUUUUUUUGUAUAUAUAAAAAGAAAAAGCACUAAUGUUGGUUGAGAAGUAGUUUAGGUUUUCAAUCUUUAAUAAUAACAAAUAAUAUGUGCUAUAAUAUCCUAGUUAAAAACAAAGAUAAGCCAAAGUUGUAGAAGAAAAAUAAUGAAACUUACCAAUUGGGACAUAUAUAAUUAGAAGUAUCACUAUACUUAAAAAUAGAAUAAAUCAUUGAAUAAAGAAUUAGUUAAUGUGAAAUUAAAAAAAAAAAAAAUCAAAUGCUUUUUGUUUGCUUAAAUUGGUAAAGAAAUGGAAUAUCGUGUAGAUUUUAACUCUAUUUUUUAUAAUCUAAACUAAUUAAAUAUAUUUUAAAUGAAUUUCAAUAAAAUUAUCACAAAAUUAAUGUAAAUUAUUAAUAAAAUAAUAAUGUAAAUCUUUACGCAUUUAGUACAUCUAAAUUAAGUUUAAUAAAAGUAUCUAUAAUUUUUUUUUAAAAAAAUAUUGAGUUAAAAUAGUUCAUACAAUGGCUUAAAGGUCCAUUCAUCAAAACCAUUGAGAUAAUAGUCAGAAUUUUAUUUAUUUUUUUUAUAUCAAAUAAAGCUUGAGUUAAAUCUAUCAUAUCAUUAAAAAUUGAUCUAUCAGUUUUUCGAAGGUUUUACCUCAUUAAUUUGAUUAAAAAUUAAAUUUAGAAAAUACUCAAUCAAUUAAAUUUUCAAAUUAGAAACUAUAUAUAAACAUUUUUCCAACACUAAACGCUCUAAAUUAAAACCAAAUCACAGAUUUUUAAUAUACUGCGAUCUCUUCAUUCUAUUAUAAAAAGUUGAUGAAUAAUUAUAUAGAGUUGAUAUAAAAUAUUUUUGAUUUUAGGUUAGGUAGCGGGGUAGACAAAAGUAGUGUGAGUAGUCAUUAGUAAGUUACAGUCUAUUUGUUAGUUUCUUUUUCUCUAUAUUUGAAUUUAGAUUAAAUUAAUUGUCAUUUUUAUGUUUUCUUUUUCAAAUUAUAUUCAUAUUUACUAUUAUAAUCAUUUUAUCUCAAGUAGGAAUUGUUGAUACGAGAAACAAUUAUCUUCCACCUUAAGAAAUCUAUGUUUGUCAUACUCCCACUGAGAUCUUAUUUCUACUAAUAAAAAAAGUUAUUAAAUAUAUUUUUACUAAAAACACUAUUGUAUUAUUUGAAUUAGAGGAUAAAAAAGAUGAUAAUGAAUAAAAAAGACAAUAAAAGGAAGGUUGGAUAGAAUCAAAAUGACUGGAACAUGAUAUACUUUUAUUUGUCAUUAAUAAGUUUAUUUAUUCUUUUCAAAAUUAUUAUGAUAGAAAAGUGAAAAAAAAAACAAAAAAAACACCUAAAAGUAAUUAUAGAUAAUUUAUAAUUAAUUAUUAAUGCAUAUAAUAUAUAUAUAUAUAUAUAUAUAUAUAUAUAUAUAUAUAUAUUCUUUUGCAAUAACGUAGUCGAUCAUGUGAUCAUGUGUGCAACAUAAUAAAUUAUGUUGUAUCUUUAUAUAAUUUUGUUUCCUUUUUUUUUUUUUUCUCACAUGUCACUUGGUAUUUUUCACUAAUAUAUCACAUACAAAUUUCUCAUGUUUCCUUUUCCUCUUGAGAUCAAUUAAGACAAAUCACAAUCAUUUUCUUAUAUAAUUAAGAGAUAUGAUGUAAUAUAAAAGACUAUUAAAUAUGUUUUUCUUAAAUUAUUAUUAUAAUGAUCUAUAAUAUAUAUGUGUAUAUAUAUAUAUAUAUAUAUAUAUAUAUAUAUAUAUAUAUAUAUUCACAUGUCAUUUGUUAAAAAAAAACUUGAUAUAACUUUGAUGAAAUUUUGAUAAAAUUUGAACUAAUAUAAGUGAUAAUUUAAUUUAGGUAUGAAACAAAAAUGUUUUAUAGUAUUUUGAAAAGCAAAAGCAUAUUUAAAGAAAGUAAUAUAAUGAUUUAAAAAUUGAAAAAAAGAAAUAAAGAAAAAAUGAUAGUAAUAGAAUGUUGAAAUAUUGAAUAGUAUGUGUCUAUCUCUCCCCGUAAAAGACGGAGGAGGGUGUUGGUUGGGCAGCAUUGGACGUCAGAACACCAAAAUGUGUCGUCGUUUGCUUUCCUUUUCUUCACACUUUUACGGAUCUAAUGGAAGCCAGGAAGGAUAGACAGCUCUACUAAACUUAUUCUAUUUUUUCUAUUAUUUUUAUGAUUACACUUCAAUUCAGCAUUUACUUAUAAAUUCUUUUUCUUUUCAUCUCUCAAUUAAUCCUUAAUUUAUGAAUAAAUUAUUUGUACUAUAUGAAAUAUAUAGAGCUAAUGAUUAUUUAUGGACAGUUAGAUAUUAAUGUGUUUGAUUGUCUAAAAAUAUUAUAGUUAAUUGUUAAUCAAUGAGCUUAACUACCACAAACCCUAUACAUAUAGAUCUUGAGGUAAAAUAACAUUGAUUUAUCCUAAUAAGAUAUAGACUAUUUUAUGAAACAUAUUUAACUUGAACAUCAAAGUAACUUCUUCAAGUUAACAAUCCACCAUCGAGGUGGAUUACACUCUCAAAGAGAAUUGAAGAUUAAACGAGGAUAGAACAAGAAAGAACGACCGACUCUUGAACCAGUUUUAUCCAAAUAUUGUUAUUUUUAUAUAUCAACAUGUUAAGUUCUUGUAAAUAAAAAUUUAAAAAGAUUUAACAUCAAUAAAAAGUAUUACUUUUAAUUCAAAUAUGUAAAUCUUAUUUUCUAAUCAAUAAAUAUGUGUUAAAUAUUGAUCUUCAAAUUUAUUUUUAUAUAAUAUUACUUUUUAAUCAAUAAAUAUGUGGAUAUUUUUUUUAAUAUUGAUCUUCAAGCUUAUUUUUAUAUAAUAUGAGACGAAACUCUUAUUUGAAUGUUAAUUGAGUUUGUAUAUAUGGGAUAAACAUUUUAAUAAAAAUUUAAGAGAAAGAUUGUUAUGCUUAAGAUUAAUUAGGUUGUCUCUAAUCUAGUCUUUAAACAAGUUUAUCUUAACGUACCUUAUAAAGAAAAUUGUGAUUUAGUAUAUGAAUAUAAGAAGUAUAACGAUUUUGUCCUUAAUGAUGAUUUCAACUUGAUAUCAAGUUAGUUCUAGUUAAAUUAUUUUUAAAAAUUUGAAUUUAAUGUUAAAAUAAUGUCUUGUUAUAUUUUUAGAAUAAAUGAUUUUUUUUAAUGAUUGGUUUGCACCAAAAAUAUCACGUGCCCUUAAGUUAAAGGAAGUCGAAAAGGUUUUUGAAAAUAGAAAUGGACCCUACAUUAUUUAAAGAGUUAUUUAAUUUUAGAAAAAAUAUUUGAUUUUUCAUAAUUUCUCUAAUUAACUUAAGCAAUUUUAUCACUUUCUGAAAGUAAAGCACUAGAUAGUCAUUUAAAUAUAUUAUAUCCUCAGUCACAUGUUUAUAUAUUUUAAGAAGCUUGACGUCCUUCGAGCUAAUUCUGCCUAUUUUUCUUCCUCUGGAGAUUUCUAGUUUUCUUUAAUUAUAUAAUUCCAGAGAAAAUAAAAGAGUAUCUUAUUAAAAAUACCGAAUUUGUUUUAUUUACCAUAACUUUUCUCGUCUAAAAUUGUCGGUGUAUUCAACAUUAUUUACUUUCGGUCAAAUAUUAUUUAAAGGAAAUUAAAAUGUGGAUUAAAAAAUUGUGCGAAGUAAAGUAAUUGAGACGGCACCAAUUUUCCUCAUACUUGUAGAAGUCUCGGUUAAUUGACUUUUGACAAUGAAGAGAAAUAUUUAAUUUAAUAAUAAAAGUUAAAUUAGUUAAUUCACUAAAGGAAAAUGUAUUAAUUAUAUCUUUCAUUUAAGUUGUAAAUUCACCAUUUGAAUUAUAUGUAUUAUACUUUGAGUAAAUUUAUGCUUCCAUAAGAGUUGAUAUCUUUAAGAAAAGAGUGUUGGAAAAAUUUUUAUUUUUCUUUGAGUGUUUAAUGAAUGUUUGAGGGAUUAAUUCUAAGUGAAGAAAUAAUUAAUCUUAAUUCUUUUGUUCAAGUGAAACACAUUAUUGUACGAGCAAUACGACUUUUGUAUUAAAUUACUAAUUUUAGAAUUCAUACUUAUAUUUUAUAUAAGAAAUUUAGGUGAGAAAAAAUAUUUUGAUUUUUUCUUAAAUUUUAUAAGUCAUAACUUAAGUGACAUAAAAUAUUAUCACAUGAUUAAAGAUCAUUAGAAAGUAAUAUUCUAUCAUUACAAUAUUAGUGUUAUUUUAGUCAAUGUGAUAAACAAAAAGAAUAUCAAAACACAACGAUUUUUUAGUACAUAAUCCAAUUAUAGAAACAAGUGUUAUACUUAAAACAAUUAGGUUUAAUUCAUAUAGUCAUUCAAAAGCCAAAUAACAUUUUUUGAUAAAACAUACAAUUUCAAUUUCAAUUAAUUCUUCAACAUUUUAAAAUAUUUUUUCGAUAUUCAACUUAAUAUCAAAUCAUUCUCAAUCAUCCUUUCAUUAUAAGAAUACAUUUUUUUUUUAUGUUUUCCAAAAGAGGAGAUCAAGUUAGUCUUUCUUAUCUAAAGAUAACCUAUUAAGUAAGAAAAUUCUUUUUGUAGUAUGUUAAUCUUUCUAAAGAACACAAAGAAAUUUCGAAGAGUUUCAUAAUUUGAAAAUGUGACGAUAAAAAAAUUGUAAUAAACUAAAUAAAAAAUUGUAAUAACUUAAUCUAAUAGAAAUGACUCACUAAUAUGUCAUGGGUUGAUAUGAUUUAUAAUAAAAACUAUAUUUUUGAAUGCAAAACUUGCGUUUAAAUAAUUCAACAUAUAAUUGUUUCUCACACAAAAUACUCAACACUAUCAUCAGAUGUUCCUUAUGAUUCUCAUGAGUGAUAGAGUAAAUCAAUAAGAAUUAGUCUAUGAAAUGAUGAACAAUCAUCUUCAUGUAGUCCAUAAAUAUAAUGGAAGCACUUGUCACUCGAAAAUGUACAAUAACAAACUCAUCGUGACUAUACUUAGAUUUAAAAGUUGUUUUCAAAACAUUUUCAACCUAUUAUGGGUAACUAGGUGAAAAACAUAUUUUAGAAAAGAAAUGUACAAUAUGUAAUUGAUCCAUCAAACUCUAUGAAAUUACAAGAAAAACACUUAUGGUAGGGGGGCGGGGGGGGGGGGGUGAAAUGGUAUUUUUCAAAUUUUUUCAUAAUACAGUGUCUAAUAUCUUUGCAAAGAAGGUAAGAAAAUGUUUUUGGAAUGCUUAGAUGAUAUAAGGACACUUUAAACUUUUCUAUUUUUUCAUGUUGUUAUUUUUCUUAUGUUAUCUUUCUUGCGAUUUUUCAUCAGCAACAUCUUCUCUUAAAGUUUUCUUCUAUAUAUAGUUUCUCUUGAAAGAUGAUCGUUAGACCAAGAAGUUGACUUCUGAAGAGUUGGUAGCCUUUCGAUGUGCAAUUUGACUUUAGUCUACUUUAUAGGGUCCAAAGCUUUUUCUUGUAACCUUAAGUGAAACUUGAGCUUGUACGAUGUGAUAGAACAAAAGUCUUCAAGGAAACAAUCCCAUAUUGUUCUUCUUCUCUCGCAACGUAUUUUUCUUGGUUGUGAUUAUGAUCAUAUCUUUCUUCUUUAUUGAUCUGCAUUGAUAUCAAUAACAAAGUAUACAAACAUUGAAGUACUUUUUCAUACAUGCGUUAAAUGUUUUGAAUGUUAAUAAUCGUUAAAUAGUGUAGUGUUUUCAAGACAUUAUAUAAUUUGUCAUUUCAUUAAUAAAUGCAUCGUUUGGUAAGACAAAUCACAUAUGUAUAUUCAUCAGAUGAUAUUAUCGUGAAGUACUUUUAAAGACUAAAGUGUUUCAGAGGUCAUUCAUCAUAAAAUAAUCAAUAUUUGGUACAUGAUACUUAUUCUUAAUAGUGAUCUUGUUUGGUUGUAUAUAAUUAAUUCAUAAAUUAAAUGAGUCAUCAUUUUUCUUACCUAAAAUAACUACAAGACCUUAAAAAGAUAAACUAGGUUUGAGGAAUUAUUUUUCCUAAAGAUCUUCAACUUGAUUUUCAACUUUUACUCAACUAAUUCUACUAGAAUCAUCUUGUAAGAAAUAAUAUAUAUUUGUUCUACAUUUAGAAUUAGUUGAUAGAAAAAUUUAUUUCCCUUUUCAAUGGUAAUCCUAUAAUCUAUUCAAGAAGAUAUCCAUGUAUUAUUGUACUACAAUCCACAUAUUCUUCCUUUAAUAAUCAUUUCUCACUAUUGUCCAAACAAGGAACAAAAAGCACAUUGCCCUUAUUGCAUAUUAAUAAGUUUCUAGAAAUUAAAGUAAUACUAUGAGGUACGAAGAUUUACAAUCUCUUGAAUUUAAUGAUAUUUUGAUGUAUUUCAGUGACUUUGGAGGAAAACAACAAUGAUGUAGUUGAGCCACAACUAUUGGCAUGGAGCACUUAAAAAGGAAAAGAAAGAAUAUGAAUUUUGGCUUUACAACUGAGCGGUGCACAAUGAUGCUAAGUCACACAAGAAAAACCCUUGCAUAAGGAAACCUGAAGCAUUAAAAAAAUGGGCUAAGCUACCAAUGAAAUCCUUCAAAGAGGGACAACUAAAGUGUUGAUCACCAGAACAAAGGACUGAGAUGAAAGAAAACCCACCAUGGAAGGAAACUCUUGUUGAGCACUACAACAUGAAGCUUAGCAUUGCCCAAAAUUAUCUAUAAAUAUAGGGCAUUGCCUUUGGUUUUAUCAUUCCAUUGUACUAAAGUAGAUCAUCUAAGUGUGAGACAUAGGAAAGGAACAAUAAACUCCUAGAGUGAGCAUUUCUCAUCAUUACAAGUAGUUGAACUCUCUUAUGUGCAGAUUGGUUGUAAUUGAUUCUAAUUCUCUAUACUACUACCUCGUUAAUAUAUAUGUAUACUUUUAAUCAACUGUUUGUAGUUUGAUUUAUGCUUAAUUCUUAGGUGAAUUAGCUACUAAUCUUAUUUCAGUGGUUUUAAUUGAGUUAGAAAAACUAAUAUUAAAUUGUGGUAUAAUCAAACCACCUCAUUCUUGUUAGAGGAUAGUACAUGCUCUAAAACUUGGGCUGAAUAUAAAAUUCUUACGCUUAAUGUAAUGAUUCAUUCAAUAAGGAGUUGAGGAAUCACAUUGAGUUUCAAGUACUUAGGUUCUAGACUACAUGAAUGAGUUUAGAAUUACCUUAAAGUAUUUAUAGGACAUUGGAUGAAUUAGAUACUAUAUAUAAAAGAUAAGUAGCAUUACAAUAGAAAAAGAAGAGAUGAAAUCUAACCUCAACAUAUAUUUAUCAUCAUAUUUUCCAAAUCUUUAUGAAGUCUUAUUUUUAUGAUCAUCGCAAAUUUAAUAAACAUUAUUCCAUUGAAUCUAGAAUUAAACAUUGAACAAUCUUAAUUAAUUUCUAUAGAUACAACACUUAUUUGAUGCUACUACAUAUCCAAUACACUUACUAUAAUUGGUUGCUACUUUAACAUAUCAUUACAUAUCCUUUUAAGAACUAUUAGGCUAAAAUUAACUUGUUCCUUUGGACGAAGAGAUAUAAUUUUUUUUUUGUCGUAAGUUAUCAUAAUACGAUUAACAAAUAGUCAAUCCACUAAGAUUACAUUUAGUUUACUUAAGGGUAAAAAAACCAAAUUAAAUUUGCAUCCAUUCAUAACUAUAUAAGGAAGACCAAGAAAAAACAUGUAUAUUUAUUUAUAUUGAUAGAAUGACAAGAAGAUGAUAUAACUUAAUUGGUUAUAGUUUUUUAAUAAAGGAAGUCAUGAGUUCAAUUCUUACCUAGCACUAUUAUUAAUUCAUUUUUCUAAGAAUAAUGAAAUAAGAGCUAGAAGUUUAAAUGUGAAUUGUAGGAAGGUUUAAGAGAAAAAUCAACAUGGGGGCAAGAAAAUGGUGCUUAGAGAAAAGAGAAAGAGAGGCGUGCUCUUGGAGACUUUAGGAAGAAAGAUUUUUAUUUUGAAUGUAUUUUGGAACAAUUUAAUUACUAAAUAUUUUUAUAUGUUUUUAUUAUUGAAUAAAUUUAUAUUAGGAAUAUUUAUUUGAUGUAAUAAAUGAAAGUUUUACCUUCCAUAUAUUUUUAUAUGGUGAUUAGACAUGAAUAUGCUAACAACUUCUACUACAUGAGCAAUGUCUGGUCUAGUGCAUACAAUUGCAUGUAUUAAGCUACCAAUUGCAGAUGUAUAAGGAAUCUUAGCCAUUUAUGCCAUGUCUUCGUCUGUUUUAGCUGAUUACUCUUUGGUGAGAUUAAAGUAAACUCCCAAAGGUGUACUUAGGAUCUUGGCAUCCUGCAUAUUGGAUUUCUCUAGCACUUUCCCAACUUACUUCUAUUGAGAUAAUAUUAGAGAACCAUCAAUUUUUUUCUUGCUAAUGUUCAUGCCUAAAAUAAGCUUUGCAACACCCAAAUCAUUUAUCUCAAACUCUUCAGACAAUUACACCUUUAAUUUAUUAAUUUCAUCUAUAGUAGAGCUUACAACUAACAUGUCAUCAACAUACAAUAAUAAUAUAAUAUAGGAUAGGGCAAAAUCUUUCAUAUAACAAUGUUGAUGCAUAACACACCUUUCUUAUUCAUAAAACUAUCAAACUUCCAGCACCAUUGUCUUGGUGCUUGAUUCAACCCAUACAAACUCUUCGUCAACUUGCAAACCAAGUUCUCUUUCCUUGCCAGUUGGAAACCCUCUGGUUGUACCAUGUGGAUGUUCUCAUCAAGGUCACCAUGUAAGAACGUGUUUUAAAAUCUAACUGUUCUAGAUGUAGAUCCUUUACAACCAUAAUGCUUAAAACAAGUCCAACGAAUAUUGACUUUUUUAUUGACUUCUUUAUAUUAAAAUCUACACCGCCUUUUCCUUCUCUAUUGACUUCUUUUUAUUUUUAGCAUUUGUCUCAAGUUUGUCCAUGUACAACUACAUUUUCAUUGAAUGUAACAUCUCUACUUCUAAUGACCUUUCUAUUUUGAUAAUUAUAAAAGAGAUAUCCCUUAUCAUAUGCUUCAUAGACAAUGAAAAUGCACUUUCUUACUUUCAGAUCAAGCAUGUCCUUGUCAGCAUCUCUAACAUGAACAUAAGAAACACAACCAUAUACUUUCAAGUGAUAAAGAGUUACAUCCCUGCCUUGUCAUUCCUCCUUAGGAAUCUUAAAUCCUAUAAGAACUAAUGGUCCUUUAUUAAUGAGGUAUGUUGUUGUGCUCACUAUGUCUCCUCGGAUUGUCCUUAUUAACCCUGCAUGAAUUCUCAUACUCUUUUCCCUCUCAUUCAAGGUCCUAUUAAUUCUUUUAGCAACACCAUUCUGUUGAAGUGUCUCAAAAAUAUUUUUAAGGAUUCUAACUCCAUUCUCAGCAUAAUAAUAAACCAAUUCAAAACUAUUAUAUUCACCAUCAUGAUCAGACUUUAAACAUUUACUUUUUACCCUUAUCUUAUUCUGAACAACAACUUUCCACUUUUUAAACGUAUUAAAUACUUCUGAUUUUUACUUCAAAAAAUAAAUCAGUACAUUUCUAGUAGAAUCAUAAAAAAAGGUGACAUAGUAUCAUGAUCCUCCUAAUGAUGUGACUAAUGUUGACCAAUACAAAUUUGUAUGAACAAGUUUCGACUUCUCAACCUUAGGCAUCCUUUCGGUCUUGGAAAAAGUAACUCUUUUCUUCUUCUUAAACACAUAGAAACCAAUUUUUACUCGUUUUUAGAAUCGUCUGAUUUUUGACUAAUUCCUUUAUACCUUUCUCGCUUAUGUGACCAAGUCUUUGGUGCCACAAAAUUGAAGGGUGAUCAACAUCAUCACUAAUUGAGUUUACUUAUUCUAUAGGUAAUUCUAUCAUGUAGAAGGUUCUUGUCUUCCAACUGCGAGUAACAACUAGAGUACCCUUAACCACCCUCCAUUGACCAUCACCGAAUAUGACUUGAUAUCGCUGAACAUUUAGCAUGCCCACAUAGAUUAACAUUAAUGUCGAAACUAUACUAGUAGAAGUUUUAAGAUUUAUAUCUCCCAUGCAUGCGAUGUCUAAAGGCUCAUCAUUUGCUAGACGAACUUUGGCAUAAUUUCCAGUUCUAAAAUUUUUCAUAAUUCAUUGCGAGGAGAAGCAUGUAAUAUACACCAUAAUACAUGAUCCAAGAUUCAAACUUGCUUUCAAAACAAAAAAAUUAAUGUAUCAUCAAAGUCUUGUUAUGUUGCAUUCACUAUGUUUUCAUGUCUCUUUUCUUUAGGAGAAGCAAUAUUAGUUUUUAAAGUGAUCAUUUGGUUGACAAUUCCUAAAGGUAAUAUCCUUGCAAGUUUUGGAAUAUCCUUGUUUCUUGGAAUUUGAUCUACCAUGCCCAUAAUGUCGUCCUCCUUCAGGCCUUUUACCUAUACUUUUAGUGCUUCAAGGAACCUAUUAAUUCUUUGGUGUUCCUUCUACGAACAUCCUCCCUAAGGAUUAAAUACUUAAUCCCGUCAAAGAUUUAUUUUAUAGUCCCAAAUGUACUAGUUACUGCCGUGAUAGUUCUCGACCAACUAUUAGGCAAUAAAGAUAACAACAAUAGGGCUUGUAAUUCAUUGUCAAAUUUAAUACCCAUUGAAACUAAUCUUGACAAUAAAGAAUUAAAUUCAUUCACAUGUUCUAUAACACUAGCACCUUCUCACAUCUUCAUAUUAACAACUAACAAAUCAAGAAUAUCUUGUUUGAUGUUGAUGGCUUUUUGUACAUGUUUGAUAUCAAUCCAUACAUUGUCUUCUCGUUGACAAUAUUGUAAGCAACAUUCUUCGCUAAUGUUAAUCUGACGACGCCUAAAGCCUAUUAAUCUAGCAACUCUCAAUUUGCUUAAGACAAUUUGUGGUUUAUUUUUGGACAAAGGCUGGUACAAUUUCUUUUGAUAGAGAUAAUCUUCAAUUUGCAUCUUCUAGAAUCCUAAAUAAUUUUCAUCAAACUUGUCAAUCUUCACUUUUCCACCUUCUAUAAUUGGUUUCUCUUAUGAGAAACCCUAAAUUCUUGAUACUAGUUGUUCGAGAUCACAAACACUCACACACGAGAACAAUUACAAGACAAAAAUAAAUAAAAAGAACACAAAAGAUUUACAUGGUUUAAUCAAAAUGAUGUACAUUCACAAUUGUAUAAACGAUAUUUUAAAUUAAUUGAUUAGGUUUAAAAAUACAUGAGUAUUUAUAAAAAUAAAACAAAUAAAGGAACCAGACCCAAUAAUCUUUUCAGACUCCACAUACUCAAUAAUUCAAUCCUACAUAAUUGAUUUAUUACUGUCAUUUAUAUAUAUAUAUAUAUAUAUAUAUAUAUAUAUAUAUAUUAAAUUUAUAUUCUUUCUAAUAUAAAACAUUCAUUAAAAAAUGACUAUAUCUAAUAAGUUUAUUUUUAAAAAUAUCUGUAUUCCAUUAUAUUUUUUAUUUACAAAUAAAAAUUAUAGCUUCCAACAAUAGUUCUUUUCUCUUACAUGUCGGUCAACUACAAUGUAGAAAAAGAAAGUUAUAUAUUUCUUUUGAAAUUGUUCUUGUAGUGUUGAAUUUCAAUUAAAUUCUCACAUAUUGUUGGGGGAGGUACAACACACACAUAGAACUCUACACAUGGUAAGACAUUGUCCGUUUUGGGCUAAGCCCUCACGGUUUUGCUUUUGGUACCACUCCAAAAGACCUCAUACCAUUGGAGAUAUCUAUAUGUAUAUAAACCCUUGACCAGUCAUUCUUUCACUCAAUGUGAGACUUUGUUUGCACUCCAACACAUAUUACGCAUUUCUCAGUAAAACAUUCAAGUCUAUUAUUAAAUAUAUUUCUGUCAUACACUCUUACUAUUCUUACUUAUCAUUCUAAUGUUAGAAAAUAUUUAUUAAGACUAUAAUAUUGGAAGUUCGAAAUGCAAUAAUAUUUAUUUCUGCUUUUAGAGUACUAAUUGUUUCAACUAUACCUCUAUUGAUGUAGAAUCGUCAAGGACAAUAAUCAUAUUUGAGGUUAUCAUAUACUUUAAUCAAGCAUAUCGUACAAUUAAAAAAAAAAAGAAAAUAUACAGAAAUUAUAUUCUUAAUCUUAUUUCUUAAUCGAUGUAAGAAUAUUAUAAACCUACCAAAACACUAAUCAUAAAAAGAAAGUUAAUUAUAAAGUCUUAAUAAGCAUCUUUGCCAAUCCAACAAUCUUAAUAUGAUUUUCAACAAUAUUUUUUAUUAUUAAAUCCUUAAUCUGUUAAAACUUUUUCCUUUCUAAAAUAUAGCAUAUAUAUUCUUAGUAAUCCAUCCAUUAUCUAAGGAAAAAUGUUUUGAAUAAAAAGUUACUCUAAUAUUCGAAAUUUAAAAUACACUAAAUUCUUCUUCAUUUAUUAAAUAGAAAGAAUUAUUUAAGGAUUUGAACUAAAUUCACGCUUAGUGUGUAUUACGCUUUUAUAGUACUAAUUAAGAAUUAAAAGUACAUAAAGUCUUAAGAAAAAAGUGUUAUUGACACAUCUUUACCGCUUCAUAAAAUAAUUCUCUAAAAACAUUUUUUUUAUUAAAUUUGAACUUAAUUAUUAUGUUUUUAGUAGGAUUUCAGGAUAAAUAUUUUUUUAUUCUCCAAAUGUAAAAAAAAAAAAAUUAUUUUUAGCAUCGCAAAUGCAAAAAAUAUAGCUUAAAUUUUGAACAUUAAAUUUAAAAAAAAAACGAAAAUUAUUUCUAAAAUCUAAAUUUAAUCUUUCAAAUUCAUUGUUUAGAAAUUAAAUCACAUUUAUCUAAAAUUCAGACUGAAAUAAACCCUUUUAACCUAAGAAAUCAUAACCAGAUUCUCUUAAAAGUUUCAAAGUAAAAGCAUUAUUAAACCUAAUUUGUUUUUAAUAAGUGAAAACACUGAUCAACACAACCCUCUUUGAAGUAUCCCCUUCUAAAUUAUGGUGAUAAAAAAGACCUGAAAAUUGUAAUAUUUAAGCAAGACAAAUUUAAAAUUUGGCAAUGAUUGGAGUCAACAUCUUGGAUCUGUUCAUAGGGAGAAGAUAAAUUAAAGUCAAAGCAAAUAUAAAUAGGUUCUUCUAUUGGACGGUUAAUACUCACCAACAUUACACCAUAUAUUAAACACAAACAAAUAAAAAAACUAUUUUCCCUUCAUUUAAAAAUUGUUUCAUGUUGUUCUUAGAGUCAAUGAUUGCCUUUAAUGCUGAAUUUGGCGUUUAACCCGGUCAUUGUCGGGUUCACAUAGAUCCAUCAUUUACUCACAGAAACCAAAAAUAUGAAAAAAACCCUAAUCUUUCUGAGAAGUGCAAGAAAAGGUUAUCACACGUUGCAAUAUGUAUACAUUUAUGUGCUAUAUAUUAUUUAUGGGUGUUUCCUUGAAAUAAGGCAUUGAAAAACAUAGUUUCUUCACGAUUUGAUUGCCCAUUAGAUUUUGGCUAUGCAAAUUGGUAACUUCUUCAUGAUAAUCAGUGAGAUUUGCCUUCUUUUAUUGCUCACCAUGAACCAAGCUGCUCCUAUAGGGCAAUGUGUUUUAUUGCAUGUUGUUUUAGUUUACAUUUCUUCCAAGAAAGUGUAUUCUACCAAGUGUUACAAUACUUUCAUAAAUAAAACAGGUAACAAAACUGGAAAUGAGUUCAAAAGUUAAAAAAGAAAAAAUAAUCUACAACUUUUUAGUGUAAAAGAUUUACCCAGUAAAGUGAUUGAAUUAUUUUCUAAGUAAAUAUUAAGCAAUCUGCUUCUACAUUUAAAAACAGAACUUGUUGGAGAAUAUUCUUAACAACUUUUUUUAAUCAGGGUGUUAUAUAUAUAUAUAUAUAUAUAUAUAUAUAUAUAUAUAUAUAUAUAUAUAUAUAUAUAUAUAUNNNNNNNNNNNNNNNNNNNNNUUAUUAACGUUCCAUUUAAUUUACUAGUUGACAUAAUUCUUAUUUAUUACAUACUCUUUAUAUGGUGUAUAUUAAACAACAAUGAAAUAUAUAUAAUUAGAUCGAUAGAAAUAAAACAUCUAAUUAACUCAUGAUCUCCACUUUUAUUAUCUAUAAUACGAUCUCUUAUCAUAUCAUGACUAUAUAUAUAUAUGAAAAUAAAUAAGAAAAACAUGAUAGAUGUCUCUUUUUUAAUAUUUGUAUCGUAUGAUCAAACAAUUCUAGAAGACAGAGAAUGGCUAAACAACCUAAAAAACGAAAGGUACCACAAUCUUGACAGAUAAGAUCGCACGAACGUUAAUAGAUCGGGAAGCCUAACUUGAAAAUUAAUCCUUUAAGUAAAGAUUAAUAUAAAUAUUGAUUAGGAGUAUUAAGUUGAGAUUGAACCAAAAUUAAAGUCUUACUUAUCUUUGACCUAUCUCUAAAACUAUAAAUAAAAGACAAAGAUAAAAGAUAAAUAAUUGUAUUUACUGUACAUUCAACUAUUGUUCUGAUCAUAUACGAACUAUUUGCUGACUUAAAUAUUAGAAAACCUUUAAGAGGUAACCCUCAAAGCAAUUAGAGUAAAAACGAAGACAGAAUAAAGAUAUAACUUUCCAUACUACACUAAAUAACAAAUUGUAAAGAUAUUUGAAGUUAUUUCACCAUACAAUAUUGAUAAAAGUUACUUUAACUUUGUAAGUCUGAGACAGAGUCACUGUUCUUUCAUUCCCUAAUCUGCCUCCAUUCUCUUUCUCUCUCUUGUUUUUUCACACAGUAACUCUAUUCUUACUUUCCUUGUAUUUAUUUAUAAAUACAAGGAAAGAGUGUUUACAGUCGGAAAGAAAUAAAUUUCAUUCCAUCUUAUCAGUUGGAUUUAAUGGUUGCAGUGAAUAUCUAAUAAAAUCCACAUUCUUAACGUGAUUAAAUGUAAUAUGCCACUCCAAGUAGGUGGUACUAUAUAUUUCCUUUGCCUAACAGUAAUACAUAGAUCCAACUUCUAAAUGCUAAAUUUCUAAUACAUUUUUUUAUCUUUUUAUAUUUCUAUGUGAAAAGCUCUUUGAUGUUAAUUGUAAUUAAUUAUUUAUAUCUAUAUAAGUUAACUAAAUGGAAUAAUUAAAAAAUAUAAACAAAUUACUCUGUAAUUAGUUAUUUUUUUAAGUUAUAUAUAUAUAUAUAUAUAUAUAUAUAUAUAUAUAUAUAUAUUCUAAAUAAUUAACUUCAUUUUUGUAAUUGAUUAUAAUUAAUCAUAUUUUUCUACAAUAUAUAUGGAUAUGUAUAUAUAUUAUGUUUGAGAAAAUAAGAAAAAGAAAUACGUUAAAGAGAUAUUAUAAAAAACAUAAUAAGAAUGAAAGAAAGUUAUUAUUAAACUUUCUUCUUUACUUUACUGUUGAAACAUAGUUGUGUUAGUAAAUAAUAGUAUAUUUUCCAUAUAACUUAUUAUUAAGCUAUAUAUAUAUAUAUAUAUUUCUUGUAAUAAAAAUAUUUAUAAAUAAUUGCAUUGUAAAAUUUUUGAAUGUUACAUACCCCAUUUCACCAACAUUUGAGUGCUUACAUAAUCACUUCAGCAUCAACUUGCAUGAUUUCACACAUUCCAUAAACUCAUGCACAACCAUUAUGACAAACGACUAUGUAAUUAUUUCAGUGUUUGUUAUCACUUGAGUGACAGUGAAAUGCAAGUAAUAAUUACACACUUCUUAGAUAUCACUAAAGCAAUGUAUCGUCACUUGAGCGAUAUUAGUUUCGAUAACAACAUUUCUAAAAUAAAAGGAAUUCAAGUUGCGAAAAACAUACCUAAACCAUCAAUUUUAUUACCUACUAUAAAAGUAUUGCAUUACUCAUAAUUACUCACUUAAUGCAUAAUCACAUUUCCACAUAAGUUUCAUUAAUUUUAGAUACCAUACAUACUCAUUAUUCUUCUAUAUAGUCAAUUCCCUCAUAAAUAUACGUAAUAAUUAAUUUCUCUUAUGAGAAGAUAGUGUGUACAAUAAAUUUUCUAUCUUCAACUUCUAUAAAUCUCAUCAUUUUAGUAAGUUUUCAACUAUUAAAUUCUAUAUUAAUAAUAUCCUUCUAUUUUCUAAGCAACCAAACAAGAAAAGAAAAGAAGUAAAAUCCUUAAUAGAAAAUGAACUACUUACUAAAAACAUAACCUUGAUUAACAUAUCUAGAGUCUUCUUCUUUGAUUUGCAUGGAAUUUUUGUCUGUCAUGAUAAGUUUUAUUUGAUCUUACAUCUAUCAAAUUCUUUUAAUAGUGUGCUACAAUAACUCUUGUCGAACCAAGAUAUUUUUUUCAUCAUGAUACUGACAAAGAGAUGUUCUACAAUUUCUUUUAUACAAUGUCUCAUACGGUCUCAUCUUGAUAUUUUUGUGAUAACUUUUAUUAUAUGUAAAUUCUACCAAAGAGAAAAUCCUAUCCUAGUUACCCAUAUGAUCCAAAAGAAUUAUCCUUGAUAGAUCUUUUGAACAAUGAAUAAUUCUCUCUAAUUAGUUGUCUAUUUGUAUAAGGAUGACAACUUGAAUUGAGCCUUAAUUUUGUCUCUACAGCCUCCUAUAAUUUUUGUUGUAACCUAUAAGUGAACUUCAUAUCUCUUAAUUUAAACUCAUGAGCACCCUAUGCAAUAUAAUUAUCUUCUAAUAUACUUAUAUGCUAGAUCUUGCAUAUAUAUCUUCAAAUCUACUAGCACAAAAGAAGCAUUAUUCAUUAAAAGAAAUUGUAAUGACUCAUACAAGAUCAUGUCUCCUCAUUGUUUAUGGUAAAUGGAUAACAAAAUUCUUAAAAUUGUUAGCUCAUUUCCACAUAUGAAUGCUUAACUAUUAUAGCACAUAACUUAAUAUUUGAUAUUGUACCUUUGACUUUUGAAAAGUCAAAUAUACAUACAUACAUACAUUUACCACAAAAUAUAUUGUUUCAACUUUUUGAUAUAUUUUUCUCAUGUAUGUUAAGAUGAAAACUCAACUUUCUCUUAUUACCUUCGUCAAGAAUCAUUAUUUUAAACCAUCGGUACACACACUUUUCUUUUGAAACUUAGUAUUAAAUCAAAUCCAAGUGAAAAAAAUCUUUAUCUCGAUCAAUGUUUUAAAAAGCUAUAGUAUUUUUCAAACUAGGGUCAUAGAAUCACUCUUCUCAAAUCAUGUAUAAUUGAUAAAGUUUAAAUUUAUGUGAUCCCAAAAAUGUAUCUUGAUUUUGGUUUUAAUAUUAACUUAAAAGUAUAAUUAGAUUUUAAUCUCUGCAAUUUUUUGUUCAUUUUGGUUCCUGUCACGAGUAAUAUAUCAACACACGUAUUCUUUUUAGGAUCGCGAUACGUUAACAACCAAUUUUUGACAACAAUUUGCCAACGCCAUAUGUCAGCAUUCUAUUGGCUCACUUUAAUUUAUUUUUUAAUUAAAAAACUGAUGUGAAAAAGGUGACUUUAUGUUAUUCCGAAAACACCCUCAAUCAUUUUAAUUAAACUUUNNNNNNNNNNNNNNNNNNNNNNNNNNNNNNNNNNNNNNNNNNNNNNNNNNNNNNNNNNNNNNNNNNNNNNNNNNNNNNNNNNNNNNNNNNNNNNNNNNNNNNNNNNNNNNNNNNNNNNNNNNNNNNNNNNNNNNNNNNNNNNNNNNNNNNNNNNNNNNNNNNNNNNNNNNNNNNNNNNNNNNNNNNNNNNNNNNNNNNNNNNNNNNNNNNNNNNNNNNNNNNNNNNNNNNNNNNNNNNNNNNNNNNNNNNNNNNNNNNNNNNNNNNNNNNNNNNNNNNNNNNNNNNNNNNNNNNNNNNNNNNNNNNNNNNNNNNNNNNNNNNNNNNNNNNNNNNNNNNNNNNNNNNNNNNNNNNNNNNNNNNNNNNNNNNNNNNNNNNNNNNNNNNNNNNNNNNNNNNNNNNNNNNNNNNNNNNNNNNNNNNNNNNNNNNNNNNNNNNNNNNNNNNNNNNNNNNNNNNNNNNNNNNNNNNNNNNNNNNNNNNNNNNNNNNNNNNNNNNNNNNNNNNNNNNNNNNNNNNNNNNNNNNNNNNNNNNNNNNNNNNNNNNNNNNNNNNNNNNNNNNNNNNNNNNNNNNNNNNNNNNNNNNNNNNNNNNNNNNNNNNNNNNNNNNNNNNNNNNNNNNNNNNNNNNNNNNNNNNNNNNNNNNNNNNNNNNNNNNNNNNNNNNNNNNNNNNNNNNNNNNNNNNNNNNNNNNNNNNNNNNNNNNNNNNNNNNNNNNNNNNNNNNNNNNNNNNNNNNNNNNNNNNNNNNNNNNNNNNNNNNNNNNNNNNNNNNNNNNNNNNNNNNNNNNNNNNNNNNNNNNNNNNNNNNNNNNNNNNNNNNNNNNNNNNNNNNNNNNNNNNNNNNNNNNNNNNNNNNNNNNNNNNNNNNNNNNNNNNNNNNNNNNNNNNNNNNNNNNNNNNNNNNNNNNNNNNNNNNNNNNNNNNNNNNNNNNNNNNNNNNNNNNNNNNNNNNNNNNNNNNNNNNNNNNNNNNNNNNNNNNNNNNNNNNNNNNNNNNNNNNNNNNNNNNNNNNNNNNNNNNNNNNNNNNNNNNNNNNNNNNNNNNNNNNNNNNNNNNNNNNNNNNNNNNNNNNNNNNNNNNNNNNNNNNNNNNNNNNNNNNNNNNNNNNNNNNNNNNNNNNNNNNNNNNNNNNNNNNNNNNNNNNNNNNNNNNNNNNNNNNNNNNNNNNNNNNNNNNNNNNNNNNNNNNNNNNNNNNNNNNNNNNNNNNNNNNNNNNNNNNNNNNNNNNNNNNNNNNNNNNNNNNNNNNNNNNNNNNNNNNNNNNNNNNNNNNNNNNNNNNNNNNNNNNNNNNNNNNNNNNNNNNNNNNNNNNNNNNNNNNNNNNNNNNNNNNNNNNNNNNNNNNNNNNNNNNNNNNNNNNNNNNNNNNNNNNNNNNNNNNNNNNNNNNNNNNNNNNNNNNNNNNNNNNNNNNNNNNNNNNNNNNNNNNNNNNNNNNNNNNNNNNNNNNNNNNNNNNNNNNNNNNNNNNNNNNNNNNNNNNNNNNNNNNNNNNNNNNNNNNNNNNNNNNNNNNNNNNNNNNNNNNNNNNNNNNNNNNNNNNNNNNNNNNNNNNNNNNNNNNNNNNNNNNNNNNNNNNNNNNNNNNNNNNNNNNNNNNNNNNNNNNNNNNNNNNNNNNNNNNNNNNNNNNNNNNNNNNNNNNNNNNNNNNNNNNNNNNNNNNNNNNNNNNNNNNNNNNNNNNNNNNNNNNNNNNNNNNNNAGUUGUUGGUCCUCCAAAACAACCAUUAAUCUCAAAUUCAUAACUUAAAUUUUAACAAAGUCAGUACCCACCACACACUGGGGAGCCCCCUCUACCAGAGUCAGGGAGCAGCGUUGGGCUUUUGGUACAGAGGCACUGGUAAUCGAUUACAACCUGUCUGUAAUCGAUUACACGGGCACAUAAAUCAUAAACUGGGGAGCUCCCUCUACCAGAGCCAGGGAGCAGCGUUGGACUUUUGGUACACAGGCACUGGUAAUCUAUUACAACCUGUCUGUAAUCGAUUACAUGGGCACAUAAAUCACAAAGUCCCUCUUCCUCCAACUCUUCAAUGGCGGACCGUCACACACNAGACCAAAGCAACACUUGGAUGGUGGAAUGACAGGUUUUGGAGAACGAAAAACUAGUGAGAGAGUUUCGAAGGUUCGAAGUGAAAACAAUUUCACUUUCUGAAAGGCGCCAAUCCAUUUUCAGCAUUUUUGUUUCCAAAUAUGCCCUCCAUAACAAAAUUAAACUAUUUAAAAAAUUCAUUAAAAACAACAAAUGAGACACCAACACGUGUCGUUGGCAAAUCGUUGUCAAAUAUCUGUUGUUAAAGUAACAUUUUCCUUCUUUUUAUAAACACUCUACAGGAACGGAAACCUAAAAAAUGAAACUUGGGACUAAAAGUCAAAAUCUUAAAGUAUAUAUAUCAAUAGUAAAAGUCAAACUAAAUAUAUCUGGUUAAUUAAAAACAUAUAUAUAAACUAAUUUGUAAUUAUAAUUCAUUAAUGUAUGUCCUAUGAAUUUAUGUUUUACUUUUCUUCCAUUAUAUUAUAGAAUUCCAGAAACACAUGACAUGUAUUUGCAAACUUGUGACAUGUAAAACUUUACAUUGUCAUCACUUUGAACAAUGUUUUAACAGUGUCAAUCGCUGAAUAUUGAAUUCAUAGUUUGGCCUGAGUUUAAAGGUAUCCAAGUUUCAUGGGAUUACUAUAUUUCAACUUUGGAAAGGCAUAUUUUAUAUAUAUAUAUAUAUAUAUAUAUAUAUAUAUAUAUAUAUAUAUAUAUAUAUAUAAAAAUAUAAUAGAAUAAUAUCUCUUAUUUUUGUAAACAAAAUAUUUGCCUAGGGUUUGUGAAGACUUAAUCAAGAUAUUCAAGAAAAAAAAAGUAAUUAAUACAACCAAUUUUUUUUUUAAUAACACAUGAUUAAAUUUUUUUUAAUUAAUUUGUAAGUCUCUUAUAAAUUUUAAUAUUUUCAAUUAAAUUCUUCUUAAUUUUUUUGGUUUAUUAAAUAUUUAAAAUUUUAUAUUUUUCAAUAAAUUUUUUUAUUUAAUUAUUUUAUUAACCAAGAAAGAUUAUCUUAUAUAAUUGUUGUCAUCUGCAUCAAUGAUAAUAACGACUAUAAUCUUUUAGUUUAUAAAAUUAUGAUAAUUAUUAUUUAGCAUAUUUUCAAUUAAAACAAUAAAAGUCAUUUGUCUUUUACAUUAAUCAUAAUUUCAUUUUAUACAAAUAGAAAGCACACACUUCUUAACAUAGGAAGAAAAAUAAAUAAAAUGGCAAGACAGUAUAACAGCCAUGAUAUACUUAGUUAACAGAAAAAAUAAAUUGUGAAAACUCAGUUGAAAAAUAUAAAUUUUUUUUAAUAUUCAAUAAAUCAAACAAAUUUAGUAUAUAGCUAAUUGAAAAUAGUAAAAUUUAAGAAAAAAUGAUUUUGAAAAAGAAAAACGUAAGAAUAUACUUAAAAAUGUUGGCCAUCAUCUACCACCAUCUCCUUUUAAAUCAUGAUUGAUGCUAUGAUCCCUUUAAGGGAAGUGUAAACACUAGCUCGCCAUAGAACCCAUGUCAGAAAAGCAAAAGGUUGUGAUAAAGUUUGAUCUUUUAAACUAUAGGGUCGACAAUACUAGUACCUUAGGAUGGAAACUUUACCUGCGGAAUAGACAACUCGCUUCAUAAAUGAAUGACAAAUAUUUAUUAAUUCAGACCUUGUAUUUCAGUUGAAUAAUUUCAACUUAAAACCCUUUUUAGUUUUCAUUAAUUAUCAAGGUUGCGUCAGUUUCUAAAACAAUUCAAGAUCAUGAAAAAAAAGGAAGAAAGUCAAAACCGAAAGUAGAAAGUUUAUUUAUUUAUUAUUUUGAUUUGUGAAGCUGAUGACAAGGCUAGCUUUUAACAGUAAUCUUAUCAAUAUUCACAAAUCACAGACAUUUUUUUAGGACGAGUGAAUAUUCAAAAAUCAUGAACAUCGUUAACUUGUCAAAAGUAUAACGGAUAGGUUACUAUUGCCAAAUUGUGUUCACGUGUAUUUUAAUAAAAGGUAUAUAGGAAUUGAAUUUUUUUUUUUUUUUUUAGUAUUUACGCUUAACAUGCACAUAUUGUACGUAUUUCACAAUAGUUGGAUGCGAAGGAUUUAACAAACAGAAAAGAUGACUGUUUAUAAGAACAGUUUGCACAUUUUUUAAGAUUUUUUUUUAAUUAUGUGUAACACCUUCAGACAAAUAUAAAACAUACAAUACACACGCUUACUACUAGUAAGUGUCUGUCAAGUGUAUAAUAUUGACAGAAUUAUUGACGGAUUUUAUUCUUUCAUUUACUGACAGCUUAAAUUCUUUGGUGAUGUGCAAUGUCGUAAUUUAUCGGUAGAUUUGAGUCAUUGGUAUUGUGUAUGAUAAUUUAAUCCCAAAUUUUGGAUAUUCUCUCGUUCAAUUGCAAUUUCAACAAAUCCUUUCUUCUAGAUUUCUCUCUUCUUUUCCCCAGAAAUUGAAAUUUGAAUGCAUGUGAGGGUAUCUUCAAAUUUCUCCUCCUUCGUUUGCUUCCCUUUUGUUUUGGCAUCCUGGGUCCCUUCCAUCUUCUGUUGACAUAGCGGUGUUGUGAAGAAAAGGUUUGUGAGUGAGAUAUGGUCAUUAGAUGACCCUUGGGCUUUCUAGACGAGUCUAGCAAAAGGAGGAAGGUAUGUAGAAGAGUAGUUGUCUAAUGAGGAACUAGACAAUACUUGUUAAAUGACUAGAUGAACUCAAUUUCACUAAUAAAAAAAAAGGAGAUACUAACGCACUCUUUAUGCUUUGGUUUACCAAAAACUGAAGCAUAAAAUGGUGUGGUGACAUUUUUGAAAUUUUCGUGAAAGUAUAUGUCUCAGUUCCAAUUCCACCUGAAAUAAUAGAGGAUCUAUGGUCUCGUUUCCCAGGACAACCGUUGCCAUAAACCUAUGCACCCAUUGACAUUCCCCUCUGUAAUCUGACCAAAAUCUUUGUGCAGAGCAUUUGGUCUCAGUUGUUUUUAGAAUCGAGACCAUAGACCUCUGCGCCUACUUACAUUCUCCUCUACAAUUUGACCAAAAUUUGUGUAGAGCAUUUGGCCUUGGUUGUUUUCAGAAUCGAGGCCAUAGACCUUCAAACCCAACUGACACAUUUCAUUCUCCAUUCUAAUGAAAAUCUCUUUGCAACCCUUGUGCGUUGAUGUUUGAACUGAUGAACUUAUGAAAGGAGGAUAUGACCUCGGUUAUCUACCGAAGUGAUACCAUAUCCCCCUCUUAUAAAGUUUGGUAGUUGUAACGUUCAGAUUUUUGGAGAGGGAUAUUAAUUUUGUGCAGAGCAUUUAGCCUCGGUUCCCUCUAGAUAGGGUCGAGUGGGUUAGAUAAGGUCCAUUACCUUGAGAUGAUGCACGAGCUUAAAGUGCUUAAGUUUCCUUGUGUGCUAAGAAUAUGUGUAGUUAACCAUAAAAAGGCAUGUGGAAGGGAGGAAAAACAUUUGGUAGGAACAUAAGACAUGAAAUUUGAUAUGUUGCCACUCUUUUAAGAGGGAUAAGGUUAAACAUAGACUUACAUUAUGGAACAACGAUGCUUUCUGCUUGGGACAAAGGAAUAGAGCAUGUCAGGAUUGUAAACUUUGUCAUAUUCAAGGGGCAAAGACUGAGACACGUUAGAUUAAAUAUAAGGUAUCAUGUCACUACAUUCUCUUCAUUCAUGCUUUCACUUGUUCUUUCUUUUCUUUGCACCUUUUCUUAUUCUAAGAAUUCUAGUGAAGUGAGAGCUCAAAAAAUCCUUUUAGAGGGAGAACAUCCAACCUUCAGAUAGCCAAUACUCUUAAGAAGUUGUGGUCAAGUGAGGGAAGCUAACCUUGUUUAGUCGUUCUUAUUAAUAUGUUAAUGUUUUCCUAUGGUGUAGUAAUGAUUCUUGUUGAUAUGUGUGCUUACAUCUAUGGAUGAAUGCUUGUAUAUAUAAUGGUGCAUACAAAUGAGUGUAUCCAUGGCAAAGGUGAUGAGAUAAGUUCCAUCAAGCUAUAUGACUAAAGCUAAGGGGAGACUCCCAAAUGGGUAGUGGUUUGAAGAAGCUUGAUCUUGGUUGAAAUAUGGUGCACAUAUAGUGAUUUUGAUGUAAUGAGAUGAUGUCUCAUCCUCCAAGUUAUAUGACUCAAGGGGAAAAGGCUAUGGUGGUUUUUGGGUGCUAUCAAGAGAGGUUGGUCUAACUUUUAAGGAAGGGUAGCUAGAGGAAAUCGACUUUCAAACAGUAAUGAUGCCGUAACUGUAUUUCGAAGUUCGGUUAAGGCUUUCAAGCCUCGUUUUACAACAUUUAACAACAUUUAAUAUUACCUUAAAAAUAAUUAAGAUUUUGUUUAAGAAACCUUCUAAUUUAAUCUUUAAAUAAAUAAAAGACAAUUUGAUAAUAUUAAAUGGGCUCUUAAAUUAAAUUUUAAUGAUUAAAUAGUUAAUGUAAUUUUUUACUCAUUAUAACCAUUUUUACAAUUAAAUAUAAUAUUAACAAUUAUUAUUUUAUAUUAUUUUAAUAAUUAUGGGUAUUUUGGUAAUCUUCAUUUUUUACUAAUUAAACAAAAUUUUUAAAUCUUUCACAUCAAUCAAAUCCUACACUAAUUCUCACAAACUUUACUUCCAAAUCUAUUCUCAAUUACCUCCAAAUCCACUCAAACAAAUAAUAAAAAAUUUACUUUCAAAUUCAUUCAAUUACUCUCCCUCAAAUCAUCUCCCACAAAUCACCUCAAUCGAACACAUCAUUAGGGAGUUAGUGACAUAAGCAUGUGUUUUUUAUCUUUUCACUGUGAAAAGAAAAAAAAUUCUCUCAAUGAAGAAUCUAUAUAAUAUUAAAACAACAAGCUAAAGGGUAUUAAGUUCAAUUUGAAUAAGAAGCAAUAGUUACAUUUUUUUUUCUAUAAAUACCAGCUGAAUAAAUUGUAAGAGGGGAAGAAAGACAAGAGAGCGUGAACUGGAGAAAAUUUGUGAAAGCUAAGGGUGUGUUUACUUUGGAGGAAUGAUAUGGGAUAGAGUGAGUGGAUGAAUUUGAGGGAAUUUGAGAGUGAAUUAAUUGUUUUUUAUUUGAGUGGAUUUGGAGGUGAGUGAAAAUUGAUUUCGAAGUAAAGUUUGUGAGAAUUGGUGUAGGAUUUGACUGAUAUGACAGAUUACAAAAAAUUGUUUAAUUGGUAAAAAUUGAAGAUUACCAAAAUACCUAAUUAUUAAAGUAAUAUAAAAUGAUAAUUGUUAAUGUUAUAUUUAAUUGUAAAAAUGUUUAUAAAGAGAAAAAAAAUUAAAAUUAAUUUUAAAAAUGUAAAGUGUAAUUUGGUAAAAUGAAAUAUAUUUUUUUAUUUUAAAAAUGUGUGUAUAUAUAUAUAUAUAUAUAUAUAUAUAUAUAUAUAUAUAUAUAUAUAUAUAUCACUCUUCAAUACAAUACAAGGUGCAAAAAUUAUUUUGUCAUUCACAUAAAAUGUUUUGCAAUAUGCAUAACUAAUAACAAAGGAAAUGGAGUUGUAUUGUCAUCUAGUAUAUGGUUAGAUAAUAUUCAAACACUUGGGCCAUAUAUAACAGCACACUCCUACCAAACUUUACAAUUAGCAAAAUACAUGUUAUUUAUACAGUCAUCCAACAACAAUGGGAAGUUGGAACCGAAUAAGCCACUGCGGAACCAAUUACAACUGUAGGCCACGGUGAACAAAAGGCUGGAACCAAAUACUAACCAGAACCGAAUACAAGCACUCUUCAUAUCUCCAAUAUGUAGUGGAACCGAAUACAGAGGGCACAAAACUGAAUACAGGCUGUUAUUCAAUUCCUUCUACAUGCUAGAAUUGGAUAUAAGAGCUCUGGAGCCUAAUACAAGAGCUCUGGACGAACCAAAAUCACGCUUCUUCAACCUCUACUUCAACCUUUCUUCUUCAUGUUCUCCAUCUUUAACACAUGUUCAUGACAUUAGCCACAUAUGUAUGAAGGGUAAAGAUGACUUUCACUUUCAAUUCGUUCCAAAUCACACCAUAUCAGCAAGUGAUGAAAAAAAUGUCCAUCUCACAAAUCCACUUAAUUACAUCUUCGCAAAUCCCCUGAAACAAAUACAAAAAAUCUAAAAUUUAUUCAAAUGAACAAAGUGUAAGAGACGAAAUUAACAAAGAAAAGAAAAUAUAAAACUAUGAGAUAAAUAAAGAGGGAAAGAAAAGAAUAGUGCAUAUCUUUAGAUCUUUCAUAAUCUUUAAUUAUGUCAUAGUACAAAAAAAACUUAUUAAUAACUAAAAAAUAUUUUAAAAGUAAUUUUUUUUUUUCAUUAGAAGACAAUAAAAGUUAUAGUUAAAAUUAUCAAUGAUUUUUAACUUUAUUUUCCACAAUGAAGUUAGAUUGACAUUGUCUAUCUCUAUCAAACAAAAACAGAUAUUUUGAUUAAAAAUCAUUUGCAAUUAAUAAAUGAAAGUGAUUUCAAUAAACAGUAGAGUCUUAUCCCUUUAAUAUUUUUUCUUCCAAUUUUUUCAAAAUUAAAAGAAAAAGUUGAAUAUACAUUUAUUUGGCUUGCGUUAAUUGGUAUGCAUCAUUUAAUAUUUUUCCCUAUAGGUGCCGAACACCUUAUCUUAUCUUAUAAAUGAAUAAAUACGUUCAUAACAUUAAAUUCAUGACGUGAAAUAUGCAGUGUACUACUUUUGGACCAUUUAAAGUCCAAGUCCAACAUUUACACUUCUUUUUCUUCAAAGAAAAUUCAUCAAUCACACGGCACUGUUCAUGUAAAGUUAUAACAAUUCUCUUUAUUACACUGAUUUCUGCACCAACACAACAUUUAUUAUUUUAUAGGUUAUCGUGGAUAUGUACUUCUUUUAGCACACAAAAUUAGAGUCCUUCCACGAUGGACUCAUUUUAGUAUACAAAUCAAGUUUUUCAUAUAUCUUAAAAUAUUAAAAUUACUUUAUUUUAGAGAGAUAAUUUUAGACAAUCACUGAAUUGUAACUAAUUUUAGAAAGUAUAAUAUUAUAUGACUAAUGUAAAUACUAAUUUUAUAAAUUAAAAAUUUUAUCAUAAUUAAUUUGUGAAUUACAAUCUAAAUAGUUUUCAUUAUAACUGUCAAAAUGGGUCACAACCCUCUAGUCAACCUGGCCCACCACAGGUUUAGGUCAGGUAGGAUUUGAAAAAAUUAUAUUUUUUAUGCGGGUUAGAUUUCAACUCGACUCAUUUAAAUCCGACUCAUGUGAGUUGAACCGUGGUGGACUGGAUUGUCCCACCAACCCACCUACCUAACUUUAUUUUAUUAAAAUUUAUUUUUAAUUUUAUAAAAAUAUCUAUUAUUUAUUUAUUUUGUUUGAAAAAAUUAUUUAAGUUUCCUAUUUUGAAUAUUAAUUAAACAAGAAGUGAAAUUUAGGCAUGAAAUUUGUUUAAAUUUUAAUUAUAGAAAGUUUGUAAUUUUUUUAUUUAAAAAAAUUGUAAUUAAAUGAGUGAGUGAGCCAACGUGUUUACCCACCAACCCGUGAUGGGUCGGAUCAGGUUCAAAUUUUUCUGACUCGCCAAUAAAUGAGCUGGGUUGAGUUGGAUCACUAAUUGACCAACCCGUGGUGAGCCGGAUCGGAUCAAACCGGAUUACUCGUUUUGAUAACUCUAAUUUUCAUAUAUCUAAACUUAAAAAUAAUUCCUAUUAGCUAAAACAAAUGGUAAUUAAUGAUAAAAAAUCAAUUUAUAUUCUAAUUUACAUAAACAAUUAUAGUUUCUUAUUUUAUUUUAGAUGUCAAUAAUUUUUAAUUUAUAACCUAAAUGAAUCACUAUAAUAAGUAAUCAUAUUUUGUCUCUAAAAUUAAUUAUUAUUUGAUGAUUUUCUUUUAAUAAAUUUAGAUAAAAACUUAUAACAUAUUACAACAUUAAACAAUUUAUUAAUAUAAAUAAUAAUAUAAUCAUCUGGUCCUGAAAGCGAAUUUAAAUUGAUAAUUUUUUUUAAAGUAUCACAAAUAUAGUUAUAAAUGAACAUAAAUCAUGUUUUAACACAAAAGUUUUGGUAAUUUGGUGAACUUAUAUGCAUAUUUUAUUAUAGUUAUUGUGUUUGUUUACAUGCAUGGGAUGUGGUAUUGGUAUUAUUUUAUGUAAUAAAUUUCUGAAUAAGAAAAGGACAUGUCUGAUUGGCGCAUAUAUCAAUGAAUUCAGAAUGAGAGGCCGUAACCCCUAUUGAUGCUUUACGGCGGAUAUGGAUGAUUCAUGUGUCAGUAAGAUAAUUUAUCCUAAAAUGCAAUAUUAUUAUAAUUUUCAUGAAGUAUGAGAUGAAAUGAAUAUAUGAUAUUGAAAAACUAGUAUAAAGUUAUAUGAUAAUUGUAAAAACCUAACAAUAGAGUGGAAUUUGACCUUAUUGUGUGUGUGUGUAUAUAUAUAUAUAUAUAUAUAUAUAUAUAUAUAUAUAUAUAUAUAUAUAUAUAUAUAUAUAUAUAUAUUUGAAAUAUAAUAUAAUAUUUAUAAAUAAGUUAUUACUAAAAAAUAUAAUAAUAUCAUAAAAUUUAAUAUAGUUAUACUAUUAAUAAAAACAUAUUAUAAAGUUUAUAUAUAAACGUUGAUACCACAUGUAUGUUUGCUUCUUUUAAAUAACAAAAAAUAACGAAAUUUUAAUUAUAAAUAUAUAUAUAUAUAUAUAUAUAUAUAUAUUUAUAUGUAUGUAAUUUUUAUAAUUUAAUUGUAAAUUUUUUUUAUUUAUUUUGUGAAUAACUUAUUUAUUUAGUAGAUGAUCUUUACUUAUUUAAUUUAAAAAUAGUUAAAUUCAAAAAAGUAGUUAAAUUUAAAAACUAGUUAAAUUUAAAUAAAACGGAUAAUUCCUUUUAUAUGCAUAAGAUUUAUUUAUAAAAAAAAAUAUAGAUGUAUACUUUUGUUCAGUUUUUAUAGUGUUAUCAAUUUUGCUUUUACUUAAAUAAACUUCACUUUAUUAAGAUUUUGAUUUGAGAUAUUUAAUAAAAACAUUUUAAGUUUACUGUGAGAUAUUGAUAAAAUUUUCUUAAGGUUCCACAACUUCAUAUUUUUUUGGUAAGGGUACACUACAGUAAGAAGUCAGAAUAAAUUAAAGAGAAGGAAACACAAUACAAUGAACAAGCUCCAAAUAUGCUCAACAAGAGAAACUUUCAAGAUGAGAAAAGAUAACUUGUUGAGUAGAAAGUCUAUGCACUAAACAUACGCAAUAAGGAAAGACAAAGAUGCUUGACAUUAUAAACAGAAAGAAGAUUGAUUGGCCAAAAGACUGGAAAAUAAAUCAUAUCCCAAGAUUAUUAAGAGAAUAUAUUGUUAUUAUUAUCCAUAAUAGUUGAUUUACAGGAAUAAUGUUACAUUAUUGUAGUAACAUAUUAGAGAAUUAUAGGGAUAAAAUAACAUAAUUAUAGAUUCUCUCUUGUAUAUAUCUCUAAUCUUUUAUUCAAAAAUAAUAAAAAAGAUUUUUCAUUCUUUCUUCCUUUUACAUGGUAUCAGAGCAGGAACGAUCCUCUAGUCAAUUUUUUCCUAUCCUUAUUCCCAUGACUAACUAUAGAAAUGAAUCAAAUUCCAAUAGUUCUUAUUCUCUCCGGCAUUCUGACCAUCCGGGAAUGGUUCUUGUUUCCAAGCCUCUAGAUGAAGACAACUAUUCGAUUUGGCGCAGAGCCAUGGUCAUCUCUUUGAACGCAAACCCCUUAUUUACGUUAAACCCCUUAUUUUUAGAUGUAAAAAGUUCCAUUUAUAGUGGACCUUAUGACACCAUAUAUAAAUUUAAGUUGGACGUUAUAAGACCAACAUAAAUGAAACAUUUUUAUGUUGGAUCCUAAGGGGUCUAACAUAAAAAAGUUUCUCUUGUUUAUAAAAAAGUCACCACACUUUUCUAGUCUUUGAUUCUUUAGAGUGAUACGUAAAUAAUGUGAAAAGACUUAUUUUCUACUAAUGCAACAAAUAAUAAGAGAGAACUUUUACUACUUAACAACUUCAACAAAUGAGCAUCAUGGUGAUAUGAAAAAAAAAUAGUUCUAAGAAUAAUCACCUAAAGAACUAAAUUGAACGAGGAACAUAAAAAAAGAAAGGUUUCGAGAAUUGUGUAUUAGAAAAGAUAUUACAAGAGUAUGUCAAUGUACAAUAGUUGUAACUUUGGUUAAGAUUUUCCCUACCUUAUAUACUAACUACAUCCAACUAACUUAGUUCAACAACUUAACCAUUGUUGUUAAUUUUUAUUAUAAUGCAUGGUUAAUAUUUUAGCUUACCAAAAUAAUAUUUUUAAAUAAUUGAAAAAAUAAUGUUAGAAAAUGAGAACGUUAUAAUAAAAUUAAAUCACAUAUAAGGAAAUAUAUACCUUUAAAUUUUUCAAUUACAACAACAUGACCAAUAAUUGUUCUUGUAGUAGUAGGAGGAACAAAUCCACUUGCUUCAAUUAUAAGGAUUAUUGGGCUUAAAGUUGGAGCCAAAGCACCAAGUUUAGCAUUAGUAGCUAGGUAAGCUAAUAUUGUUUAAUGAGUAAAGAAAAAAAUCAAAUCAAUUAGAAAAUUCAUUUAAUUUGACUUUAUAUAUUUUGAAACAAGAAAAUAUAAUAAUAUUUUCUUGGCCAUAGGAAAAACUUAUGGACAAUGUAAGAUCCUUGGAAAUAGUUAGAGGUAGAGUAGGCAAGAGUCAGAAGUAAAAGAGGUGUUUGGCUACACUGAUUACACUAGUAGAAUUUGGUUAGACGAGUUUAGUGUUAGAUGACCCGAGUGUUAAACGAGUGUUUGUUAGACAAGUAGAGUGUUAGACAUUGAGGAGAGAAUGAAUGAAUUGUGUUUUACGUACAUGGUUGAGCUCGUUAGAAGAGGCUUUAUGUUAUGGGUGAAGUUGAGAAUAGAGAAAAGGAAAAUACAAGUGACAAAUAAAGAAAAAAUACGGAGGGAGAAUAUGCCAUGAUGCCUUGAUAUAUUGUUGUCCUUUUUGAGGAUAAAAGUUGAUCCUGGCUAUAGUAUAGUACUAUUUUGCUUUCUAUUAGAAGAUUAAAUUGAACCCAAAAAUAAUAAGGGGACCAAAUUAAACUAAACUAAUUAGAGGAUUAAAUCACUAAUUAAGUCAGUAUAUUAUUUAAUUAAAAAAAAUCAUAUGGCUUAAUAUGAUUACAAAAUUAAUGAAAAAAAUAAGAAUACAAAAACUUGUUUACAUAUACCUUUGCAAUAGCAAAACUCCCUUUAACUCACUUUUUCAAUACUUAUAUUUGAUGAGCCUUUUGAGAGAGAAUCAUUACAGACACACAAUACCAAUAAGAUAUGAGUCUAACCCAGGGAUUGACACCACUUUCAAUCAAAAACCUUAAAACAAUAGUUUAAGGGUUUUCAUUCUUAUAUGAUAUUCAAAUUUCUCAUUUUUACUUAAUGUGAAAUUUAGACUUACGUAUAUUUUCAUUAACAUAACAAGACGAGCAUGUCUGACCCUCCGUCAGAAGGAUUGUCAAUACAAGAACUCAUUUAGUUGGCCACCAAAACAACAUUUGACUCGGAUACCAUGAAUGAGUUUUUUGAGAGAUGAUUAUUGGAGAGAUGCAACACUAGUGAGACAUGAUAUUAACACCAUCUCUAACCAAAAAUCUUAAAAAAAUAAAUUUAUAGAUUUUCAACAUUCUCAUAUUCACUUAGUAUCACACUUAAAUUUUUCAACCAUGUUUACUUUUUACUUACUAAUUUAAAUAUUGGAACACCAUUCACACGGGAACAUUGAUUCAAUUGUGUAUCAUUCUUCAUAGUUGUCCACAACUCAACUCAUACACCAAGAGAUUAAUUACUUCAUUAAAAUUGACCUAAAAUAAUUCAUUUUUGUAUAAGAAAAAAAAUAAUGAAUUUCAAUAUACAAAAAUAGAAGGCAAAUGGAAAAAAUUAUUAGAUAUGUAUUGAUGUAUUUUUUAGAGUGAGAUGACUAAUUUCAUAUCCUGCUUUACAUAAAACACUAAUAAUAAACAAAAAGCUAGUUAGAUAAGAUUUUUUUAUGAAAAAUAUGUUAUUAAUACCAUUUUAUUAUUUUUUAAUAAAAUUUGAACGUAAUUUUAAUACUCGUUUUAUUUUAUUCUUUUUCUUUUAAAACAUGUAGGUCUAAUUAAAUUAAAAAUGCAUUAAAAGAACGAUUGAUAAAACUGUUAUGUACUUUCAUUUUAUUUCAUUUUCAUCUCCAGACCAUAGUAAACACAUCAAUUUAAGUUAAUUAAAAAAUAAAUGAAAAAUUAAUGUUAAUUUCAACUCUGAAAAUAUAUUUUUUUAAUGUGCCAAUUAGAAAGAGAGACACGAAUAUAACUUCCUGUUAUUAAUUUUAUUAUUUUAUUACGAUUGUAUUUGAAAACAUGAAAAAUGCGUAAUCAAAUGGAACAUGUAUAACUUUUAAUACAUUCACAUUACUAAAAUCGAAAAUAUGAAUGGUUUGGUCAGAGAUAUUUGAAGGAUUUUGAUUGGUGAGAAAGUUGAAAGUUUGGUUUGGAAUAGUUUAAUUAAAUUGCAGUGUGCAUUCAUUGCUUCGCAUGGCAUAUAUAGUUGGCACAACAACACAAUGAACGACACGUAAAUUUUGACAGGUUGUAUAUUGGAGACUCUUUUGAUCAUCAAGUUCAGAAUUCACUUCAGACAAUAUUAAGAUCAUGCAUGCAUGGAGGAAUAGACGACAAUCUAUGACUUUGAAUGAUGUUUGAAUCAUCACAAGUUCUCUUCUAUGGAAUGAAUGUUCAAAUAAAGCACGUGAAAUUCAAUUAUUUUGAGAUUUUUUCUUGGAAGCACUUUUGAAAAAAAAAAUUAGGAUUAGUGUUUGAUCAAUCACACUAUCGUAAUUAGUCUUUAAUUUAUAGAGCAGAAAAACUCCACUGAAAAACAUUUAAAAGUUGCAUUUUGAUAUAUUUUAUGUUAGAAUCUCACAUAAAAUACUUAAAAGAUAAAUAUAAGGUUUAAAUCUUUUUUUUAUCCCUAAGUGAUAAACUGGUGUUCAAUUUAGUUCCCGCAUUUAAAAAUGUAAAACUUUGAUUCCUAAGUUAUAAAAAAUCAGUCCUAGUCGUUAACGGUUGGGACUGAUUUUUUGGUGGAUGUAUGGGUGAUCUGAAAUAUUUGCAUGCUAUUGUCUUUACAUGCUUUUAAACACAUACUUCUCAGUAGCUGAGGGACUGAUUUGAUAUAGUUUUUAUAAAUUAGGGACCAAAGGUUUACAUUUUUAAAAACGGGGACUAAACUGAACACCAACUUAUAACUUAGGGACCAAAAAAAGAUUUAAUCCUAAAUAUAAAAAAGAAAAUCACUAUUUUUUUUAUGAAAAUAAAAUUUGGCCAGUAGUUUUACAUUAGAAUAAAGAAGCUGAAAAAAAAUACUAUCUUAUAUCACACGUAUAUAAUCCAUUUAUUUCUUAAUAAUGUGGUAGACUUUAUUAGAUAUAUUAUUUUUAUUUUAUAUUUAUUUUUUAUUUUUAAUUAGUUUGCUAUUAUUUUUUAUUUGUAUUUUGAAUUUAACUCAUAUUUUUUCUAUUAUAAAUAUAUAAUCCUAUAUGUAUAUUUAAAAUAAUAGAAAUUAAUUCCAUAUAUAGUUUUUCACUAUAUUUAACAGACUUAUUUAAAAACAUAAAUAUUCUUACUAGAAAUAUAAUCUAAUUAACAAAUCCUUCCUUAAACUAAAUGUUAUUUAGUUAUAUAAAUUCUGAAUACACUCUCAGUGAUUGGCGUAACUUUAAAAAAGUAUCCAAUUUGAGUGUUCUGGUCAUAAUAUGAGCCACUUAUUCUUGUGUCCCAUAAUGCGUCAUCCAAAACCCUGCAUAAUCACUAUAAGUAUAAGCAAGCUCUUUGUUCCCUCCCUUUAUAUAGAAAAUUCCAAAAUCAAUUCUUCUCUUUAAAUAUCUCAACACCCUUUUGAUUGGACGUAAAUGCAGGUUAGUAGGAUUCUCCAUCUACCUGUUGAUUAAGUUCACCACAAACAUCAUAUCGGGUCGAGUAGAUGUUAGAUACAUAAGACUUCUCACAAUUUGUUUAUAGUAAAUCUUAUCCACCUUUACACCAACAUCAUCUUUGGUGAGUUUAACACCAAGAACAAUUGGAGUUUGUACCGAUUUCUUUUAUCCAUUCCAGACCUUUGCAACAUUUAGGCAUAUUUCUUUUGACAUAAGAAAAUGUCAUCUAUUUGUUGCAUCACUUCAAGACCCAAAAAAUAUCUCAUUUACCAAGUUGUUACGUCAAAUCAUGCUUCAUGAAACUUUUAAAUUUUGUAAACAUCAACUCGUCAUUUCCUAUAUAAAAAAAAAUAAGGUCAUCAACAUACAAACUAAUUAUUAAUAUUAUGUCUUCCUUUUCUCUCCUCAUAAGCAAAGUAUGCUCGUAGUCACACUUUUGAAAUCCUUCCUUCAAAAAAUAUGCUUCUAUGUGACUAUAUGAAGCACACGGUGCUUGCUUAAGGCCAUAAAGGGCUUCUUUCAAUUUAUACACUUUAUGCUCAUCCCCUUUUUAUAUAUAACCGCAAGACUGGUCCACAUACACUCUUUCAUACAACUCUCCAUCUAAGAAUGCUAAUUUUACAUCCAAUUGAUAGAUGGUCCAUCCCUUUUGAGCUACAAGUGUUAUUACCAAAUGAAUUGUCUCCUUACAAGCUACUAAUGCAAAUACUUAUUUGUAGUCUACCCUAUAUUCUUAUGCAUACCCCUUCAAAUAAGUCUGACUUUGUACUUAUGCAUUUCUUCAUUCUCUUUCAAUUUUGUCUUGCAAAUCCACUUGACUACAGCUUUCUUUGCCCAGUCAAGUAAUUCUAUCAAUUCCCAUGUGCCAUUUUUGUUUAUGGAUGCCAUCUCCUCAUCCAUGGCCUUCCUCCCUUUUGUAAUUUGAGCAGUAGUAUCAAAGAGAGUAGGAUCACUAUCAGAUAUAGCCAGAUUAACUUUUGUAUUACCUUUAGAAAAACCUUGGUCAGUUUCAUACUCUUCCAUCAAAAUGGGUGGUCUUCUACACCUUCGAUCAAUAGGACUAGCCAUAGAAUCAAAGGAACUAAUAUCCUCUUCUAGAAUAUUAAUAUUAUGCCAUGACUCAUGUUAUUCAAUGUUUUCUUCUUCUACAAGAGUUGAUGCCACAUCUUUAUCACCCCAAUCUAAAUCACAUAAGACGGUUUUUUCAUACUUCUUAUCCUAAUUCCAAGUUUUAUCUUCAUCAGAGACAACAUAAGGUAUUAUGAUCCUUUCUGAAAUUGGAUCAUAAAGUUUGUAUGCUUUUGAUACUUCACUAACCCCCAACAAAACAAAACAUAAACUUUUGUCAUCUAGCUUAGUUCUUUUAGCAUCAAAAUAAUCAUGAAAAAUGCAUCCAAAAACUUUAAAAUACUUAAUUGAAUGCUUAACUCCACUCCAAGCUUCUUUCGAUGUUUUCUUUUGCACUGUUAGUAUGGGAUACCGAUUCAAAAUAUAGAUAGACCAGGUGGCACCUUUAGCUCAAAAGGUUUUAGGCAUUUUCUUCUCUAACAACAUGCUUUGAACAAUGUUCAUAAUGGUUAUAUUCUUUUGUUCAACAAUCUAGUUUUGUUAUGGUAUGUAUGCAAAUGUUAGUUGUCUAGGAAUACCAUUGUCACAACAAAAAGUGUGUGAAAUCCCAAGAUGUAAACUCUCCUCCACGAUCGAGGUGUAAACCUCAAAUUAAGGAGUCGUCUUCUUUCUCAAUAUGAAUUUUAAAAUUCUUAAAGAUAGAGAGAGCUUCUGAUUAUUCUUUUUUUGUCAAAAAAUAAAUCCAAGCUUUUCUAGUAAAAUCAUCAAUAAAAGUAAGCAAAAACCUCUUUUUGCUAGGAGAUAAGUUUGAUUGGUCCAUAGAAAUUCAUGGGCAAGUAAACUAUUUUGUAAUUCAUCGAUGGUCAACGUGUCUGUAUCCUUAGAUUCUUCAAUGGAACACACAACAUAUUCAAAACUUGGAUCAUGGAUCUCAUAAUUUUCUCAACUACUACAACAUCUCCUUUAUUUUCACCAUUAGCCUUCAUUUUGAUAGCUAUGGUGAGUGUUUGAACAAAAUACUUGUUUACAGAUUCUUCCUCCUUCGUAUGGAGAUUUUCAAACUCUUUUGUUAGAGUUUGUAUAUGUGCAAGCUUGACUUGUGAAGUGUCUUGGUACUUUUAUUUUAAAGAAUCUCAUACAUCCUUUGGUAUAGCGGGCUGCACAAACAAACUCUCUGGUACCAUAGCUUUGUGCACCUAGAAGACUAUUGCUUCUACUAUGGAUCAUGCCCUAUGAUAGAGCUUUGAUUCCAAAAUGUUAGAAUCUCACAAAAAAAUACGUAAAAGAUAAACAUAAAGAAAAAAAUCACCUCUGUUUAUUGAAAAGUAAAUUUGGCUAAGAUAUAGCCUUACAUCAGAAUAAAGAAACUAAAAUUGGAUAAACUUAUUGAAAACAUGAUUAUUUUUACGGAAACCAUUGACUAACAUUUUAUUUGAUUUUUGAAACACCCGAUCGAGAUUUUAUUAUUUAGGGCAAACCUUAAAAGUACUAAAAAAUUUGAUCCUCACACUUUGAGAAUAUUAUUGUAAUUUUAUAUGCAUCUAUUAAUUGUUUAUUAUAUUUAACAACAAUAACAUCCAAGUUAAGUUUAUAUAAGAAAACAAAUAGAAUUAUCUAUGGUUAAAAAUCUUAAAAACAAUAGUAUAUAAGUCUUAUAUAUAUAUAUAUAUAUAUAUAUAUAUAUAUAUAUAUAUAUAUAUAUAUAUAUAUAUAUAUAUAUAUAUANAUAUAUAUAUGGGUUUGUUAACACGUGUACGCCUGUUUUUCAGUUGGUACGUUUUAACAAUGUGUACCGGAUUAUAGUAGACAAAAAUACCCUCAUUUAUCAUGAAUUCUAAGUUUUAAGGUCAAGGAUAUUUAAAUAAUUUUCAUUCUCAAAACUAAAAAAAAAGAAACCCCGAAACCCUUACUCACCUCCCUCAUUCCUCUCAACCCUUUAUCUUUCAUCUCUCUCCCUCCAACAUUUUCUCUGUCAUCCCUACUGUUGUCCCAAUUGAAAAAAAAAUCAGAAACCCUUUGUCAUUAGAGAUAUUUUCUCUCUCAUCUCAACAUUUUCUCUGUCAUCACUCCACCAUUUUUUCUCUCAUCUCAACCCAAUUGAAGAUGGUGGUGGUAAUUUGAAUUAGAGAUAUUUUUUAAAAAUUGAAAAAGUUUACUCUUUUAUAAUCAUUUUAUAUUUAUUAAUGUGUGUAAAAUGAAUAUAAACUUUGUCACUUUAUGUUACUCUUUCCAAAUCUCAGAGGUAAAAAAUGAUUUUACUGUUUUUUAUCUUGCACAGUGGUUAAAGUUUAUUCUAAACGCAUGUAGAAGUUGAUUCANUGAUAAAAAAAGGGAAAUAAGGAAAUUAAAGAAAUAGAGGNAAAUAUCUUGUUCUUUAAAAAUAUAAUCAAAUGUGGUGUAGAUGUGUAAAUAAUAUAUGAAAAUUUAAUUGAUUUAUGAAGGUUUUAUUUACAUGAUUUAAUUUUAAAAAUGAAAUUUAAUAAUAAUAAGAAGGGAAAAUAUAUAACACAUCCUCCAAAUGAACGAACAGAGCAAGAGCAAUAAAUUACGAUGUCACGUUUUGUUGUGUGUGGCUGAGGGAGAGUAUGGAGACGAGAGAGAAACAAAUUGGAUAAGUGAGGAAGGUGGAUUAGGGUUAGGCAAGGAUUUCUGAUUUUUUUUUUUCAAUUGGGGCAAUAAAGAUGAGAGAUAAAAUGUUGGAGUGAGAAAGAUAAAAGAGUUUGGUUGAGAGGAAUGAGGAAGGUGAAUAAGGGUUUGAGGGUUUUUUUUUCUUUUUUUAGUUUUGAGAAUGAAAUUUUUUUAAAUAUCCUUGACCUUAAAACAUAGAAUCCAUGAUAAAUGAGGGUAUUUUGUCUACUAUAAUCCGGUACACAUUGUUAAAACGUACCAACUGAAAAACAAGCGUACGCGUGUUAACAAACCCCAUAUAUAUAUAUAUAUAACAUUUUAUAAUGUACACUAUAAAAUACCAGUUUUAUAACAUUUUUCAACCCCUAUAGCAAAUAUUGAAGUUCUUGUGAAGAUGAAACUUUCUUUUACUAUUACUGUUUUUUUCUUUUCUUUCAUGUAUAUGAUAAAUUGGUGGAUACUUCCAAAAGAAACUACACAUGAAUCUCUACCUACCUUUUUUGUCCUGAAAUUAUGUUGAUAGUGUAAUAUGUUUGUUAUGCCUCAUCACCAAACCCUAAUAAGCAAAUUACUCUUUAUUUUUUUAAUUUAAAGUGGGGUAGUUAGUAACUUAAGUAUCUUUGCUUUAUAUUCUGCUCAAUUAAACUAUUAUUUUUCUUUCCAAGAUAAAAAAUGUAUUUUAUUUAUUUUUUAAUCGGAAAAAAUAGACAUUGCUGACGAAGACAUUGUUUGGGUUUCCAUCAAUGAGUUACAACUCAACUUGACUUUAGCAUAACGUACUCAUUUGUUUUUAAUUGUCUUUUUUUCUUUCAAAAGAUUGAAAUUUAUUCGAACCUUCAUUCAUAAACUAUUAUAUAUUUUCCAACUAGUGUGACACCAAUCAAAAUCCAGCUCUCACAGAAAGCAAUGCUAUAGAAAAUAAAAUAUAUGCUUAUAAUACUUUUAGUUUCUUCAGUUUUCAAACUAUGAAUUAGUUUUCUUUUAAUUGUGUGAGACAUAAAAUAUUACGCCUAAAAUGUUAAGAUUUUUAUAAAGGAGGUAUAGAGUACUUCUUUCUUAGCUUUUGUUAAUUAAUAAUUUCUAUCUUAGAAUUUUCUUCUAAUGUUAUUUAUAAAAAAAAAUUAAUGUUCUCUUAAAAGGUGAAAGACGAUUUCUCAAUUUAGCAACACGAGAAAUACUAUGUUCAAGGUGUUGAAAUUAAUUAAACAACGAUCAUUUUGUCAUUUGCUCAUCAUUAAUGGAAUUAUUAAUCUUACUAUACUUUAUAUGUUUUUACGAACCAAAUGUAUUUAGCAAAGUUGUUUGAUGUUUUCACAAACCCUCUAUUAUAUGAUACUAGUCCUCAAAGUUUUCUAUUUAUUAUUGAAGGAUAAGAUGUUGUCGAAGAUUUUCUAACGUUCAAGUUAGUAUAUGUUAGAGAUUUCGAUCAAAUAUAAAUUAAAUAUAAAAGUGAAGUCAAAUUACAAUUACAAUACUAUUUAUAAGUUUAUCUCGUUGAUCAUAGGUCCGUACUCAAAGGAAUCAUAGUUAUUAAAAACAUUAAAAUAAUUUUUAGCUAAAUAUUCUAAUAAGAUCUCAUGAGACCAUUAGAUAUUACCCUAGUUUAAUAUAAGUGAUAUUAUUACCAAAGUAAAUAUAAUAUUUAAUGUAAAAAACAUAAUUCUCAACACUCGUUAUCCAAUAUUUGGCUAAAUGAUCUAUUUGUGAAACAUUUAGUAAUCGUCUUAUUAACAAUAAACUAUCCAACACUAAAUAUUCGAUAAACCUAAUCAUAUUAUUAUCUUAAGUAAUCCCAAUUUUAUAAUUGAUAAGAUUGAAAGUUAUUUCCACCGUAUACAUUACAAUAUAAUAUAUAAUAUGUAUUUGGCAGUUGGUCAAAUAAGCAUAUGGAAUUCAAAACAAAAUCGAAAUUAUGGGAGAGACACAAACACAUUUAAGUUUAUAAGAUUUUUAUAAAAGUAAGAGGAGGAAACUAAAAUUAGAUAUAUGCUUUUAAGUCAAAUUUAUUAAAAUAAUAUUGUUAAAGUUACGUUACAUACGAGUUAUUAAAUGCUUUUUGAAAAUUGAGAAUUUUUUACGAUUUUGCUUUUAAAGAAUAUUUGAAAGAUUAAAGAUAAAUUAUAUUUAAAUUAUUAUAGGUGUCAACUAUAAAGCGAUGAGAUUUAUGAAUGUAUCCUAACAAUAUAUGUUUGAAAAAUAAAGAAAUAUUGGAAAAUAAGAAAUAAGUAUAGAAUUCCACGAGUAUUUAUAAGAAAUGCAUUAUUUUUUUUUUGUUGCAUCGUAGUACUAAAUUGUCCUUAUCACGUUAGCAUACGUCAGAAUUUUCAUCCUUGUCUCAAAUAAAAGCAUAAAUAAAAAUAAUGGUUUAUUAUCCUAUCCACAGUUUUUUAGCAGAUGAAAACAAUCAUGACGUUACUUUUUCAUAUUGAAGGUUAUUAUUAUUAAAUUCAUUUAAUUUAAUUAAAUGUCAUUAAGGAAAUGUAACUACAAAUAUUAGAUUAAAAGUUUCGUUAAUAAACUAAUAGUUUUAAAGUGUGCUGUAUUCAUUAUUGAGGAAGUUGUGAGAGUUUUAUGUGAAGUUGUUAUUCAACAUAGUUUAUUAGUAUUUUAAUACUACAUCUUAUACUAAUCUUAUUCAACUUGAAGAUAAGUAAAGUAUAAUAAAUAUUUCUUUUUUUCUAAUAAUUCCACUUUAUAUAUAUGUAGGAGGACAAAAAAAUUAAUUGUUUCGUAUUUAUAAAUAUUAAAAUAUUUUUCUCUCUGUUUUGAUACACUUUUCAUUUUCAUAGUAAAUAUUUUGUGUGUUAGUUUUCUUUCAUUCUAGCUCUUAGGAUACAUACAAAAGGAUACGUACAGAUGUCGAGAGUAUUUUUAUAAUUUAAAAUUUCACAAGCACUACGAAUAUAUAAAAUAUAACUAAAAUAAAAAAAUAUUCUCUUGCGUUUGCACUUUUGCUUGUCACUAUUCAUUAGUAAUAUAUUAUGUCUUUACUAAAAUAAAGUAAGUAUUAUAAUAACUUUAAUUAUUAUUAUAUGUAUAUGUCGGUGCCUUGUCUGCCAGCAGAAUUUGGCAAAACCAUGGGUUGCUGAUGAUGUUGUUUUGUUACUCAGAUCUUGAACUUUUCGAAACUGCUUCUAUUAUUUCCUUAUAAUAAUACGUGAAAAGUUCAGUAUUAAAAUAAAUAAAUAAAAAAGAAAAAGAAAAGGCAGUCCAGGGAAAAUAGCUCACAUCAAACAGUUCUUGCAAUAGUUAUUAUAUUAAUACUACAAAUAAAUAAAAAUAAAAUAAAAUAAACUUAAUUUUAGCCACGAUGAUGAAAAUGAAAGAAGUGAAUGAGAAAACAUCCCACUGUGUGUGUUUUUUGAGGAUUAUUUUGGAAACAAAUUUUAAUACUUAAUAGAUUUGAAAACUGAAAAAUAACAUGCGAAUGAAAUAUGACAAAUUUAAAUUUAAUAUGAUUUUCCAAAAAGUGUCUAUUUUAUAGUUUUAUACAUUUUUCUUUAAAUUUAAGGUAUACAUUCUUUUAUCAGGAUUCAAUUUAUAAAUUUGUUUAACUAAUUUUCACCAUAAAAUAAAUUAUACACGUUACAACGUUACAAGAACUCUUUCCUCGAUGAAAUUAUUUCAUUGAAAAUCAAUAUUUAUCACUGAAUUGAAAGGCAUAAUUAUAAUAAUCAAAUAAUUUGUGUUUAGUUGUUUCAAUUUGAUUAUCACUAUUGAGAUAUCGACUAGAGAUAAGACCAAAUUAUAAUAUACAAAUGAAAUGCAAACCUUAUCUUACAAGUUAGUUUUGUGGAAUUAAAUUAGAUUUAAAGUCUAUUUUCUAAUAACCACUCCAGUUAUUUUAUUUCUAUAUUGACAUAAUUAAUAACACAAUUUUAAAAAGAAAUUAAAAAUAGAAAGAUAUUUUUAUAUUUGAUAGAAAAAACAUGAAGUUAUUUUUGUUUUAUAACUAGUAAGAAUUAAAAAUACUACGACACAAUAAAAUAUAGUGCAAUUACUAAAUGGAAUGUGAUUUAGAUAAGGUAUUGUUUUACUCUCUUUUUUUUCACAAUACCUUCAGGUGUGUUAUUUCUCAAAAACCAAACGAAUAAGGACCAUCAAACAAAUUGUUCUUGGGCCAUGCUAUUGGCACUUCCUUAAUUCCUAUUUAAACUACCAACUUUUUACUAAUCUAUACUUCAUUAAUUCCUAAUCAAAUAGUAUAGUUUAAAUAAAAAAUCUUUAUAUUGAAAAUAAAUGCACUCUUUUAAAAUCUUUUUGGUGCAUUACUGAAAAUAUUAUCCAAAAUGUAUUUAAGAACUACGGGAUUAGAAUGAAAAAAAAAAUAAAAUUCAUACUACAUGAAUAUUUUUAAUGGAUAUCUGUAAGUAAUGAUACAUGUAUUUAUUUAUCCGCUUACUAAUGAGGUGGGAAUGAGUAUCAUGGUAUCUGAUAUACUGCUUUCUGAUAAUUAUUAAUGACUUUUAUUUAGGUUUUAUUUUUUUAAAAUUCAAGUGAUUAAAAAGAAAUUAUCAGUAGAAGAGAUAUUACUAAUAAAAUAAUAAUUUAAAAUUUGAUUUCAUAUAUUUUUAUUUUUUAUUUAGACCUAUAAAAUUGAAGUUAUUUUAAAAAAUAUUUUUUAAAUUUAUGUUUUUUAAAAUAUAAAUUUAUUUUGAUUUGAGUUGUACUCAAAAAUUAAUUUUUUUAUCUAAGUUUAUAUUUUAAAGAUUUUUUAAAUAAUUUUAUUUAUUAAGCUUGAGUAAAUCUUACAAAAUCGGUAAUGUCAAAUUUACAUUUAUUUAUAUACUAUAAAUUCGUCUUAUUUUUAGUUAAUGGAAAAUCUCCAACACACAUCUCGUAGAGGUAUGUACAUUUCAAGUGUGAGACUAGAUAUUAAUAGAUUGUUUGAAAGCACUAGGUGACACGAUAGGUCUAACAAGCAACAAAUAUUUCAUUAUAUGGUGGCAGAAUAAGUCGAACAAUCAACAAACCUAGGUAGGAUAGACUCUAAUCCAUGAUUUUAAUGUCAUGUUAAUAAAUGUACUUUAAGUUUAAUUCAACCUUAUAUAAUCGACUUGUAAGAUGAUAUUUGUAUACACCUAUAUACUAUAAAUUCACCUUAUCUCUAUCAAUAUAAGAUCUACAACAAUAUACAUUUUAAAAAAAUAAAAUAUAAAAGUAUCUACUUAUAUUCAUAUGUACCUAUGAAUAUAAAAACAUUUACAAAUAUUUUUCAUAAAUACCCAAAAAAUAUUAAAACAUAUUUUUAGAUCAAAAUAGAUAACAAAUAAACACUAUUUACCUUACUUGACUCCUUAUCAUCCCCAUUAUGAACUAUAUAUUUCAUAUAACAAGUAUGAGAUUUAGCAUCUUUUCUUGUGUAUAAUACAAUUAAAGAUUAUCUAUCAAAAUAACAAGGUAAAAUAUUAUUAGAUAACUAACUAUUGCAUGAUAUAAAAUAUUUUCGAAUAUAAAGUUUGAAAUUAUUUAUUACCAUUUUGAAAAAUGAUUGCAUAAUCUUAUUUUACUAAAUUAUUUACUUUUUACAUGUUUUUAAAAUUAAUUUAUCGAUAUCAUAUAUAAAAGGACUCACUCUUUUUGAUGUCUAUACUUCAUUAUCUAAUUUUACUCUAAUAAGUAAUUUUUUAAAAUAAAAUAAUUAAUUACAAAUUUUAUCUUUUAAGUAGUAUUUUUCUGUUUUUAAUUUAGUAAUUUAGUCCAUUUUUUAUAAACUUAAAUAUUUUUUAAAAUUAAAAUAGCUGCAUAUAACAAAAAAUUAUUUACAAAAUAAAUAAUUUUUUUAUCAUUAUAAAAAAAGAAAACAUAAUUGCGCAUGACAUUUUCACUCAUUUAAUUAUAAUAGAAAUGUGAACAGUGAGCACAUAUGAAUUUGCCAAAGUAAAAUAACCACAAUUUGCAUUUACUUUUUUACUAGUAGAAAUACUUAUGCUAUUGGCCUUGUGUAUUUGAUUUUUUUUACCAUAAUAUUUUAUUUUUUUAAGACAAAAUGUUAAAGAAAGCAUUGUUUUAAAGUUUAACAGAAUGUAUAAAUGAAACAGUGUCUAAAUCUCAAUCCUUUAAGAUAAAAAGUUUUAAAAGUUAUAACUUCAAUAAAUGUUAUAAAGAACUGAAAAACUACAACAGACAUCUACUAACAGAGGUAUAAACAAGUUUAUGUCGUUUAGGAUAGAAGUGAAGAGCGCUAAACCCUAUAUAUUAAAAUUAUCUUAAAUAAUGUAGGUUAUUCAAAUAGACAAUACCUAAAUAAUAAUACACAUAUAUUAUGCAUAAAAUGUUUAUAAUCGUCUAACACUUUAAAAUUGUAUGUUUUAAUACUUCUUUGUCAGUUGUAUUGUGCUAUCUUAUUUUGUGCAGAUUAGUGCCUUUAUUCAACAGGAUGCUCAGGAUCAUAAUAACAUUAAGAGAUUGGAAGAUAUUCAAGGAAUGUUUCCUUCAUGCUUUCUGCAUGUCUUUUCUGUACACACAACCCAGUUCAUUUGCCAAGACAGAACAUAGCUUCUAACGCAGUACUAUAAAGGUACACCUCUAGAAAAAGUCAAAGUUUUGAGUAAUAGAUCUUUUUUUGAAGAAGUCUAUAUAAAGAGGACUGCAUGAAGAGAAGACAAGAAGAACAAUUAUUAUUGAAUACAAUCACACUACUUCUCUCUUUAAGCUGUGCCUCUUAGACUUGUUCUUUGAAAAAGAAAUUUCUUUAAAAAUUUUCAGAAUCUUAUUGUAUUGAUUUCAAAUCCUGUCUAAGAGAAUUACAAAUUAUGUUCUUGUGUUUUGCAAAACCAUCUAGUCAUUUAGACUAGUUGAUACCAAGAGUGAUUAUACUUAUUCUAGCUAGUGGGUUAGUUGUAUACUAGGAGUGGUUAAACAUGUUGUAAUCCUUUAUGAUUAGUGAAACCUCUAAAGGUAUUUAAGGAAUAACCGAACGUAACUCACUUUAAAAAAAACCAAUAUAAAAACAAGUGUUUUUUAUUGCUUUUAUUUCUUAAACGUCUUCCUAAACACUGUUUUAUAAACUCAUUUAACUAUCAUUGUAAAUCGUCUAACUCCUACAAAGGAAAUUAAAUACUAUUUUGCGAAAAUAUUAAAACUUUAUUCAAUCACCCCUUUCUACAAUUUUCUUGUGUUACACUUUUAUUAAGUUCAAUUUGAUAUUUACUUUGUAAAUUUAAUAAAUUUAUUUAAUUAUUAUUUAUAUUUUUUAUUUUUAAUAUGUAAAAGCUUUGAAUAAUGACAAAUUGUAAAAAUAUGAAAAAUUAAUAUAAAUAAUUUUGUUAUAAAUGUGUUUUAUUAUUUAAAACAUUUUUUUUUCGAAUUUGGAUUAAUGAAUUUAUCUAAGUUUAGAAAUAACGUAAAAGUAAAGUAAAGAAAGGUGUGUAACUUUAGAAUUUUGUUUUCCUCUUUAAUACACUCCAUGAUAAAUUUGAAGAUACAAGAAAACUUUUUAGUAUACAAAAACAUAUUUUUCAUGCAUCGCAUACUUAUAAUAUCACUUUAAGAUCUUUGACAACAAUCCUUACCUAUUAAAGUGAUAAUCUUCUUUGGAAAAUGAUAUUUUAAUAUUUUUUUUUACACAAUUUUAAUUAUGUACAUGUGUCAAAAUAUAAUUAAACGAUUUCAAAUUAAAAAAACAAACUUUGAUUUUUCUCUUUUAAAUAUAUCUCUGUCUCAACUUUUUUUAAUUUAAAAUCGUCUAAUCACAUUUUAACAUGUGUAUAGUGUAAAAAUGAAAUGAAAAAAUGAUGUGAAAAUAUCAUUUUCCAUCUUUUAUAUACUCUGUCUUAAAAUACUGUUCAUACUUACAAGAACUCACAAAUAUUGUUUGUGUCCCAUCAUUGAACAAGAAAAACUUUGAACUCCUUAAUCCCUCAAACGACUCUCCUCCACUGCACAGACAAACAAGAGUUCGAAAAACCUUUCCUUCUACUAUGCAGACAAUAGACAGUACCGAAAAAAAACCGUCCAUGUUCAACAUCACAGAAGCUGCAUGCAAUACGUAAAUAAGAAUACGAAAAGAGAAAUUUGAAUAGAAAAUGGAGAGAUGUAUGAAUCAGAAUCUCACUCUAUCCUCCACCUUUUGGGGAAGGUAACUAACUACUUAACUAACUCUGUGGCUUAAAAAAGAAACAAAAUUGUGUCUUUGGCAUUGGUCAAAUGAAUUCCGAAAGAGAUGCUAUUGAAAGUGGAACACAAACACAAACACUAAGGUUAUCAUUAUUCUCUUCACUGUGAUCCAACCCACAUACCCACCCGCCAUGGCCUCCAACCACCUUAUCACCCUCACCCGCCGCCUCCUCCGCCUUCCGCCCACCGCCCGCCCCUUCUCCGCCGCCCCGAUUACCUCCUCCUGCCCCGCCCCACCAAUGCUCUACGACCGCCUCGCCUCCGCCACUAUUGCCAAGCUCCGCCGCCUCGACCACCCCGACCCCCGCUUCCUCAAGCACGGCAACCCCGUCCCUUCCAUCACCGACCACACGCCCGUCCUCGCCGCUCCCCAGACCCGCGUGACCACGCUCCCCAGCGGCCUUCGCGUCGCUACCGAGUCCUCCCUCGCCGCUCGCACUGCCACCGUCGGCGUUUGGAUCGACGCCGGAUCGCGGUUCGAGACUGAGGAAACCAACGGCACCGCUCAUUUCCUCGAACACAUGAUCUUCAAGGGCACCGCGAAGCGCACCGUGAGGGAGCUCGAGGAGGAGAUCGAGAACAUGGGAGGGCAUCUCAAUGCGUACACCUCACGCGAACAGACCACGUACUACGCUAAGGUCAUGAACAAGGAUGUCCCCAAGGCUCUUGAUAUUCUGGCUGACAUCUUACAGAAUUCGAAGUUCGAUGAUAAUAGGAUUAUCCGUGAGCGUGACGUGAUUCUGAGGGAAAUGGAAGAGGUAAAUGGUUAAUGUAAUAUUUUUCUUCUUGUUUACUUGUGUUGAUUUUAAAUGUUAGUUUUUUUAUGCGAUUUUGUGUUUGUUUGCUUUGAAUUGUGGGAGAUGAAGGGGAUAAAUGUUAGUUUUUUCUAUCUUCCUGUUUCUUUCAUGAUUUGGUUUAUGAAAGGCUAACACAGUAAUAUUCUCAUGAUGUGUAACUGCUUAUAGGUUGAGGGACAAAUGGAAGAAGUAAUCUUUGACCAUUUACAUGCAACUGCUUUCCAGUACAGUCCACUUGGUAGAACAAUUCUUGGACCUGCUCAGAAUAUCAAGACAAUCACUAAAGAUCAUCUGCAAAACUACAUUCAGACACACUACACAGCUCCUAGAAUGGUAUGCAGAAAUUCUUGAGCCUCUUUUGGUACAUGCAUGUCCUCUUGUUAGUAAUUCAUAUGAUAAUAUUCUUGUGACAUUUCACAAAAUGGUAAGAUAACUGUUUGGUUUGGGUCUGAUUUCUUAGGUGGUUGCCGCAUCUGGAGCUGUCAAGCAUGAAGAAAUUGUUGAGCUAGUAAAAACAUUGUUUACUAAGUUGUCAACAGAUCCCACCACAGCUUCUCAAUUAGCUGCAAAAGAACCAGCCAUUUUUACCGGUUCCGAGGCAAGAUCAUUAGAGUAAACACGUUGAGUGCAGAAAAACCUGUCUUGUGUAGUGAAAUUUAAUGGCUAAUUUAAUGUGUUUUUAAAAACAGGUUAGAAUUUUGGAUGAUGAUAUUCCCCUUGCACAAUUUGCUGUAGCUUUUGAAGGUGCUGCAUGGACAGAUCCUGAUUCCGUUGCUCUAAUGGUCAUGCAAGCUAUGUUGGGUUCUUGGAACAAAUCCACAGGAAGUGGAAAGCACAUGGGGUACACCACUUGAGCACUUUUUCAAACCCCAAAAUAAAAAAAUAGCUGCUCUGCCUCCUCAUGAUCACAUAACAGAGUAAAUUUUACUUGUUACAGCUCUGGGUUGGCGCAACGAGUUGGCAUUAAUGAAGUUGCAGAAAGCAUUAUGGCCUUCAAUACUAAUUACAAGGAUACAGGUCUCUUUGGUGUUUAUGCUGUUGCUAAGGUGAGUCACUGUGUAGAUUCUAAGAUUCACAAUGCUUUUGUUUAUUGUUUACAAAUAGAUUUGAAUACAAGCACCAUCUAUCUCCACAUCACAUACUAACUUUUAGCCCUCUUGAAUGUUUCUAAUCAUCUUUGAAUUUUCAACACUUCUUUCUUAUUAUGCUUCCAAUCAUGGUUAUCAUAAUUUUAUUUUGAAUCGUAAAAUUCAAAUAUAAUGAAAAGAUACUUCAAAUAUAAGAUAUAAAUGAUAUAUAAUGUUCAAAAUAAAAAUUAAAACUAGAAAUAGGUGAAACGAAAGGAAAAAAGUCUCUUUAACAACUCUUUUUUGACAAUUUUUUGACAACGCAUACGUGGCAGUUUGUGAUUGGUCCGUUUCAAAUAUUUUUUUAGAAUAAAUUCAAACAGACCAAUAGAAUUGUGACACGAAUCCUGUUGUCAAAAAAUUGUUUAAAAAUAGUUGUUAAAAUAUCAUUGUCCUAGUUGAAAUAACUUUGGCAGAGCUAUAUAAACCUAUUAGAAUAGAUAGUGUUUUAUCUGUAUAAACCUAUUAGAAUCUAGAGUGUUGUGGCUACGCUAUUCUUGACUGUGUGCAAUGUAUCCUGUAUGUCAACCGGUGUAUGAACAUUUUUGUUUUUAAAGAACACUAUGUACAAGUUCUAUGCAAAAUACAUUUUCUUCUGCAACCUCUUGCUCUACGAUUAGUUUUACAUUUUUAUUUAAUGAAGAAGGUCCAUUUUUAAUUUGUUCUACAGAAGGAUUGCUUGGAUGACUUAAGCUAUGCAAUAAUGAAUGAGACAACCAAGUUGGCUUAUAAGGUUUCACAGGAUGAUGUUAUUCGAGCUCGUAAUCAGGUGUCUACCAUUACUCCUAUUUUUCAGUUUCUUUACCCUGCUAAUUUUGCUUUUGCAUGCAAGAUGCGUUGGAUUAGUUGGUGCUCAAUUUACUUUUGUAUUCUGUUCACUGGUAGCUACUUAGAAUUGUGUUUUUCACAGUUGAAAUCUUCACUCCUGCUCCACAUAGAUGGAACAAGUCCAGUAGCUGAAGAUAUUGGGCGCCAGGUACAAUAAAUCUUAACUUUCAUGACAAAAGAAAAAGCAAGAGGGUAUGAUAAGAAUAGUGUAGUUUACCCUGUUCACAAAUUUAUUUUAAGAAAAAAAAUUCUUAUGAUUUGGGGAUAGAUGGGUGCAUGAGUUUUUGAAAAAAAUAAUAGAAGAUUUCCAUUUUAGAUUAGGAAUUUGAUGAUUAAAUAAAGGAUAAUGAUAUUUAGAUAACAUUUUUUUUACAAUAUUUAAACAUAAUCUAAGUGUCAUUCUGUGAUCGGUUCAAAAUUAUUCCAUAAUCAAUAAUAAUAAUUAUAAAUAGUAUCAUGGACCAAUUAUAGAAUGAUACGUAGAUGAUAUCUGUAAAAAGAAUGUUUUCUAAGAAUCAUAAUCGUUAAAUAAAAGGUGAUAAUAGUACAACCAAAUUCUGAAUGCAGAAAAGCUGACACUUUUUUGCGCUUACAUAAUAUUUAACAUUUUCGGUAAGAGGUUGUAUAAAACAUUCUUUUAUCUUGGCUCAUUACUUUUUUCUAAAAGUCAUUUCAAUGGCCAAGAUCGUACUGAAAUUUCCUUGCUGUUUAUAUACCAUGCAAAUAAUUAAAUCUAUAGAAUGUUUUGUUGCUUCCAUUUGAUGUUUCCAAUUUUUAUUUACUUUUUAUGUGGUCAUUAUUUCAGCUACUCACCUACAACAGAAGAAUACCAUUUGCAGAAUUAUUUGCUAGAAUUGAUGCUGUUGAUGCAAGCACAAUAAAACGUGUUGCUAACAGAUUUAUUUAUGACAAGGUUUCGUUUAAACCAUUUAUCUUGUUAAUCUUUCAGUAACACAAUUUCAUUAGGGAAUUUGUUUCGUCAGCUUGUCUCUGAACUCAUUACAUUUGGCCUUGCAGGAUAUUGCAAUUGCUGCUAUGGGACCUGUUCAGCGUUUGCCUGAUUACAACUGGUUCAGACGAAGAACCUACUGGAAUCGAUAUUAGUUUUAAUCAUAGUUUACGUUUCUUCAACUUCCCGAGAGAUGUCCCCAAGGAAUCAAAUUUACACCUUGUGUAUCUCCAAGUAGUUGUUACAACAUUCAAUUAUCUAUUUAUUCAUUUAUUUGGUGUAGGCAUUUUUUAAACACGGGGAGAAAUAAAUAUGCUAUUCUUCACGGUGUAAUUGUGGAUAUUACAAAAGUUUAACAUAAUAAAUGAAGAACAUUAAACCAAGUAAGUGGUGGAUAUGAGACCAUAUAAGUUAGUGAAAACAAUUUAUUUUAAUGUCAAGUGGUGUAUUUGUCAUAGACAUAUAUGGUUUAUCAUAGAGGAGGGCAAGCGGGAUUAAAUAUAUAAGAUUAGUGUUAGUACAAAAACGUUGUUUAACGUUGGUUAAUUUGGGCUUUUAACGUCACUUUCACAUUCGACGUCUAAACGGGUGACGUCUAUGGGACGUUGGAAUUCCUUCGAACCGACGUCCAACUCAACGUUGGUUACAAAUAUCCACCAACGUCUCUAUAGACGUCUGCUUAAACACACACCAACGUCUAGUUACUCUGUAUAGACGUCUUCCUAUGAUUAAACCAACGUCAACAUGAAUAUAUAAAGAGGUUUAAAAUGACACUAACCGACGACUAUGUUGUUAUAGACGUCGGACAUGGCUUUAACCGACGUCUAACAACAAUUUUGUGUUUUAGUGCAGUUUUGAUCUAGGCUUUCGGUAGCAUUGUGUAACAUUCUUCUCUCGCUAGUUUCCUCACAAAAAAAACUUGCGUCUUUUGAAUCCUCUAGUCCUUUUAACCCAAAACCGAACCUGGGUCCAUGGCUACUUCCCAUUAAUCAACCGCAACAGAAAAAAAUUACGGUGUCAAGAAGUAGACAAGGACCCAUGUUCCAUUUUGGGUCAGAAGAACUAGAGAACUCAAAAGAUCACCACUCUUCUUGUGAGGAAACCAACAAAGGAAGAAUGUUGCACUAUGUUACCCAAAGAGAGGAUCAAAACUGCACUAAAAUACAACACAAAGAAAGGAAAUUUUAAUCAGUUCAACGACAAGAUAAUCGAUAAAAAACUAAAGAAAGUUUAAACGGGUAGCAUAAAAAAAAAACACGAACCUGGGAUGCAAGAGAGAAAAGGGAGAGGACGAAGCCAAUGACGUUAUGAGAAACGACAACGCAAUGCAGCAAGAGAUAAACAGUAGAGGAGAAGCAGAGAAAAAGGAGAAGAAAUGAAGACGCGAUUGAAACUGAAUUUUGAGAAGAGUCCGCGGUCUAUUUAAAAUGAAAAUGGGGCGUCGGUUGCUCCAGAAACCGACGUCUAGGAAGCUGAAAAGAUUGACGUUUUGGUUUCCUGUCAGGGAAGUUAACGUUGGCGCCCCUAAGAGCCGACGUCUACAACCCUCGAAUUUGGUGAAAAUAAAGGAACAUAGACGUCGGUGCCCCUCAGAACCGACGUCUACAUUGAAGAAUUUUUGUCUUCCAGCCUUCCAGAUAGGCCUUAGACGUCGCCGUUUGACUACGUGACGUCUAAUUGCCUGGGGUAUUAGGUGAACAACAUUAAUUGUAGCCCAAUGGACGUUGCUUUUUCACGAGAUCCGAUGUCUAUUCGACGUCUAAAGCUGAACCAGUUGACGUUUGAUUUUCCUGAGUGACGUAGAUGUCGGUGCCCUUGCCAGCUGACGUCUAAGCUCCUGGGAUUUUUGUAUAGCAUUAAUUGCAACGUAGUAGACGUCGGUCCCCUGAAAACGCCGAUGUCAAUGGACUGUCUUAUGACAUACCUCAGGCAAUUGGACGUCAGUUUGUGGGAGGUUCGACGUCUAUGAUGUCAUAGACGUUGCCUGACAUCGAAACUGACGUCUAGUUUUUCAAUUUAUUUACAAUAAUGCCACCGCGCAUUAGUAGACGUCGAAUUUUCACGAAACGAACGUCUAAGGGGUGACGUUAAACAACGUUUUUGCACUAGUGGGAGCAAAAUAAAUUCUUUUAGAUACUUAGUAGUAAUUUUAAUAAAAUCAGGAGAUGCACAUGUACAUUCUUGUAUAUAUAGGUUUGCCACUAGGUCUAAUCUAUUAGAAUCCCAAAGUUAAUCAAAAGUAUCUAUAUAUUAAUUACCUUGAAAAAUAUGACAUAUUUGAAAUUUUAUAACUAAAAUUUGUAAAUAAUGAUAAAAAUUCGUCAAUAAAUCAAAAUUAUCAACAACUUGUCAAUCGUCGAAAGUCUAUCAAUAAAAUACUCGUGGAUAAAUUUUAUAGACAAAUAGAAAAUUUUGUUGGUAAUAUCAAAUGACUAAAAUCUAUAGAUAAUUAUCAAAAACCAAAAUCAAUAGAUAAUUAUCGAUGAAUUUUGUUCUUAGGUAAAUAUCACAAUUUAGUCAUUUUCCUCUUCUUCCUCCUCUUCUUUUUUCUUUUUUCUUCUUUUUCUUCCUUGUCUUCUUUUUUUCCUUUUCCUCCUCCUUUUCUUAAUGUACAAGCUUGUAUAAUGUAUAUUGUAAGACUCAUCUAAUUAUAUAAUAGAUAAAAUUGUCUAAUAUGUAUUAAUAAAUUCAUCUGAUAUGUGUAUGAAUAAACUCAUUUAACGUAUAUUGUUAGACUGAUGUAAUUCAUGUUUGGACAAACUCAUAUAAUGUGUAUUACAUGACUCGUUUGAUCAAUAUAUGAACAUACUUGCAUAAUGUAUUUUUAUACUCAUAUAAUCUAAUUAAUGUUAAAAUGACUCAUCUAAUAUAUUUUUUUACUGUACUUAUCUAAUCGGUAUAUAGAUAGACUUAUAUAUAGGUACAAGCUUGUUCAUAUUGCACAAUAGGUAAUUGCUACUACUACUACCAUCAAAAUCACCAUUUUCACAACUAAAUUGCGAUUAAAAUUUCUAGCAUGAUUGAAAUUACCUCUAUUGAUAAAGAAUUUGUCAUUAGGAUACUAAUUUUGUGAGUUGAACUGACAUUAACGUAGAAUGCUAAGUUAUUAUUGAAUUUUUUUUUUACCAAAUGUUAAUGGUAAAAGAUUCAAUUAACCUUCUUCUUUUUAUACUCGAUUAGUAUAUAUAUAUAUAUAUAUAUAUAUAUAUCAUAUGUGAGAAAGUGCGUUGAAAGUCUUAUAUGAAGAAAUAAAAUCAAUUUAUAAUAUAUAAGUGAUUUAGUAAUAUGGUUUUAUUCCAUUGAAUAAGCUUAAAGUCCAUCUCUUAAUAAAUGCCACCGAUAAAUUGCUUUGAAUGAUAAGGGCAUUAACUACUAAUUUGAUACAAAGAAGAAAUUCACGCUUCGUCUUCUGUUUAAGCAUCAUGAUACGAAACACUAUAGUUAUUGACACAUUAAGCCAAAAUUUCACUUCCCAUUUGACAGUUUUCUUCUGUGAGAAACCGUAUGAAAAUAGGGGUUUGCGACAAAGCGAUGAAAUUCACGUUUCUUAAUAACCAGUACAACUUAUUGCUCCUAUAAUAGAAAAUUAAAUUCAUUUAUAUUUUUAGAAAUAAAAUAUAAGAAAGGAGAAUUGGAAGUGAAGAAAACAAAAAUUUGAGUUGUCUUCAUGGAUGCAUCUUUAAGCUCUUGAGAUUCAAGAUGUAACUUGUAUUAGAUUAUUUGAAACUCAUUCUUACAGUAAGUUGUAGUUGAUUUUUAUGUAGAAGUAUAAAACUUAUAGCUGUCCAAAACUUUAAUAAUUGUAAUACACCAAGUUGGCAUAUGAAUAAUGACCACUAUAUUAGGAAAUAGUGAAAAUAACAACGAAAUGAUUGUCUGGUAUUUUUGAAAGUUCCUCUAAACUCAAGGACAUCAAAAAGCACAUAGAAAACAACGUUUAAAGGUGAUAAGAUAGGUGGGUUUCCAACUUUAAAAAAGUACCUACGUGAGACUAACAAUAAUACUUGAAUAUACUAUUUUACUUAGUGGUAGAUAUUAUUAGAUGUUUUUAUUUAGGUUUAAUCAUUCAGUUGGAAUCUCAAUUUCGUAUUAUUUUUUUUGAAUUUCUUAAUUGGGUCUCAGUUUUCUGAAAAUUAUAAUAAUUGGAUCCUUUCCGUUAAAUUGAUUCCAACGGCAUUAAUGUGUGUUUGACGUGACACGUUGGAGUCAAUCUGGUCUCUUAAUGACAGUGAGGAAACCAAGAGGCAACCACCUCAUCAUCCCUGCCACAUCAGUUUCAUCUUUCAUCUCCAGAACCCUAAUCCUCUUACCAACCUCCUUGUGCCGCCACCAUCACCAGACCACCACAACUCCUCUGUCAGUCACCAUGCACCAUGGUCACUAGUAGUCACCAUGGUCCAUCUUCUACUCUAUCAACCAUGCACAACUUCUCCACCACAGUUCAUCUUCGCCAAAGCACCACUUAAACAUGCACGAAACCUUCAUAGAGUCAUCUCUUCUUCGAAUCCUCGCUUCACUUGCAAACCUAAUUAUCAUAGAGCCCUAAUACAAAAAAUCACCAAAUCAGAAAACUCAAUCGAACCAUGAAACCCACUGCGAGUUCCCCAAACGUGACAAUACAGAAACCCUAAUUCGUGAAGGAGGAGGCUUUCGAGAAUGUGGUGGCGCGAUGCUUUUCCUCUGAUUUUGGUUUCUGCUGGGUUUCUGGAAUUUGGUAAUUGCAGGUCCGCAUUGAUGAUAAACGAAGCUUGGAUGGCAGCGACAAUGAAGCUUGCGAGGUGACGACGACCUGACUGGUAUGGUGCGAGGUCGAUGGUGACGCGAAGGGUUUUUCGAAUGGAGGAGGAGCUCAUCGUUGUUGAUGGCGCAAUUGCGUUUGGGUGGCGCUUGCGAGAUUUCUUGAAUCGCAAUUCUCUGGUUUCCAUUUUGUUGAUGUUCGUUGCGAUUCUGAUUGGUUGCAGAGCUUGCGAAGAUGGUGAUAAUGGAGGACAAGUCACAACAGCUUGCAGUUCGAGUGUGACAGCGCUGUAGUGGCGAGGGUGAUGGAUGGUGGGGCUGCCAUGGUUGCCGGAUGAAGAAGCUUGCGUUUGACGAAGGACGAGAGUGACAGAGGGCUUACGAUGGCCAUGGAGAUUCACGACGGAGGUUGAGGGGAUGGUUGUUGGUGAGAAUGGCGGUGGCGGCGCAUGGUAGCUAGGGUUUGAGAAUUAGUGUUUCUGUUUAGAGAAGGGUUGAAGGAGAUGCUGACGUGACAGGAGUGAUAAAAGUUCAGUGUGCCAUGUCAAACUCACACUAAGGCCGUUUGACCCAAUUUAACGGAAAAGGUCCAAUUGUUACAAUUUUCAGAAAAUUAAGACCCAAUUGAGAAAUCCAAAAAAAACGAGACGAAAUUGAGAUUUUACGUGAAAAUAGAGACUUUCUGAAUGAUUAAACCUUUUAUUUAAUCAUCUUUCAGGCAUUCGAGUUAUCUAGAGAUAUUGAUUUAAAUUUUAUCAACUUAAUCUAAUUUACUUAAUGUUACAUAAAAAUAGUUUUUAUAAAAAAUAGUUAUAUAUUUUUAUGUCAUUUUAAAAGAAUCUUUAAACAAAAUACACAACUUCAACGUAAUGAAAAAUUAAUUAUAUAAUUAAUUAAAAUUAAUCCUAAUGAAAAUCAUCUUAUGACUUCAUCUUCACCAUUUGAGACUUGUUCAAAAGUCGUUCGUAUGAGACUCCAUUAACCUUUUAGGUAAUUUAAAAGGAAAUCGAAGUAAUUCGGAAAACAUACUAACCGAGAAAAAGAAGAUGGAAAUUAAACGGUAAUAAUGAUAAAAUUCUAUUGAUUUCAACUUCAUUCAACACUUAAUUUCUUCCUGAAAUCCAGCAAGACUAUAAGUUCAUCUGCAGUGAAAAACGUUUCUCUUUUAAGCAACUUUUGCAAGUUUCGCUGCGUGUUUUUGCAUUAUCGUUGACCCCAAUGUCUUCUUCUUCAUCAUCACAACCCCAAUGGAUCUACGACGUCUUCAUCAACUUCAGGGGAGGAGACACUCGCAGAGACUUCGUUUCGCAUCUCUACUGCGCCCUCUCCAACGCCGGCGUCAACACUUUCUUCGACGACGAGAAUCUGCUCAAGGGAACGCCGCUGGAGGAGCUAACGCGAGCGAUCGAAGCCUCUCAGAUUGCGAUCGUCGUUUUCUCCGAAACCUACACCGAAUCCACCUGGUGUCUCACCGAGCUUCAGAAAAUAAUCGAUUGCAACGAAUCCUACGGCCAAAUCGUUGUGCCCAUAUUCCACGGCGUCGAACCGUCCAUUCUACGCAAUCCCAAAGGUCGCUUUCGUGAGGCUUUGGAAGCUGCUGCGAAGAAAAAGUUUUCCGAAGAGCAUAGGGAGUAUGGGUUGUCGAGAUGGAAAAACGUGCUCAAGAAAGCUGCAAAUUUCUCUGGUUGGGAUGUGAAGAAUCACAGGUACAUCACAGGGUCUAUUUCUUCAUUCAUUGAGACUUAAUACAGCCUGUUUUAAGCUUAAUACUGCAGUUUUAAUAUUUUUACAAGAUUUCAAAUUUUGAAUUGAAUGAAGUUGUUAAUUUUCACUUGGACAUUUUUUUUUUCUCUAUUUUUUUCAAAUUUAUCUCCACAAAUGUAUUCACUGACAUUACUUUUUCAACUCACCAAUGAACUUGCUUUUCCCCUCUCUAAUCUCCUCAAACUAGUUCAUUCUUGAAAAGAGAAGGAACUAACUAAUCGGAUAGUUGAAAGAGAUUAAAGAGAAAAAGAGUAACUUGAAAUUGGAAGAGGACAGAGGAAAGAAAUGAGUGGAUGGCGAACAGUAGGGUUCUUAACCAAAAAUAAAAGAUAUUUUUGAGACUUAAUAUAAUGAAAUUUUUUAAUAAAAAAUCAAUUAAAAAUAUGAGUUACUUAAAAAACUUAAUUAAUUUCAAAAUUAUUUCACCAAAAUUGUUUUAAAAUUUGUUGUGUAUAUAUACACACAUAUAUGUAUUUAUUUCCGUGUAAAACCUUAAUUUGCCUUUAAAAUAUUAAAUUAUUAUAAUUUGUAGAAUGUACUUAUGAAAUCAAGAUGCAGGAAGUUUCAUAACAUUCUUGAUCAGUGUAGAUUUAAGUAAUUUGAGUUUAUUAGUAAUUUAGAAAUGUAUCUUGCAUUAAUUUUUCACUCAGUUUUUCUUAAUUUGAGACAUACCUGCUUUAACAUAUAAUAAGUGCAAUACCUAACUGUCUUAAACUCUUUGGAAGCCUAACUUUGCCUUGUAUACAAAACAGUUUUUGGGAAUUUUCCAUGCUGACAUGCAUAUCUAAUAAAAUUAGAGCAAUAUAUAUGAGAGAGAUUACAAGAAAUGAAGCCAAUAAAAGUAUUUGAAAAAUGAAUAGGAGCAUGUCUUGUUAUUAUUCGAAGAAUUUUGGAAGAACAUAUAAAUUUAGGACUGAUAUAACGCUACUAAGUAAAUUAAUUAAGUUUCUUAGUUUUUUGUGAAUGAGUUAAUAUUGGUUGUUAUAAAAAACAAAGAGUAUCUUUCUAGUACGUCAUCAUUUUGAUUGUUUGUACUCGUUAUUGAAUUUGAAGGAAUACAGCUAAACUAGUGAAGGACAUUGUUGAGGACAUACUGACAAAACUAGACUACGCACUCUUGUCUAUAACUGAAUUUCCUGUUGGAUUGGAGUCCCGUGUGCAAGAAGUGGUUGGAAUUAUAGAAAAUCAAUCCGCCAAGGUCUGCACCAUAGGAAUUUGGGGAAUGGGUGGAUCGGGCAAAACUACCAUGGCCAAAGCCAUCUACAAUCAAAUUCAUCGUAGAUUCAAUGAUAAGAGUUUCAUUGAAAAUAUUAGGGAAGUUAGUGAAACAUAUGGAAGAGGGCAUGUUCACUUACAAGAAAAACUUCUUUCAGAUGUCCUAAAAACAAAGGUCAAGAUACAUAGUGUUGGGAUGGGAACAACUGUCAUCGAGAACAGACUUUCUAAAAAGAAGGUGUUCAUUGUACUUGACGAUGUGAAUGACUUUGGCCAAUUAAAAGAUCUAUGUGGAAAUCGUAAAUGGUUUGGUAAGGAAAGUGUAAUAAUCAUUACAACUAGAGAUCUACAUCUACUUGACCUACUUAAAGUUGAUUAUGUUUAUAAAAUGGAGGAAAUGGACAAAAAUGAGUCCCUUGAGCUUUUUAGUUGGCAUGCUUUCAGAGAAGCGAAACCAAGAGAAGACUUUGAUGAGCUCGCAAGAAAUGUAGUUGCUUAUUGUGCAGGUCUACCACUAGCUCUUGAAGUCCUUGGGUCUUAUUUAAUAGAGAGGACAAAGAAAGAUUGGGAAAGUGUAUUGUUAAAACUAGAAAAAAUUCCCAAUGAUCAAGUUCAAGAGAAAUUAAGAAUAAGCUUUGAUGGUUUAUGUGAUGACAUGGAAAAGGAUAUAUUUCUUGAUGUAUGUUGUUUCUUUAUUGGUAAAGACAAAGCCGAUGUUAUAGAGAUACUGAAUGGUUGUGGGCUACAUGCUGACAUUGGAAUAACAGUUCUUAUUGAGCGUAGUCUCUUAAAAGUUGAAAAGGACAACAAACUUGGAAUGCAUCAAUUGCUACGGGACAUGGGAAGAGAGAUAAUUUGUGAGAGUUCAAGAAAGGAUCCUGGGAAGCGGAGUCGAUUGUGGUUUCAUGAGGAUGUACUUGACGUGUUGACAAAGAAUACAGUAAGUACAUUCUUUAUAUACAGUUUUGAAACUUUAAAGUUUUCGUCUUUCUACAUUCAAUAUAUGUGUGGUUAGGCUGAGCUUUAAGUAUAACUUUAGUGUGCUAACAAAAGAGGUUUCCAUUUUUCUUUUUUUGUUCUUAUCAUCACAGGGAACUGAAACUAUUGAGGGAUUGGCUCUGAAAUUGCAUUUCAUCGGCAAAGAUUGCUUCAAAGCUUAUGCUUUUGAGGAAAUGAAGAAAUUGAGACUGUUGCAACUUGAUCAUGUACAGCUUACUGGAAAUUAUGGUUAUCUUUCUAAGCAACUUAGGUGGGUUUGUUGGAAAGGAUUUCCUUCAAAAUAUAUACCUAAAAAAUUUUUUCUGGAAGGUGCAGUUGUGAUUGAUUUAAAACACAGUAAUCUUCAACUUUUCUGGAAAGAACCUCAGGUACGUAUUACAUUCCGUUUUCUUUUAAAACUCAAAAUUUAACUAAUCUAGGAAUUGUUUCCACUUACCACUGUUUCAAUUUUUUUCUUCUCUAAUCUUUUUCCUAACUAAAACUAUCUUCUUGUAGAUUUUGAGGUGGCUAAAAAUCCUCAAUCUUAGUCACUCCAAGUACUUGACUCUAACUCCUGACUUUUCCAAACUACCAAAUCUUGAAAAGCUUAUUCUCAAAGAUUGCCCACGUUUGUGCAAGGUACACGAGUCCAUAGGAGGUCUCCGCAAUCUUCUACUGAUAAAUUUAGAAGACUGUAAAAGUCUUGGCAAUCUGCCAAGGGGAGUUUAUAAGUUGAAAUCUGUAAAAACUCUCAUCCUUUCAGGUUGUUUGAAGAUUGACAAAUUAGAAGAAGAUAUAGUGCAGAUGGAAUCCUUGCAAACACUAAUUGCUGAAAAUACUGCUAUGAAACAAGUGCCCUUUUCAAUAGUAAAGACAAAAAGCAUUGUUUAUAUAUCGCUAUGUGGAUUUGAAGGAUUUUCGCGUAAUGUUUUCCCUUCUAUCAUUCGAUCUUGGAUGUCACCAACAAUGAAUCCCUUAUCUUAUGUUCAUCCAUUUUGUAGCACAUCGUCAUAUCUAGUUUCCAUGGACAUGCAAAGUUAUAAUUUGGGUGACCUUGAACCAAUGCUUAGCAGCCUCUCAAAUCUACGAAGUGUUUUGGUUCAAUGUGACACAGAGUCUCAAGUUUCUAUGCAAAUAAGGGCACUUUUGGGCAACAGUGUAAAUUUUACACAAGUCGAAAUAGCAUCUCAAAUAUCAAAGCAUUACCUUAGGUCUUAUUUGAUUGGAAUUGGAAAUUAUCAAGAAGUCUUCAAUAUUCUAAGCGCUAGCAUAUCUGAGGUUCCUUCCCUUUUCUUUUGUCUACUUACCUUCACUUUUCAAUUUAGCUAUUACUUAAGUGAACAUGACAUAUCUAAAUAAAACUUAAAUGUUCAGCUUCUUUUAGUUCUUUUUCCUUCUAUAAACUCACGGCUUCAUUUAAAAAUACCUUAUUUUAAUACUCAACAAGCCAAGUGAUCAUUCUCAUAUGAAGCACUAGGAAAUUGACUCCCACUUUCUUCCUGCUAUGCUUGCUUCAUGUUUCUUAUACUCCCACAGGAAAACAGGUUGAAAGACCUGUGUGAUAUAUACAGAAAUGCAUCCUAAUGAUCUGUUAUAGAGUACACGACAAAACAAUUAUACAUAAUUUUGAGUUUGUUAUCAUAACAAUGUUUUAAUUUAUGCAUUAUGUUGUUAUAUUGUUAAAAAAGGCCUGGAAUGAUAAAAUAAUGAUUAGGAGUCCAUUUUGAAUAUAACAAUUACAUCAAUGGCUAAACAUUUUUCUCAUGAUACAGGGAUUGGCAUCCAGCGAGUCUUGUGAUGCUUUUCAACCAGGUGACAAUGAUCCUUUUUGGUUGGCCCGUACGGGUGAGGGAAAUUCAGUGUAUUUCACUGUGCCUGAGGAUCGUCGCAUGAAAGGAAUGACUUUGUGUGUAGUUUAUUUAUCAGCCCCUGAAAUCACAGCAACCGAAUAUCUUAUUAGUGUUUUAAUGGUUAACUACACAAGGUACACUAUCCAGGUAUUCAAGCGAGAGACGGUAUUUUCCUUUAAUGAUGUAGAUUGGCAGGGCAUUAUAUCACAUUCAGGCCCUGGAGACAAGGUGGAGAUUUUUGUGAAUUUUGGCCAUGGAUUGGAGGUCAAGAAGACAGUUAUCUAUCUAAUGUGUGAUGAAUCAAUUGAUAAGGAAGUCAAACCUUCUCCUGAGCCAAAGAAGGAACCAAAGAAAAACGUCUUUGAAAGAUUUAUAAAGAAAAUUUUAACAUAAGAUUUCUGAAGGAUAGAGGCUUCAGCCAAUUUUGCCCGGACAGCCAAAGUCAGUCUGGGAUACUUGUUCCUAUUCAUGGGGAGAGGAGGGAUAUCUAUGUUACAUUGAUAUAUUGGAGGUAUUCAUUAAUAACAUUCCUCAAUCUUCCUCCUCAUGGUUUCUGAAGGUAUGAUGCAUAAGAAUCGUAGCAAAUAAUAUUAAUUUAUUGUAGUACAUUUUGUGUAAAAUUUAAAAGAUGGAAGAAAAGAAAUGCAAAUAGUUUUUUUUCUUUCCAUUUUUCCGAAGGAAAUUUUUGUGCAUGCACAUAGUUUUAUGUAUCUAAUUUUCAGCAGAUGAAGGUCGAUCAUUUACAGGAUGUGUGUAUCCUCUAUUAUUUUCUAAGUCUUGUUUUAGUUAGUAUGUUUUAUGGGGUAUAUUAUAGUUGUUUAGUCUAAUGAGACUUCUCUUAUUUGCCUUUAACUUUCAAUGAUAAAAAUUACAGGGUAAGGAUUGAGCCUAAAUUUUGACUCUGCUUAGUUAUUAGUGCUACUAGAUCUGAUUAAUUGAUUCAUUGUUAUAUAAAAUAAAUUUUUUUGACAGGCUCUCUCUUGUUCAGCUCUGAAACAGAAUGAUGUUGUCACUGGUGUGGAGAAAAUGGCAAUAAUCUCUCAAGCUUAAGUUAUUUGCAUAUGUUGGUUGGAAUGCAAGCUCUGAUUUGGCUUAGAGGCAUUUUCAAAUUUUAAGGAAUACUAUAACGUUAUCCAACAAUGUAGAGGUAACAGUGGUAAUACUGCUAGUAUUUGACAAAGUAUACUCAGAUUAAAUUGGGCGAAAUUUUACAUUUUAAAAUGUUUUUAUUUUUACUUUUUAAAUGUGGACUGAUCCGCUAAACACUGAACUAUGCAGGUGGAGCUUGAUAAGUUAAGAGUUUUGCUGCUUAGGAAUACUCGUUAGAAGCAUUACCGGCGGUUUAUGCAUAUGCCUUCCUUUACAUAGAGAUACCUCAGCCCUUCUGUGCAUAUAUUACCAAUUCACAAGACAACUUCCUCAGAAUCCGAUUCUUCAAUUUUUCAACUUCACAUAGGAGAAAUGGUUACAAUACCAAACGAACAAGCUUUUCUAUCCUAGACUUGCACAAUAGUAUCGUGUUGUAUCAAGCUUAUCAUAAUCUCAAGUAUCAAGGGGGUUCCAAUCUAAAUUUAAGGUACUACCUAAAGAUCCAAAGUCUCUUAUAAUCCUCAAAUCACAAUAAAAUAUAGAUUUGAUUUAUUUAAUUGAGAUAGCAGAUAAUUUUAUAUUAAUAUACAAUUUUGUAUAUAUGAUUUGUAAAGAACUUUCAAACUAGUUAUGAAUAUAGAAAAGAUAUGAUUUAAUAGAUUAAUCGAUGUAAAUAAAAGUUAUAUAGUGUAAUUUGAUUCAUUUCCAUAUAUAUAUAUAUAUAUGUAUGUAUGUAUGUAUAUAUGUAUGUAUAUAUAUAUUAUUUAUAUUAUAUACAUACAAAACAAUGUUUUUUUCUUGAAAAGAAUAUUUCAUUAACACAUUAGACUGGAAACACUUAAAUCCCAUAUGAUGACUGUUUAAUGUCCAAUAAAAAGAAGUUCUACUUGAAGCAUAAACAUGCUAUCAUUUUCUUUGCCCUUUUUGAAGUUCUUUUUUUCUUUUUUUUCUUUGGCUUCUUUUGUAGCUCCAUUUGGAUAUUAUGAGAUGGCUCUAUUUGUACUUCAGGUGAUGAUUGCUCACUCCCUUCUCCUGAUGGCUGUGUGCUCUGUUCAGGUGAUGGACUUUGUGUUUCAAUUGGCUGACUAAAUAUUAGAUAGACACCUGCUUUCUUUAUCGUCACUCCAUGCUCAAAACUUACGAAAAUGUCGACAUUGUCACCAGGUCCUAGAUUUGAUAUUAUGCCUACCCAAUCUUCAUCACUAAAGGACACUGUUGCUGUUUGCUUGUAUAUCUGAAUGGUGUUCUUUGUGUAAUUAAAGACGAAUAGACUAGCAAGACUUUCAGUUGCCAUGUUAUCAGGGGUUGAUGAACAAACAACACACAAAAUCAUCCCCUUAAUCGGGUAAUCACUAUCAUCAGGCACUUGAAAAGGUAUUGAAUAAUCUUCCCCUGUAUAGGCUAACCAAUAAGGAUACUUGUUUCCGGGAAGGAGAAAAUCACUGGAACUAUGGGUUUUCAAGACCUGUAUCAUGAAAAAUCUUAGUCAUUUACGUAUUUAUGUAAUUAUGCUAUUCAAUUCAAGUGGAUAUUUUGUGCCAUUAUAGUCUAUUUAGGAACAAAAGUGUACAGCAUAAAAAUUAGAUAAGGAAACGAUUGAAAUGAAUUCGGUCAAUAGUUAGGUGAGAUUUCUACAUGCUCUUUGUUUAUUAUACCCGCUUACAAUUAAGUUUGAUCAUCUCAAACCACAAAUUUGUUCAAUGUAAUACUUGUGCAUUGAGUUUUAAGAUUUUGUCACUGACAAUUCCAAAAUAGGACUUGCCAUCAUAACUCAUAAAAAAAAAGACUUUUGUUUGGGUAAUGGAGUAAAGUAAUCUUACUAAAGGAAAGAAAAUUACAACACUCUUCUCUCUAACUUGAAGGAGAAAAUAAUUACACGGAAAACCUUAAAAGAAAAACUGUUCUUCUUUUCUUAAUUUUUCUGUCAAACACUAAAACAUCAAAGCAUUAUACAAGAAAAAGAAGAGAUUUUGGUGUCUUGCUAAGCAAACAUUGUGCUCUUUUUAUAACAAGAAAAGUAAGCAUCAAAAUAAAUUUUCUCCUAUAUGGAUUUCUCUUUUUACAUCAUGCUUUAUUCUUUGUCAUAAUGUUGCUUAUUUUUCUAAUAGGUCACAAUAGUAUCAAACUCCUUUAAACUAGUUAAUGCUAACUGAAUUUGUCAUAACAUUGACUAGGCUAUUGUUGGUGUGAAUCUUUUGCAUAUCCACCUUCCUUUCUUUACUACUUCUCAAACAAAGUGGUAGCUUAUACCUAUGUGCUUUGCCUUGGAGUAGAAGACAAGAUUUCUUGCAUGUGCAAGACAUUUUGAUUGUCACAAUAUACAACAAGAUUUUGCUUUUUGUGCCUGAGUUGCUCCACUAACCUUUGAAUUCAAAUAAUUUCCCAAUAAAUAAUACUUCUUCAAGUCUUUUCCAUGUCAUACCCUUGAACUGUGUGUAUACUUUCAUUGUACAUUUUAUUUUGAUAGUAUUUAUCGACUCCAACAUUCUCUAAGGCAUGACCAUUAUCCAUAAACACAGAUCCACCUGAGGUAGGUUCAUAAUGUUAAAACUAAUCCCAUGCGUCAAGUUGCACCUAAAUCCGCUAUCCAUCUAUCAUGUAAUUGUUUUGCACAUUAGAGCUAAUUACUACUUCACUCACUAGAAUACCUCCCUCUUUUGAGGUACUUACAACAUAACCUUACGAGAUUGAUGUUUCAAAGUUCUUUCCUCUUUCUUCUUAUUUCAAUAAUCUUUCUUUGCAUGUCCUUUCUUGCCACAAUGGUAUCAUUUGAGAUGCUUUUUACUUAGAAACUUUGAUCUACCAUGAGUUUAACUCCCACUAUAGUGGUGUCCUGUUGAUUUACCUUUCUUCAUCCUUAAAGCCUUUGCUUACUAUAAACUUCCAUGAACAUCCUCAAAGUGUAGGUGUCCUUCAGUAUUCUUAUUUUUAUAUUGAUGAUGGGUUGAUCAUACAAAUUAGGGAAAUUCUGAAGGUUGUUAUUUUUAUAUUGAUGAUGGGUUGAUCAUAUGAAUUAGGUAAAUUAUGAAGUAGAAUCUCCACAAAUUCAUUUUCAGCUAUGUUGAAAAUUGUCUCUAAUACAAUUUGAUAAGUGUCCUAAAUCUUCUUCACAGUGUCUUCUCCACAAUGCGAUAAUCUGCCAUAUUCGCAAUAUCCAUGAAUCUUUCAUCAAGUGCAUCCACAUAAUAUCCAUGAGUCUUUCUUCAAGUGCAUCCACAAUGCGAUAAUCUGCCAUAUUCUCGAAAUUACCUUCAUAUUCAGUUUCUACAAAAAUUAUUCAAAUUUGAACUUUAUCUCAUAUGUUGUUGGUUAUGCAUUUUUUAUUAUGAAUAGUAUUGUUUACUAAGAUGUAUUUGUACACUAGUAUAUUAGGUAAGUUUUGGGGAAAGAGAGGUGGGUCACUGGACACUCUUAAAAUACCAAGUCUUUCCUGAGACAACUUUUCCUAGACAACACUACUACAAUAAUAAGAAUAAUUUUGUUCUAUUCUGAUGCCAAGAAUAACUAUUUUUCUAUAACACUAUUCUAACCACAAUAGCCACAGCCAUGAAAUACAACCAAGAACACAACACUAUUCCAGUGACAAUAACAAUGAAAUACAAUCAGGAAGCUAGCUCUGAAACCAGUGAGAGGUACCAAAGUAACAACAUAUGAAUUCCCAGCUAAACUAUAACAACUAAAAUAAAAGAUAAAAGAUAACUAAACAGAUAAUAGACAAUAAUAUAAUUUUACAGAGAAAGAAAAUUACAAUACUCUUCUCUCUAAGUCAAACUCUAACUGAGAAGAUAGUAACACCCUCUCCCAAAAAUCAGAAAAACAACUAACAGGAGAAUCUUAUAGGAGAAACUAUUUUUCUUCUUUUCUCUGAAGCACUAAAGUACACUGAAAAAAUGGAAAAGAUUUUGGUGUCUUACUAAAAAAAUAAUGUGCUCAUAUUAUAACAAGAAAAGUAAGCAUCAAAGUAAAUUUUUCUCAAUGUGGGACUUAUCUGCUGACAAUUUUUUAUUAGAUUCAAUUUGUAAUGGAAGUGACAGAGCAAUGCUCCCAACCAAGCUAAAUGCCAAAAAAGUGAAGCAUAUGCCAUUUUUCCAAAGUUAAGUUAUCCAAUGCUCUCUAAAAAAUUAAAAGUUAAUGAGUCACACACACAAAGAAAAAGAAAGGCGAGAGAUUAGAGAGAUAGAAUCAACCUCUGUCAUAUCAUUGCUAAGCAUAUCCAUGACUCGGUAGUGACUUCCAAAUCCAAUUAAACGAGAUACCAUAGAAUUUUCUAAAAUUUGUGGUGCAUAGGUUGUUUCCAUUGCAGAAUGUACUUUGCAGAAGUCAUCCACUAUUCUUCUUAAUUCUUGAGUUAGUUGAAGAUCUGAGUUACAUUGCACGCAAAUGCUUCGAAGUUUUGAAAACUCACUAAGCUUUGAUAGUAGGUUACCCAAAUUAUUAUCCUGUAGAUGGACAGAGACUAAAGAUGUUGAAAUGCUUCCAAGUGAUUGCAUAGAGGAUACACGACCUGUUGUUGGCGACAUCCAAGACCAUAUGAUAGAAGGAAACAAAACACUUGCUAAUCCUUCAUAUCCACAAAGUGAUAUAAACCCAAUCUUUUUUAAUCUUAUUAUAGAAAAUGGCACUUGUGUUAGGCUAGUAUUCUCUGCCCUUAGAGUUGUUAACGAUUCCAUCUGCACUAUUUCUUCUUCUAACUUGUCGAUCUUUGAACAACCAGAAAGGAUGAGUACUCUUAAAGACUUCGAUUUUAUCACUGGGAGAUUCCGAAGGCAUAUACAGUCCUUCAAAUUUAAAAUAAGAAGAUUAGGCAGAUUUCCAAUGGAAUGGUGCAGCUCAGACAAGUUUGGACAAUCUUUGAGAAUGACUCUCUCAAGAUUUGGUAGUUUUGAAAAGUCAGGGGUCUUUGACAACAACUUGGAAUGACUAAGAUUGAUGAACUUUAGCCUUUCCAGCCUCUGCAAGAGAUAUUUUUCAGAAGGGUAUUAGUAAAGAUGGGGGAAACAAUUAAUAUGGUCACCAUAGAAAACUCUUUUGAUGAUAUACCUGUUGUAGGGGCUCCUUCCAUACUAGCUUAAGAUUACUGUGUUUCAUGUCAAUAGCAACUACGUUUCCCUGAUAAAAGUUAUCAGGUAUGUAUUUUAAUGAAAAUCCUCGCCAAUAGACCCAUGUCAAGUGUUUGGAAAUAUGCCCAUAAUCUCCAGCAAGUUGGACAUGAUCAAAUUGCAAAAUUCUCAGUCUUUUCAUGUUCUCAAAUGUUUUGGCACUGAAGUGAACUCUGCCAGGUCUAUGCAAUUUCAAAGCUAAUCCCUCAAUGGCUUCUGUUCCCUGUAAUCAAAUAAACACAGGAAAAUUUGAGAAUUCAAUGAAGCUAACCCUUUGCUGUUUUCACAGCAGAAAGAUAGUAAGCAAUGCACAAAGCCUAUAGCGUCAGCAUGCAUAUAGUGUGCGUUACCAAGACAAACACAUUCAAAAGCCAAAAAUUAACAGUCCUAGGGCUUUCACCCAAAAGAUUAAGAAAAACAAUAUGAUUGAAAAAAUAAAAACAGAUUGUGUUACUAUGUUCCUGAUAAGAUCACAGUGGAUGAUUGAAAUUUUAAAAAGUUACAGAAAGUUCUUACGGUAUGUUCAGUCAAUAUAUCAAGUACGUGAUCAUGAACACAUAAUCUACUGCGCUUUUGUGGUAGCGGUGAACUUUGACGAACAAUUUCUCUUCCCAUGUCACGUAGUAAAUCAUGAAUUCCGAGCUUGUUAUUCUUCUCAACCUUGAUGAGGCUCCUUUCUACUAGUACUGGUAUUCCAAUAUCAGCAUGAAGUCCACAACCAUUUAGUAUCUCUGUGACAUAGCCUCUGUCCUUACCAAUAAAGAAGCAGCAUAUGUCAAGAAAUAUGUCCUUCUCCAUAUGAUCUGAUAAACCAUCAUAGCUUAUUUUCAAUUUCUCUUGUAUUUUAUCAUUUGGUAUUUCUUUUAAUUUUGAUAAUACACUUUGCCACUCUUCUUUUUUUCUCUUGUAUAAGUAAGAUCCAAGAACUUCAAGAGCUAGUGGUAGCCCUCCGCAGUAUGUGAUUACUUCCUUUGAGACUUCAAAAAAGUCCCUAGUUGGAUUUGCUCUCCUAAAAGCAUGCCAACUAAAAAGCUCAAGGGACUCAAUUUUAUUCAUUUUCUCAACUCCAUGCACAUAGUCAACUCCAAUCUCUUCGAGUAGACGUACGUUUCUGGUGGUAAUGAUUAUUACACUUCCUCGACUGAUUUCAUUACGAUUUCCACAUAAUGCAAUUAAUUGUUCAAAGAUGUUCACAUCAUCAAGAACAACAAGUACCUUUUUUGUGCAAAGCAUUUCUUUGAUCUUUCCUUUUCCCCAAUCAAUGCUAUGCACGUUUGUCUUUGUUGUUUUAAGGAUAUCUGAAAGAAGCUGUUCUUGCAAAUCAAUUGGGCCCCGAUCUCCUCCCCAAACUUCUCUAAUAUUUGCAAGAAAACUUCUAUAUUUGAAUUCAUGACGAAUUUCAUUGUAAAUGGAUUUGGCUAUGGUUGUUUUGCCAAUCCCUCCCAUUCCCCAAAUUCCUAAUAUACAGGUUCCUAUUUUUUUAUUUCUAAUAAAGUCAAUAGCAUGCUGCAGACGGCAUUCUAGUCCAACUGGAAAGUUUGUGAUAGACAAGUAUGUUCUAUCCAGUCUUUUCAAAACCUUACAAACAAUUUCCUUCAUGAGAUCAUUUUCAUUUCUGCAACAAAAAUAACCCAAAAUGAGAAUGGACACAAAUUGUCAAAAGAUUAUAAGCUUAGAACAAAAUUUCAGUAGUAUACAACCCCAAAUUCUUUCUGCCGCAGUGUUCGUAGCAGAAGCACUUCUACUAAAUCUUUUACAAGUAAAUCAGAAAUCUCGUAAAUAGCAAGUUAAUGUGUGUGGUUUGAUAAACUAUACUGGAUUCCUCUAAGACUAUAAUCAUAACUAGGAUCAACUUUCUUCAUCCAAAAUUGCUCUCAGUUCACAUAUAUCGAAAUAUAAAAUAUACCUCUCAAUAUAUUCAUGGUCAAUUGUUGACCUACCCUUAAGCCCACCUGAAGAAUUUUAUGGUAUAACAGCAAAGUAUCACAAUAAAAGCCUUCAUGAGUUCGAAUUUCAUGGCAUUUACUCCAAGAGAUAGCUUACAAGGGAAUGAUAUUUCUCUACUUCUACACAAACAUUCUUCUAAUGCAAACAUUGACUCGGGGAAAUUUCGCUCAGAUUUUACUUCUUCCAGUGCUGGUGCUGAACUUAAAUAAUAAUAAUAAUAAUAAUAAAACAGAAUUGACUGCUUACUUGUAAUUUCUCAAAUCCCAACCUGCUAAAUUUGCUGCUUGUGUCAGUGCUUUCUUCCAUAGUUUUAUCCUGCUCUGUUGGUCAGAAAUGACUUCGAAAGAAAUAUCUUCGGUGUCACGUAAAAAUGAGGGGCCAAUAUCAUAAAACACUGGCAUAACCACUUGUCCUCUAAAAGCAUGGCAUUCCAUGAUUUUGAGGAGUUCAUCAAGACACCAUGUAGAGUGAAUGUAGUUUUGGGAGAAAACAAUAAUGGUUAUUUGAGAUCCUUCUAUUGCAUGCAACAGUUCAGAUUUCAGCUCUUCUCCCUUAUCAAGCUUCUCAUCGUCCAGAAAAGCGUUGACUCCAGUGUCUUUGAGGGCAGAAUAGAGAUGGGAAACGAAAUUCCUCCGAGUGUCUUCUCCCCUAAAACUGAUGAAGACAUCAUAUGUGAACUGGGGUUUUGAUUUUGAUUUUGACCUUGAUUUUGAGAAGGAUGACGACGAAGAAUAAGAAGGCAUUGGCUGAAUUCGAUGAAAAACGACCAAGCCAGUAAAAGUGAAAAAACAUGUUUUUUCAUUUUGUUGUUUUUUUUACAACUUAUAUGAGGGUCUGAAUGCCUCAUAACUCUGGCUGUUAACGAAACUACAACGAUGUUUCCGAAGCAAAUGACCAAAGUCUAUUUUGUUUUUCUUGCUUUUCGGGUUUUACUAGGAAGCAAAAUAGCAAUCACAAAGCUAGAAAGAAAUAAUAGCUGGCACAGCUCAGUUUCAAUUUCGCUUGUAGAUAUUUAGUGUAUAAUUAUUAGGAAGAUUAGAAAAGUAACAACUGAAGCAAAAGUCGCACCACUUGUUGCCAGUAUAAAUAAUAGAGGAUACUUAAAAAUACCAAAAAAAAUAAAAAUAAAUAACAAUAAUAAGUAAAACAAUAGACUGUACCCUACACAAAAGAGGGAAAUGCCCAUAAACCAAUAUUUUCAGACAAAAAAAUCACAACAGGAACGAAAAAUCUAGUAAUCUAAUCUAAUAAAUACUUUUCGCCAAUAAUAAAUAAUGCAUAUAUCUCAAGUUUUCGUCAACGUAUCUAAGGAUUAAUAGAGAAUUCUUUUCAUUAACAACGUGAAUCCUAACACAAGAAAACUCUAAUGGCUUGCACAAUAAAAAUAAUAACAUAAAUGAAAUAAUUGGUAUAAAAUUUCUUCUUCAAAUAUUUUUUUUUUUCUGUAUAGACACAUUGGUUACCAUUUUCUUCCUUUUUCUCUCUUGUGGUGGACCAGAGGCAUAGUAUUUCUGUUACUACAUUAACAAGGAAACAUAAUAAAAUUCAUUUCUAUUUCCAUUAAUGACCUAGUAGUGUAAUAUCAAAUAUUUAUAUUUUCAACACAAUAAAUUAAUUUAUUUUUAGAAAAUCUAAAAAAUAAUUAUUAAAUAAAAAAACAAAAAUAACUUUUGGUCUUUGGAGUAGGAGGCAACAGAUUUCCUCUGCGGCCUCCAGUCCUUUGCCUCUUCCAACUUCAUACAAAAAAACAGAGACCAUCAUUACGGGUUCCUCACAUUUUAUCUCGCCCAUCCAUCACCAACAAUUCAUUUUUUCUUCUACAACACAUCCACACAGAUUCGUUUCAUCUUUUACCUAUAACUUCUAACAAUAAACUUAAAUGUUCUAGCACAAAACGAGCAAGCUGAUCCCCUUGUUUGAUGCCUCUUUGCAUAACAAACUCCAUAGUAGGGCUUUUAUUGACAGAAAUAGAUACAGAGCAUGAUCCAAAAUAACAUUUUUCAUAAAAGCGUAGUCUUCUAAGCAUGUAGAGAAGAAAUCCCCAAGAGUUUAUACAUGCAACUUACUAGAGAUACGAGUCUGUAAUCAGUAAAUCUCUAGGGAUUCUCCCCCUUACGAAUGAGUGAUAUGAAUGAUGAGUUGCUUCCUCUUGGCAGAGGUCCAUGAAAGUGAAAUUCAACUAAAAGCCUUUUUAAGGAUUGCCAAAAUUACUUAGAAAAAAUGGAUAUAUCUAAUUUUACAUUAAACAAAUCAAAACUGAGUAACAACGACAACUGAAAUUAAAAUUUGGUUCAUUUAGUCUUAAAUAAUGGGACGGGGCUAUGGUGCUUAUUAUGUUGAAACGGAAACAGAAACUACAUAGCAUAUAGCAAAGAAAAACACAACAAUAUCAAAUAACAUAUACCUUUAAUGCAUGUAUUUUUUUUAGAGGAUUUCUUAAUGGGAUAUUAUAUGCUAAAAGGGAAAAAAAUUGACAAAAGUAACUUGAAAACAAAUACAAUAAACAGUACAAGUGAAGACAAGGAAGCACAAUAUGAGGAGUGAGAAACAGGACUAAAAUAAACAAGAAUUUCUUAACUAUAAGCUAUACGAAAAACAAGGAAAGGAUGGAAAAAAAAUGAAUUGCAAUUAAGGGCACAGAUUAAUUCCACAAGUAAAGGGAUCCUGCAGUUCCCAUAGAAGAUAAAUGACUUGCCAGAAGUCACUUUACAAUUUUCUCUAUGAAUCUAAUUUUUGUUUGGAGUAGGCUCUUUUUCCAAGUAAUGUGAAUCACCACAUAUAAGAUAGACAUAUGUAUUCUUGACUACCAAUCCUUGAGAAAAAUUCACAAAAAUCUUCACCUUGUCUCCUGAUCCUAAAUUUGACCUUAUAGUCUGCCAAUAUAUAUCAUUAAAGGAAAUUAAUUUGCCAUGCAUGUGUAUCUGUAAAGUGCACUUUGUGUAAUUAACAAUUAAAACACUUCUAAGACAUUCAGUUGCCUCAAUUUCAGGGGUUGAUACAUAAACAACACACAAAACCAUUCCCUUAAUGUCAUUAUCCAGAGGCACAGUGAAAGAAACAGAAUCUCCCUCACCCAUAUAGGCCAACCAAUAAGGGCGGUUGACAUCAGAAGACUCACUACUUGCCAAUACCUGUACCAUGAGAUAAAACCUUAGUCAUUUAUUUAAUUUUCCUAUUUCUAUUGUCUUCUACAAUUAUUAUUUGUCGAUAAAGAUUACAAAAUCCAAUACUCUAUUAAAGCAUACCAAUGGAAUUUAAAUAAAUUUGGUUAGUAGUUUUGUUGUGUAUACAUCACUAUCUUGUCGUUAGGGAUUUAGAAUACAUUUCUGUUUUCGUCUCUUUCAGUUUAUACAAUAAUUGAGUAUAAAACAAUCAAAAAACUAGUCAAGCAAGAAAGAGGAAAUCAAUUUCCUAAUACUUAGUGUAAGCAUGAUCAUUAUGUUAUUCUAUUAUUAAAAUCAAAUAGUUUUGGAUGAAGUUGUGUAGCUGUAGCAACAGGGGCUAAAAGUAUAGAAUUGUAGUUUCUAUUAGAUACUUUAUUAUGAUUAUUUUACGUUCUCUUAAUUAAUAGCUUAAAUGAUGGAGAUUGAAAUAAACAAAGGAAAAGGGAGAGAAGAACCUCAGAUAUGUUAUCUCGGACAGCAUUGAAGAAUUCAAGGUAUGCUCCAACACCAAUCAAAGAAGAUCUGGAGUUCUGCUUUGAAAUUUCUGAUUGGGUAAAUUUUGAAAAAUAGUAGACCAGAAUAUUUUUUACUUGCUCAGAUAAUUGAAAUUCGGUGUCACAUUGAACCAAAACACUUCGAAGAUUUUCCAGGCUGCUAAGCAAUGGUCCAAUGUCUUCCCAAUUGUUAUCGAUAUCCAUGCACAAGGAAUGAAUAUAAGAUAUGGGAUUCAUUGUCGGCGAAAUCAAAGACCGAAUAAUGAUGGAAAGAAAAGAAUUACGUGACAAUCUCUCAAAUCCUUGUAAGGAUAUAUAUCCAAUGGCUUUUGAACUUACAAUUGAAAAAGGAACUUUUUUCACAGUUGUAUUUUCAGCAACUAGAGUUAUCAAGGAUUUCAUUUGCACUAUAUCUUUCUCCAUUGGGUCAAUCUUCGAACACCCAGAGAGGAUAAGAGUUUUUAAAGAUUUCAACCUAUAUAUCUCUUGGGGGAGAUUGCUUAGACGUUUACAGUCCUUCAAAUUGAGUAGUAUAAGAUAACAGAGAUGUCCAAUAGAUUGGUGUACUUCCUGCAAUCUCGGACAAUCUUUUAGAAUGAGUUCUUCAAGAUUUGGUAGUCUCGAAAAGUCAGGUGUUUCUGUCAAGUACAUGGAGUGACUAAGGUUAAGGACUUUCAGUGAUCUCAAAACCUACACCAAGAUAGUUUUUGAUAAAUAUCAGCAACGAAAAUAAAAAAUGAGACAGUAGGAAGUCACUAUUUUAUUUUAAUGAAGCUUUAUGUUAUAAUGAAGAAUGGCUCGUAAUAAAACCUGGGGUUCUUCCCAAAAGAAUUGAAGAAGACUGUGUUUUAUUUCAAUCGCUGUGGUAUCAUGCGCAUUAAAGUAGUUGGGUAGGUAUUCUAUAGAAAACCCACGGAAACUAAUCCAUCUCAAUUUUGGAGAAAGGUUCUCAGAAUUUACACCGUCUUUCGGAAGUCUUGAUGGUUCUCUUCUUGUUGAAAGCAAGACAGGCAAUACCUCAUAAUCUUUUCUCUCCUGUGAUUUAAAGAGCAAAGAAAGAAAAAUGCAUUGCGUACAUGAGAAAUUAAACACUUUCAGAAGAAGUUUCAAAUCACAUACAAAGAAUGUUCUUAUAGCGUACACUUGCAAUGAAUAUUCUGCAUCCACAUCAAACAACAGUUGACGGUUCUUCCCACGUUUCUCUCUUGAAAUCUCACAAAAAUUUGCUAUUCCCAUUUCUUGUAGUAAAGGAUGCAUUCCAAAUUUGUUAUUCCUUUUGACUUUAAUGAGGUUACGCUUCAUGAGAACUCUUAUUCCACUAUCAGCUUCUACUCGAGGGCCAUUUAGGAUCUUCGUAGCAUAGGCUCUGUCCUUACCAACAAAGAAACAACAUAAAUCAAGGAAUAAAUCCCUUUCCAUUUGAUUACGUAAACGGUCCAAGCUUAUUUCCAAUUUCCGUUGAACACGGUGCAUGGGAAUUUUAUGUAAUUCAUACAAUACACUAUACCAUUCCUCUUCCGUCCUUUCAAAUAAGGUACUUCCAAUGACUUCAAGAACUAGAGGUAGUCCUGCACAAUGAGUAACUACACUUCUUGCAAGGUAAUCGUAUUUUUUUUGUGGUUUUGCUUCUCUAAAUGCGUGCCAACUAAGAAGCUCAAGGGACUCGUUUUCAUUCAUUAGAUUUAUCCGAACAACAGAAUCAACUUGAUAUUUGCUAAAUAGGUCUUCGUCCUUUGUUGUCAUUAUUAUUACUGUUCCUGCACUUAACCAUGAACGACUUUUACUUAUAUCUAAUAAUGGAAGAUAGUCAUCCAUAUCGUCAAGUACGAUGAGGACCCUUUUCCCAAAAAGUCUGUCCCGAAUCAUAUUUCUUCCCAUCUCAACGGUAUUUAUCUUCGCCUUUGUUUCUAGGACAUCUGAAAGAAGUUGUUUUUGUAAAUGAAUACGCCCUCUUGGUUCUCUAGCUUGUGCAAUAUCUUCAAUGAAACUUUUAUGAAUGAAUGUACCAUGGAUUUGAUGGUAGAUGGCUUUGGCAAGGGUGGUUUUACCUGAUCCUUCCAUUCCACAUAUCCCUAUUGUACAAACAUCCGUGGACUUAUUUUUUAUAGUUCGAAUUAAAUCUUCCACUUGGUCUUGUAAUCCAACUGGGAAUUUAGUAGCAGACAAGACUGAUAAAUUAAGAACGCUCUUAACAAUAUUGUCCACUAGUUCAGCAUCACUCCUUCAAGUCCAAUAGCAAUUAUGGAAGAAGUCAUGUAUUAACAAAAUUAAAGUAGAAGCUUAAAAUAUGGUUAUUGAGUG